rnacentral:lncRNA from 1 species
UUGUAGAAUCUAUUGUGCAGUCUCUAUGUGCUUUUAGGAUAGAGAACUAAUAGACUAAGAACUAAUAGUAUAGUAAUUAUGUGGUUAAGUAGAGAAGAAAGUAUAAAUAUACCUAUACUAGUAGAAUCUAUAGUACAAUCUUUAUGUGCACAGUUUUCGUAAUUUAUUUAGGGUUGAUAGUAGAACUACAAAAGUAUAAGAGCCUAUACACCCAUAUAGAUUUAGUUAGGGUUGAUACUAGAAUGACCAAAGUAUGGGAGCCUACAUACCCGUACAAAUUUAGUUAUGGUUAAUGAUGGAACAACCAAAGUACAAGAGCCUAUAGACCCAUGUAGGUUUAGUUAGGGUUGAUGGCGGAAUGACCAAAGGAAGGGAGCCAUUGUCCGUAUGCUUGUAUAUGCUUUGUGGUAUACGAUAUUUUAGGGAACUCAUUAAGCUUCGUGCUUACCUUGUUGAUUAUAAAUGUUUUUAGGUACUCCAUUGACUCGUAAGAACGGCAAAGUUCGACUGCACACGUGCAUAUUCAAAACAUGUUGUCGCAUAAUGGAAUUACACUCUGAUAUAUUUUAAUAAAAAAAUGAAAAAUUAGUGUUGAAAACGAGGACAAUACAAAAACAAUCUUUAUUGGUUAUUCGGAGUUGUAAUGCCAAUUAUAGUUAGCGACUUAUCUAAGUGGUGGACUCUUGGUUUAGAGUGUCUAUAGUCCUAACUAAAUUGGUAUAAUUUUGAUGAAUGAAAGUAAAUUCCUUUUUGGGUUGCCCUAAUAACCAUAAAAUGACUUUGAUUUGUCAAAGGAGAGAGAUAAAUGAUUUUUUAAUGUAUUAUAUGAUUAGUAUAUUAAUUAGAAAUAUUAGUAUUUAAUCAAGAAUUAAUCAGAAUUAAUUUGGAAUUAAUCUUUGAUCAGUCAGAAUUAAUUAAAAGUUCAAGGGCUAAGAUGCACUUGUUCAAUAGUUGAAUAAAAGAGAGGAUCUAGUACCUCCCUGGUGUAUGGACGGUUUUAGAGGCACUUGAUAGGGUUUCUGGAAUUCUCCAACUUACAAUAGGAUACUAGAUAAUUAUUGAUUUGAAAUUUUACUAUUUAAGUUCUAAUCUAGGGUCUCUAGGUUUAUCAAGCAUCUAUAUAAAUGGGUUUCGCUCUUGUACUUUCUACUACUCCUUCACUACAAGAGAAUUCCAAAAAUUCUCUAUCAUCUGCCCCUUUCCUUAAAUCCUAGGGUUUCUUGAGUUUUGUGUGUAACACAUUAGAGGAUACCUUUCUUUUGGAGCUAGAUAUCCAAGGAGACUACAAAUGUUUGGUUAGCUUGUUUCGAUUAAAGCACAAGGUAUGUGAUUCUAUUCAUUAAUCUGAUUUCAUAGGUUUUAUAGUUUUUAUUUCAUAUGUAUGUUGCUAUUAAUAGUGAAAAGACAUAGAUCCAUUUUAUGUUGCACAUACCCUUAUGAGUUAAGUGAAAUUCCAUAGUUACAAUUGAAUUGUGACCUAAAAACCCUAAUACCAACUUGCUAGUGCUCAUCUGGUUACUCUUCUGUAAAUAUUUACUACUGAUUAGCAAAUAUUAGAUUAACAUUAAGUACCAGCUACUUGUGUGUUAUAUGAAAAGUAUAAGUUCGAUCUAAUAGUAACCUGAAGUAUUAGUCCCUCUAGAAUUUCUUCUCAUAUAAGGAGUAGUUCCUCCUUCAGUGUCAUGUGUCUUCAUAAAAGAAACAAGAUCCAUCUAUGUGGGCCUUGUUUGAUUUUUUGGGGCUAAAGGUAUAAAUUCCAUUAACUAUGCGCUUCUUAAAACACAUAGAGUGGCUCUUCUAAACCUUGCAAUAUUCCAUUAUUUUCUGAACUGGAUGAAAACAAAUAUCAUUGUAUUGUUCAAAUGUAUGCUUAACCUGUCAGAACAUCUGAUAUUCAUCUAAAUUAUCCAGACUUCCUAGACCCCAGGAAUAACUAUUCCUAGUUAUAAUGUUAGAAAUAUCUUCAGCAUCAUAGUGUUGACACCAUGUAUCAUGUUCACAUUUUUGGCUCAAAGCAAGUGGUCUAGGAAUAGGACCUUUAGGAAAUGUUACUAUUUGUCGCCAAAUUCAAUUAUCAACUUUUUAUUCAAAUCAAAAUAAUAGGCAGAUAAAGCACCAAGAUUGAGCUGCAAGUCGGAGAUUUGUUUUGAUUUAUGUUCAUUUUCUUUCUCGAGCUCUGAAAUUCUAACGUCUAGAGUUCCAAUCAAAUAAUCUUUUUUAAUAAGUUUUUGAUUUAAGACUCCGAUAUCCUCCUUGAUCUUGAGCAUCGUCGCGUCUUCUUUAUCAGGGCACUCUGCACCUAUCAAUAUUCCUAUGCCCCUAGGUAUAGGGACAUCACCUUCACAAGACAAAAACCUGACAAGCCAUUCGGAGGCUACAUCGGGCAUAGGUUGAGGAGUCGAGGAGCCACCAUGAUCUGAAGAGUUCUCAACUUCAUAAGAUUGGCGAACAAUGUUGGGCUCCCCAUGUAUCAUUUGGCUGUUAUAAUGCCUUUGUUGGCUUCGGGUAACAAUUUCAGUAGAUUGUUGAGCGGGCUGAGCCAGUUCCAUAAUGAGAACUCCCGGCCUUGGAUCUGUUCUUCUUGUUUUAAGUGGAGGUUGGGAGGCUUGUGUCUCUUGUGGAUUACUCUCAAAUGGAAUAAUAGUUGGAGUAGCAACUUCUUGGGGAUGAAUCCUCACAGUUGAAUCCAAAUCAGUAAUAAAGUCGCCCGUCUGAUCGGGUGAAUGUUGUGGCAGCUUGAGAAUAUUUUCUUCUCUCUAAGUCUUCGUUGGAAAAAUCCAACAUUAACGACAUUAUCAAAGAACGAACCGAGGUCUUCAUCAUUUGGCUCAAAAUCAAGGUAUACAUAAUCAUCAUCAAAACCUAAUAAAUCACCUUCUUGACCUAUUACAGCUACGUCAUCAUCCCUAUCAUCAUCAAAUCCAAGGGUAUUAGUGUUGGGUUUUGGUAUAAUACAACAUCCUAUGGUGUACACACAACCCUAAAUACCUUGGAUCUAUGUUUUCACUAAUUAUACAUGCAAAUGGUUUCCAAGGUAUUAAUCUUACAACUAGCAUGCAUUUAACAUAAAAACAUAAUAUACUAGUUAGCAUGACAUAGCUUUUGAUGGAGCUUGAAGUCUUGAUGUAUUUGGCCUUAAAGAGCUUAGCCCCAAUAGUGUGGAAGCCUCAAAUGGAAUCACAACACAUCAUGUACAAAGGUAGGACUUGAGAGAGAAUUCCAUGCACCAAAAACCUCCAUAUUUCACUAAGAAAAGAAGUGUGUACGUUUUGGUCAUGAAGUAGCACAUUUAUAUGUUGGAUUCCAAGAGUCAUGGGCAUAACCCAAAUCCAUAACCAUGGGUGUUAUGAUCCAUGGUCCAUGUGGCCCAACUCUUCAUGUAUCCAUACAUAAACUUGGUCCAACAUGGAUCAUAAGCCCAACACAUAUAAAUAUAACUAAUUACCAUAAUUGGUCCCCAUAGAUUUAAUUAGUCUCUUUUGACCACUAAAUUAAUUCCAAAUUAAUUUUUGAUCAACACUAAUUAAAAAAUAUGAUUUCAUAUUAAUAAAUUAUAACUUAUAAUAUAUUAAUAAACCAUAAUUAACCUUCUCUCAAAAGUCCAUACUAACAAAUUGUCAUGAUGAUAUGCAACCCAAAUGGACCAUGCUACUCUCGGGUCGGAUACAUACCAAUAAUAGUUAUGGGCUUAGACACAUAAUCCAACAGUCUCCCACUUGGAUAAGUCUAAAACUAUUAUUCAAGUAUGUCUCCAAGAUCCCGACUAGCAAUCGUAGCUCUUAAAAGUCGCUGUCGAACUCUGAACAAAUUAAUGACAUGUCCAUUAGAUAAGGGAUCAUAUAUUCCUCCANACAUGGAUUAUAAUCAUUCUCUUUGUCCAUUUGUUGUUUCCCAAUUUCUAAUUUAUAACGACUGACUAAUUGAACAUAUCAAAUCAGUCCAGGCCCGGCCGAGCACUUAUGUUUGUCAUCAGCAAAUCAUCGAGGGGCCCACAAAUAUCGAUUUUAUCCCGAAGGUAAAAAUAAUGGAUAAACUUCGACUCAUAUGGCUUGUUCUACUACUUGUUGAAUCAUACACAAAGGCACGUUUUAUAACAUCGAGUUAUCGAAUGCGUUUUCGUGCAAUCAAUGUACAACCAACUCAUAGUAACAACUCAUAUCUCUAGGUUUGAAGAAUAUAAGAUAUUAUCGUCUCAUGAUCACUCGUGAUAAAAUCCAUGAAGUGAUUCNCUUGGACAUCUACAAACCCGAUUCAUGACAGUCUUGCCUUAAUACCUACUUCCAACGUAUUAUCGACUGUGUAUGGUUUGAAUAACUUAGUCAUUCGGAAAGAAUAACCUAGCUAUUCUGGAAGUCAAAACAUGCAAAGUGAAAUACAAGAAUAAUACUAAUCCUCUAUGGUCCCAAGCAUCUUUGAGAGUAAAUAAAACACCUUUUAUUUAAACACCAUAUUAAUUACUCAUUAUUCAUUGUAUAAUGUUUCAAAUAAUCAUCUUUAUACUUAAAUUAAAACAAUAGUUGUCCCAUGCUCCAAGCAUGUAAACUAAGUUUUCUAAACACUAGUCAUGCCAUACAUCAAGUACGCACACUAUGUUUAUCUAUGAUCUUUACUUUGUGAAAUAGAUCAAUUGAACAUGAUUCCAAUGAUGCUCAUUUCACAAUCCCAAAUCUUUAUCAUAAAUGUAAGAAUUCCAAAUUCCUACCAUUUAACGAAAUCUGUUAGAUUGUAAACUUAUAUGCAUUGAUCCUCUCGUAAUGACUAUGCACAAAGUCACAAAGACUUGUCAACAGAUAUUACAGAAUAUUCCAAUGGAGAUCAAUUCCAUGGAAAUAAAGUCUCAAAUCCAAAGUACAUUACUCUGAACAUCCUUCUUUCAUCAAGCUUUCUAAUCUUACACAGAUUUGAAAGAAAAACUUCCACCUACGUAAACCUUUCCAGAUUCCCAUUUUGACUAUCACUUCUGAACAAAAAUUACCUCUUUUCAGAAUAUGUCAAUGUGGUCCUUCCAAAAUUAACACUUAUACUUCCAACUGUCCAUUAGCAACCAAUCUUUGGUAAACCUCAGAUUGUCCUCGACAAUUGCUUAAUCAUUUUGGUCAUAUCCAAUUCUAGACUUUUCCCUUCUUAAUGCCCUGAGGAUUUGGAAGAUUUAGAAAAGAUGAAUAUUGCAGCACAUGCAAUCGAUCCAAUUCAUGAUGUCUUACAUAAAGACAUGAUACUACACAAAUCUUUUGCUAGAAUAUGUUUUUUUUUUAUUUUCCAUGUUUUCAAAAUUUGACUAUGAAGAGGGAUGCCGUAAUCACUACUAGAAAAAUAGCCUUUUACGACGCGCAAAUUACGACACUCAUUAAUAUAUGUUAUGCAAACGAGAGUGACAUUAAAAAAGUGUCAUCUCUUCAGAAAAUUUAAGGAUUUAGGUCACGCAUUAUUGCGUGCCUUUAAAUUAGUGUCAAAAGAAAAAAAAAAUUAAAAACACGGAGGGCGCUGUACCUUAAAUGCGUGCCCUCUAUAUGUGUCGCUUUAUAAUUUUAAUGAACGCGCGUUCCUUAGUUACAAGCGGGAAAAGAAAAGCCAAAAAAUUAGAAAAGCCCGCUACCCUCCCUGCCCUAAGCAUUUUCACGCAUCUUUCAUUCUCCUCACACUGUUGUGCAACUUCUCAAUCAAAGAUCGAAGGUUACGAUUUCAUCUCCAUCUCUCGACUUCAUCAUCUCAAUCAAGAAAAAGGGCUUCUGAUUUCCAUUCAUCUACUUCAUCGUUGCUGUAAUUUCACCUUCUUCAUCUCUCUGCUGUUAUUGAGAAUACUCGCCAAUAGUUUUCUUAUUCCCCACUCGAUGUUGAAAUUUUCAGAAAAAGCCCUAAUUAAGUAUUAUACUCUCAAGUCUCAAUAUUAGAAUCCAAAUAUUAAUUCUCGUUUGUUUCUUAUUCCCCACAGAUAAAAAGAAAAAGGGGAAUUAGAAUGACGAAGGUAGCGGGAGUUUUGGUCCGGUGGUCGUGGUUCAUCUAUCGAGAAAGGAAGAUGGGAACGCAAGCAGCCAUGGUGGCUCGAUGAUGGAAAUCAAUCGAGAAAGGGGAAGCACCUCUGGUGCGGGAUCGAUUUGACAAAAGGAGAAGGGAGAAGCAGCGACGCUUCUCUUGUCUGCCACAGCUUGGGGGGGGGGGGGCUCCGGCGGUCUCCUUGGCUGUUCUUCCUUGUCGCCAGCAGAUUACAUGUAGGGAGGGGACUCAACUAGUCCGAUGGAGUAGGGCAANUUGUCAAGGGUUUUCUGAUAUGGUACUCUCCUGUAAAUAUAUAGUGACAAUAGAUAUUUCUUUUGUCUAAUUUUUUCAUUGAUAUGUGGUAUUGCAGGUUAUAUCACUGGACAACAUGGUUGAUAGGCUUUCUGAUGUUAAGCUUCAGCCAACUAAGGUACUGACUGCUAUAUGUGGCCUGAUUAUGUUUCUCCAUUUUCCAGGUCAAAUUUUAGUGUAAAAUUGGUGGUGUUAUUUAAGGAUAAGGUCGUUAAAGCCAAUGAGGUUUUAGCUGCUGGUCAUCAACCACGCCCUAUCAUGGAAACCAUCAUUGUAACCCUUUUGUAUCUUGCCCUGCAUAGUGAGAAAAUUGAGUUGGAGGUAUUUAAAUUCUUUUAAAUUUUAUAGAACGUCAUUUCUUGUGAAAAAUAUUCACCACAUGUUCUUUUUUCUUAUCUGACUGAUUUAAUUUUUAGUGAGGCACUACAAAGGCAAAUUUGUGUAGAAGAUGUGUAAUAGUUAUCAAGUUUUUGGACUGAUUUUUCUUUGGUGGGGAUAUGUAUGCUACUGUUGACCUUUUAAAUUUCAUGCAAGUUGUUUUUAUGAUCUGUGUUAUUGCUGCUAUUGAUUCCUCCCAGAGGUACUAUUCUUGUACUUAUUUGCCGACCAACCAAAGCCUUUAUACUUAUUGCAAUCACUUUACUGCAGGGAGCUGGUUGCUGCUGUACUUGACAACCUUUCUAAAAAACUACAAUACAACUCCAGAUCAGAGGUUUUUUUUUUCAGUUUAUCUUUAAUCCUCUCACUAGCUUAUAAUACAGAUUGAUAUUGAUUGUGUCAUUGAGGGACAAAACUGAGCUAUCUAGACUUUUUUUUUUUUGUGAAUAACUAGAAGUAGUUGUUUAUGAGGUUAUUAUACAUCAAGGUGAUUGAAUUUAGCUGUUUUGUAGUACAUUGAAGAGCUUAUUGCAUCAAUUAUUUUCUUCUGGGUCUAGUGUGGUGUAAGCUUGGCUGCAUUAGUUGAGGUAAUAUUAACACAACUAUUUAAUGGAAGACAUUGUUGGAUGUACAUUUAAUCUCAUUUGGUCUUUGCAGACACGUGAACUUUUUGUUCUCAAUGUGGAAGCUAGUAAUUUCAUGGAAGACAUUGUGGUGGGCAAGAAAAAAACAACCAGUUGAAGGGUAAAAAUGUCAAAAAGGCUCCCAAAAGUUUCCAAAACAGAAUACCAGUUGCCCUUCAUCAUCCUGAUGAGGUACAUAUCCAUUUCUAUGAAUAUUCUCAAUUUUGUUUUAUCGAGUAAAUUAAAUGUUUGGUCUCUGAAUAUGGCUUAUUUUUUCAAUUUGGUCCCAAAAGUUUUCUCUUGCAGUUUUGGUCAUCCUUUGAGGUUCUUAUAACUUUUUUGAUCCUUGUUCCAAGUAAUACCUGAUUGUUUUCAACUUUGGCCCUAAAAAUAUAGUCAUUUUCUUGAAACAGAUACCAAAAACUUCAAAUAAGACCAAAAUUGCAAAAAUUAGGGGACCAAAAAUAUAAUUAAUUGUUGUUUGUUUUGUUAUUAAAUGCAUUUCAGGGGGAUUUGGGGUAUAUAUACCUUGAUUUAAAUUGUAGACAGGGGAAGUAUCCUGGUUGUGCUCAUUUUGCCAUAAGAGGAGGGCGUACAAUUUCCAAAACAGAAUACCAGUUGCCAGUAAGUUGUUAUUACAGUAUAUUUUGUUUUGUUCAUCAAGGGCAAAUUGCAGGAAUUAUUAUUGUAUUCCAUUACCAAGAAUAGAAAAAAAGUGAUGAAAUGUUUUUGUUGAUUAUUAUUGUGAAGGUGAUUGUCGUUGUUUGCAACUUCUCAAAGCCCCAUAAUUCAUCAAUCGUGAGACUUAACCACUCUGAUGUGGAUACCCUUUUCCAUGAAUUUGGGCAUGCUCUUCAUUCCUUGCUUUCAUGAACAGUAAGUGUUGCACCAUUUUUUAAAGACUUGAUUAAAUUAAUCAAUCUUUGGUACUAUUUUUAUUGUAUUAUGAAUUGGUUGAUCAAAAACUGUAUAGUGAUAGAUUGAAAAGCUUGUUUAUCCAUUUCAAAAUUUCACCAAAAUUGACAUGAAAUUCUAUAACUCUCGAGAUAUUAAUUGUGGUACAUAGGGAAAUUCUUGAUUUUAAUUGAUAACAAAUGCAUAUACAUUAAGGCUGAAUGCAAGAAACACAACGUACAUAGGGAAAUUCUUGAUUUUAUAAAAUGUGUGUUGUCUCAUCAGGCACUUGUUGUGUUGGUUCAUGAUAUGGGUCCAACCGGGAGCUUAUAAGUGAUGCCAUUAACAGCACUUUGCAAUUCAAGGUAACUAUCAUAUCUGUUGUGUUGUGUUGGUUCAUGAUGUACAUCAUUCAACCCCAGACCGUAUUUCAAGUUAUUCAUUAAUUGGUUAUAUUGAACUUUGGAUUCUUGGAAAAAUGUAUGUUACUACAUGUGUAUUAAAUUUUAAUAUUUUAUAACAUAGAUUGAUGAUGCUUGAAGCCUUUCUGAAUACUAAUGUGUUGACGAUGAAAAUAGGUAUCAUGCGGAAACAGAAACAUAACAAUAAGAAGUAGAAAGAAGAAGGUGUUCCUUAAUAACAAUGUAGUAUUAGGUUAUAUAGUUAGGAAAACCUCUUUCCAUGGAACGAUUAUUUGUAUGACAUUAAAUUGAUGCAAUGGAUUCUAUUUUUUGUAUAUUAUAUUUUAAUUUCUAUUAUGAAACAUUAAAUACAAAUUUAAUUUGAAAAUAAGUAAAUCUAUAAAUAAUAUUUUUUUUNNNNNNNNNNNNNNNNNNNNNNNNNNNNNNNNNNNNNNNNNNNNNNNNNNNNNNNNNNNNNNNNNNNNNNNNNNNNNNNNNNNNNNNNNNNNNNNNNNNNNNNNNNNNNNNNNNNNNNNNNNNNNNNNNNNNNNNNNNNNNNNNNNNNNNNNNNNNNNNNNNNNNNNNNNNNNNNNNNNNNNNNNNNNNNNNNNNNNNNNNNNNNNNNNNNNNNNNNNNNNNNNNNNNNNNNNNNNNNNNNNNNNNNNNNNNNNNNNNNNNNNNNNNNNNNNNNNNNNNNNNNNNNNNNNNNNNNNNNNNNNNNNNNNNNNNNNNNNNNNNNNNNNNNNNNNNNNNNNNNNNNNNNNNNNNNNNNNNNNNNNNNNNNNNNNNNNNNNNNNNNNNNNNNNNNNNNNNNNNNNNNNNNNNNNNNNNNNNNNNNNNNNNNNNNNNNNNNNNNNNNNNNNNNNNNNNNNNNNNNNNNNNNNNNNNNNNNNNNNNNNNNNNNNNNNNNNNNNNNNNNNNNNNNNNNNNNNNNNNNNNNNNNNNNNNNNNNNNNNNNNNNNNNNNNNNNNNNNNNNNNNNNNNNNNNNNNNNNNNNNNNNNNNNNNNNNNNNNNNNNNNNNNNNNNNNNNNNNNNNNNNNNNNNNNNNNNNNNNNNNNNNNNNNNNNNNNNNNNNNNNNNNNNNNNNNNNNNNNNNNNNNNNNNNNNNNNNNNNNNNNNNNNNNNNNNNNNNNNNNNNNNNNNNNNNNNNNNNNNNNNNNNNNNNNNNNNNNNNNNNNNNNNNNNNNNNNNNNNNNNNNNNNNNNNNNNNNNNNNNNNNNNNNNNNNNNNNNNNNNNNNNNNNNNNNNNNNNNNNNNNNNNNNNNNNNNNNNNNNNNNNNNNNNNNNNNNNNNNNNNNNNNNNNNNNNNNNNNNNNNNNNNNNNNNNNNNNNNNNNNNNNNNNNNNNNNNNNNNNNNNNNNNNNNNNNNNNNNNNNNNNNNNNNNNNNNNNNNNNNNNNNNNNNNNNNNNNNNNNNNNNNNNNNNNNNNNNNNNNNNNNNNNNNNNNNNNNNNNNNNNNNNNNNNNNNNNNNNNNNNNNNNNNNNNNNNNNNNNNNNNNNNNNNNNNNNNNNNNNNNNNNNNNNNNNNNNNNNNNNNNNNNNNNNNNNNNNNNNNNNNNNNNNNNNNNNNNNNNNNNNNNNNNNNNNNNNNNNNNNNNNNNNNNNNNNNNNNNNNNNNNNNNNNNNNNNNNNNNNNNNNNNNNNNNNNNNNNNNNNNNNNNNNNNNNNNNNNNNNNNNNNNNNNNNNNNNNNNNNNNNNNNNNNNNNNNNNNNNNNNNNNNNNNNNNNNNNNNNNNNNNNNNNNNNNNNNNNNNNNNNNNNNNNNNNNNNNNNNNNNNNNNNNNNNNNNNNNNNNNNNNNNNNNNNNNNNNNNNNNNNNNNNNNNNNNNNNNNNNNNNNNNNNNNNNNNNNNNNNNNNNNNNNNNNNNNNNNNNNNNNNNNNNNNUAUAUAUAUAUAUAUAUAUAUAUAUAUAUAUAUAAUUUCCUUAAGUCGAACCAUUCCAACAUAAAAUUCAUAUAUAUACUUGACUAAACAUGAUUAAAAUCUCACUAUCUAAGAUGACUUGAAAUGAAUUAUAAUUUUUUCUCACUUAAUUAUAGCAAAACAAUUUUUCAAUCCCUGCAACUUCAUGAAUUGAAACUUUUGUUUUCUAUUAACAAUUAACAUAAUAAUCAUGCUCCCACUAUCAUGAUAAUUAUUAGCAUAACACUUAUGCUUCCACUAGGUUUGACAUGUACUCAGAAAACAUCUGGACUUCUAGAAAUAAAUACUUUAUUGAGUCUCUUACCAAAGUUCAGAUUUCUGAUACUAGAUGCUUUGAUAAAACUUUAUCACAAUCAUACACCUUUCCUUAGAUAGCCUACAUGUGUACCUAAACAAUUUUUUACAACUAUGAAAAGGGAUGCCAUAAUCAUAGUCUCAAUUGUUUAGACCUUUGCCAUUUCUCACAAGUCUAUGUUAGUGUGUCGGUUACCCACACACGCUCCACUAACGACUUUGAGAAUGCAAAUGUCACAAUUGCUAUCUACUAAAAAUCUACUUAGUGAAAGUGUUUCCUCACCAUCAUUUUCAUGAAUCGGAGAGAAACCUUAUGACACUUAGAUUUUAUGGUGUAUGUGUUCCUUUCCAUGUGAAUUUUGUCAAAACCAUAGUCAUAAGACAAGGUUAGUGACAAUUUCAAAUUCAUAUGGACUGAACUUGUGCAAUCUUAACUUCUUGCCAUCUGGCAGCACAAGGGCCUACCAUUGCUUCCAAGUUGUUAUGAAAUCAAUUGAGAACUCUCAGAACUCCUAUGCAAAGCCAACUUUAACUGGAAUGGACACAGAAAUGUCAACACGAUAGAUUAUAAACCUCAAGUCGUGUGCUAGUGAAGAACUAUAAGUUUUAUCCUUGAUUAGUUCUUGAAACUUUCAAGACCAUUAAGAAUCCCACUGUCCUCUUGACAUAUAAGACUCUCUUGUUAAGAACCAUUGCUUGACAAAAGAAAUAUUCAAAGGAUGGUGCGGAUUCUUAUCAAGACUAACACUUCACACAAUUGGCCUAAUUUGAUCUCUGUUUUAUCCAAAACAUCACAACUUACCAAUUUCAAAUGUACAAGAGUAGAAAACAUUUUACUCUUACAUUUGACUAGUGUUAAUAAACCUUCUUCAAGAUAUGUCACUAGUGUUAAUCUUGGAGUAUGACUCUAAGACUUUGUUUUUGAAACGAAGUAUGACUCAUCUUCUUGAUUUAACCAUUCCAACAAUUCAUGACUUCUCUUUCUUAGCCAUAAGAAUGCACUAAGAUGUCCUUAGAGGAUCAAUUGUGAUAUGGUAUCUUAAUCAUUAAGAUGAUCAUAAAACAUGAUACCAAAGUACUCUCCCAUCUUUUUAGAUUUGAGAAACUUUUAUCUUUCUGCCUAAUUUGAUUCUUCAUAUUUACUAAACUUUAGUAAAUCAUGACGAAUAGUCUUUGGGGUGGACCUGAUCAGCGCACACCCAAGUGUACCCAAUCCCUUUGUCCUUCACUUGACUCACAUAUACAAAGCUGAUAAUUCUCAUUCAUCACACUAUACAACUUGCAUGAUUCCAAGUUUCGGUCCAAUUGAAACUUGGGUGAUGAGAAUCUUUCCUUAUUUGGUAAAUUAUGACACUACCACAACCGAAAGAAUCAAAUCAAUUUUCCAAUAUUGCUAUCAAUGGAAUCUUAUAAACAACCAUUUUUCACAAAUGCCACUAUAAGGAUAUUUAAAAUAAAUAAAAUAAAACCUUAUCUUUUAUUUAAAACUUGCGGAAAAACUUAUGCUUACAAUGCAAAUGCAUAUGAAAUAUUUGUUGUUAUCUAUUCCUAAACAAUAUAUCAUAACUCUUAAGCAACAACUCACAAUUCUGAUCACCGAACCAUGCAAUCGAAAUACAUCUUCGUGAUCAGAAUCAACAUAUACUUCCUUUAAGCUUCCUCUCUUCGAUUCUACAAAACAUCAAAAUGUGAUCUGGUCACACCAUGUAUAAGAAUCUCAAAUAUGAACUUAAUAGAGUUAGAUAGUGCACUUUACCCGAAGUAGAGUCAAACUCUUUGACUUUACCAACCUUAUGAUUGUUCAAGUAAAUUAGGCUGCUUUGCAACCAAUGCCCCAUCCUUUGGCAAUAGAAGGUUUGGGAAGUUGAUCUUCUAAUCAAAUUUGCUUUACUAAUCCUCAAAUCAUUUCUGAUUCAGCAGCACCAAGCAAAUAGGUAAGAUCAUUAAGGGUCAAGUCAUGGUCUAUCACAUAGUAGUCACAAAACUACUCACUAUAUGACUUAGAAAGUGAUUGAACAUCCAACUUUCUCAAGACUUUGACACCCAACUCUCCCGGCUUGUCAAUAUGUGACUUCAUCUCCAAGAUGUGAUCACACAUAGACCUUGCUUGCCAAUAAGGCUUGAGUGACCUUGAACUUGUGGGUUAGGGAGAAUAAUUGGAGGGGGUAGAGGAAGUGAAAUUCCAAGAGAUUUGGGAAGAUCAUAGAUGUAUAAACUAGAUAUCUACAAUGGGAGAUAUUCAAGUUAGUCGAUUUUUAAGUCCUUAAUAUAACACCCAAUAUGAAAUAUUAAGGCCAGGACCCAACACAAUAUAUUAUAACAUGGAAGAGGGAUGCCGUAAUCCAAGCUAUAAGAUAUUUGAAGGUAGGCGACUGAUGAUUCACCAAUUUCCACCAUCAAAAAUGAAAUAAUUUAUUAGGUUUUAAUUGGAUCUGAAACUCCUAGAUCUUUUGAGAUUCAUUAAACUUUUCAAUGGCAUGUUUCAAUAUCGAGUGUGCCCUCUCAAAUUUUGUGACUGGGAUGCCGAGGAUCACAAAACAAGAUGUGAAUAACCAUGCAAACUCACUUGGUACCCUUAAUAUUAUCACCUAAUCGAUGUGCCGGUUACCCACAUGCGCUCCACCGAUCUAUGAUAAACAUUAAGUCACCCUUUGUUAUCCUUACUAGUACAAGUUAUUGUGCCGGUUACCCACACACGCUCCACCAACGACUUGGUAAGGUACAAAGUGUGAAUUUCAUGGGUCAGCACCAAAUUCACAUUUUCCUAAGUAACUAAGAUUGGGAAUUUAAUAAGUGUUUAGUUACUUAGUAUUUAUCAUUAUACUUUUAAUGAAGGGAGAAUUAUAGUCCUUGUCCUACCCGUUCGGCGAACGACCCUCAACCAGUCAAGGAAGCGGUGGGUGAGAGUGGACACCCAUUAAACUGCCAUUUUAUAGGCAGUAACCUUAUGCCCCCCUUAUAUACCGGCUUCGUGAAUGAGGUCUACUAACGGUAAGAUUGACUUUACUCUUAUACGUAUAUAUAAUCAUUAACUUUUAAUAUUAUAAUAGUAUAAGGGUGUAUUUGAAACAUUUACAAUACUUGGUGGUUUAAUCUAUUAAUUAAACUAUACUCUUAAUUUAAUUAAAAUUAAACCAUGUCUUUAUGGAAUUAUUAACUCUUUUAAUUAAACACUUUAAUUAAUUUAAUGAAGUCCAUAAAGUUUGAACUUUAACUUUUAAAAUUCUAGAGUUUGGAAUUAAAGUGUAUAUGGGGGUGACUUUACAAAUUCCAAAACUUGAGGACAAGUUUUGAACAAUUCAAAAACUUAUGGUUUCCAUAACUUAUGAGUUUUAAAGUGGUUUAAAAAGCAUUUAAAAAAUGUGACUCUUCAUUUUUUCAUAACUUAUGGAAAAUUUAUGAGUUAAAAAAUUCAUAAAUGUGACUUUUCAAGUAACUUGAGGACAAGUUACAAAAACACAUAUUAUUUCCAACUUCUAGAUUAAUUUGGAUUGAAAACAACUAUCUCAUAAUUUUUUCUAUUAAUCUAAACAAACUCAUAAACAUGAACAUUCAUAAUCAACAAUUUUCAAGCAUCAUAUAAACAUGUAUAAAACUUGAAACUUUGAUUAUUAUCAUUUAUUUGGAUGCAAAUAAACUUUACCAUCGUAUCAAAAAACAAAUUUUAUGAACAAAAACACUUUGUGGUAAUGAUUCUAAUCCAAAACAUACCAAAAAACACGAAUAUAUGCUGUCAGGGGGUCCAACUUGUCGAGUGCAUGAACCAACUCGACGAGUUGGAUGAAUUUGUUCAUGGACUCGUUGAGUCUGCAGUCCAGACAGCAAAAAAUUUGUUUUUUUCCAGCUAUUUGCAUCAAGUAUAAUUGAAAACAACCCAUGGCUUUGAUACCACUAUUGGGUUUUGGUAUAAUACAACAUUAUAUGGUGCACAUACAACCCUAAAUACCUUGGAUCUAUGUUUUCACUAUAUAUACAUGCAAAUGGUUUCCAAGGUAUUAAUCUUACAACUAGCAUGCAUUUAACAUAAAAGCAUAAGAUACAAGUUAGCAUGACAUACCUUUUGAUGGAGCUUGAAGUCUUGGUGUAUUUGGCCUUAAAGAGCUUUGCCCCAAUAGUGUGGAAGCCUCAAAUGACGUCACAACAGAUCAUGGACAAAGGUAGGGCUUGAGAGAGAAUUCCAUGCACCAAAAACCUCCAUAUGUCACUAAGAAAAGAAGUGUGUACGUUUUGGUCAUGAAGUAGCACAUUUAUACGUUGGAUUCCAAGAGUCAUGGGUAUAACCCAAAUCCAAACCCAUGGGUGUUAUGAUCCAUGGUCCAUGUGGCCCAACUCUUCAUGUAUCCAUACAUAAACUUGGUCCAACAUGGAUCAUAAGCCCAACACAUAUAAAUAUAACAAAUUACCAUAAUUGGUCCCCAUAUAUUUAAUUAGUCACUUUUGACCACUAAAUUAAUUCCAAAUUAACUCUUGAUCAACACUAAUUAAAACAUAUGAUUUCAUAUUAAUAUAUUAUAACUUAUAAUAUAUUAAUAAACCAUCAUUAACCUUCUCUCAAAAGUCCAUCCUAACAAAUUGUCCUGAUGAUAUGCAACCCAAAUGGACCAUGCUACUCUUGGGUCGAAUACAUACCAAUAAUAGUUAUGGUCUUAGACACCUAAUCCAACAAUUAGCCCCUAGAUCCAUCCCAUCAUCCCCUUCAUCAUCAUCAUCUUCAUCAUCAUCUUCGUCAUCAUCAUUAACUCUGAUAAUUGGUACAUGCUCCUCUACAAAAAUUGCUACUGGAGGAGUAGUUUUAUCUUCCUGAUCAGAAACAAUAAGUUCAUCAUCUUCAAUUUCUGAGGCUUUAACUAAAUCUAAAUCCUCCCCAUUCUAAGAAAAACAACCCAACUUUUCUAAGGGCUUCGUUCCUUGAAACAUAAAUUUUGAGACUUUGUGGUUCUGCAUCAUAUCCAAAGUUUCUCCUCUUCCUUUUAGUUCAAGAUAUUUAUCAUUGAUGAUCAUAUGGAGGAACCCUGUGUACAUUAAAAAGGUGUCAUUUCUCUUCCCUUGUAAAUUAUUCUUCAUUUCAUUCAACACAUAUUUUGAAAAAUUGAAGUCAAGAAUCAUGACUAGUGCAGUGAUGGCGUCGAUAUUUCAAUAAAGAAUUUUCAUUUGCACCUGCUUUCCUUCUAGCGAUGCAUAUCACAAAGGAGUGGGCAAGAAAAUGCCAGUAACGGGGAAGUAACUUCUUUAUCGUAGGAGGAAAACCUCUUUCAUAACUCAUCCUAUCUAAGAUCUCCUUGACCUGAUCCAUUGGAAUUUCAGUUGGAAAUCCUGGUUGACCCUCAAGUCGAAGCACUUUUCAGAUAAUUUGUUCAGACACCACAAUCUUUCUCCCUUAGAUAAAGGAUUCCACUGUGCCUUCUCCAUUUUCUCCUUCUUUGUUAACUAAAGCAUUGUCCCAAAACUGUCUUACUAACUCCUGAAAGAUUAUUGGAUUUGUUUGGAAGGCAUGAGAAAGUUUGUAAUUUUUAAGUCCAUGAACAGUAGACCUAAACUUUUGAUGCGCCAUUGGAGGAUCUGAAAAAGUAUGCAACAAUGUUGUGGUUUUCCGAAAACUUUACAUCUACUAUUUAUCUGCAUCAAACAAACCAGCUGAGAAAAUUUAAAAAUUAAACAAUUUAGAUUGAUUUUCUCAAAUAUUGGUUGACUAAGGCUCUAAUUUUAAUUUUAUGUCUGUCAAAAUGAGUUAAUUUAGCGUGAGUUCUACACCGAUCCCUUCACAUUUGAAUGAGCGGCUCUUUAUGCUUUAGUAAGAAGGAUUAGUCUCGCCCUGAGGCGUACCCCGCUUGAAAAAUGCUCUUUGAGGGUUUUAAGAAUAGCAAUUCUAGGGGAAACUAAUUCAUUGAUGGAGCCGAAGCCCUAGUUUCUUGAUGAUAGGAAUUGUCGUUUUCUUCAUUCAAUCCCACCGUAUCUGUUGAGCCUAUCGGAGUUGCCUAUGUGAGGUUCUUUCCGAUCUCUGGACUCUUUCUAAUAAAAAGUGUCAAAAAAACGAAAGCUAGCAAAAGCAAUUUGUAGGAAGUAAACGGAGUCUUUCCUUCCGAAAUCCACUCCUGAAGUCACGUCUUUCAGUACUGGGACUGAAGUCAAGUACUUUCGAGUUGCUCUUUGCCCAAAGCCCUCUUUCCGACUUAGAAAGACCAACUAACAAUAGCUUUAGCAUCUCUUGAGUUGGAAAGGUCUUUAUAGAGCUAAGGGGAAGGUUUGGAACCCUAGUAGCAGAAUGGAAUCAGCGGGCUGACUUCCAUGCUAACACGAGUAGUUUAACUCAGCAUUACCUCGUAAGUUCGUUUUCAAUUAUUUUUGCUUUGCGAGAAACUUUUUAAAAAAUCUUCAAAUAGCCAUUGCAUAGUUUACGAAUUAUGCUUAGUAGGGACCUAAACACAGGAAUGGUUCAGAGUCAGACCACGCCUUAUGACGAAAGGGGGAGAAAGGACUGUCGAUCUAUGAUCAAAGAAAACUAUACCUGAAGAAUGGGAUACAGAUUGGGAAUAAAAGAAAGACCUAUGACUCGUUGUCUAAAUCAUAACUUCAAACAGAACCCCACUGUAGAGAGGGAGACCCCUGGAAGUGUAAGAACGACUAUUUUGGAGCCUGAGGGUGAGGUUCCAUCGACGAGUGAGAAAAGGAACGAGAGACCUACGGCUAUGUGAGGAUUAGGACGCGGCGUACGGUUGGCAAUGGCAAGUCAGUCACAUAGGCUUUUGUAAGAACACGCGUCAGUACUAGACUGAUUAUGCCAUCGAUUCAAAGGAAGGACGGGAAAGCACAGGGCAGGAAACAAUUAGAAAACCUAUAACCCUUGAGUGAGUUCGCAGUCAAUCUUGCUUUCGAUUCAACAAUACGAACCGAAGAAAACAAUUAGGAUGAAAAGAUUCUUUGGCAAAGGAGUUUUUUCCUUACAGCCGAAAAAAAUAAUCAAGUACAAAAUUUAGGUUUUCUGCCGCAAAGUGUUUUUGGUCGUAAACGCGUUUUCGGAUGAAAACGAUCCGCUUUCCAGAUUUUGACGAAGAACACCGUUGAAAAUGCGAUUUUGCCUCUAAAUCCUGCAAAACAAAGUCAAUUUUAUUGAGAAAAAGUUGUAUGGUGUCGCCAAGUCAUUAACUACAAGAAUCGUGAAUCAAUUUCUAAUUAAAACAACAAACAGAUAAUGAACCGGUGACAGUGAGCAAGAACUUGAGAGAGAAAAGGAAAGGGAGUUUUUAGCCGAAAUCGAUAAGGUGCUAAUAAAGGCGUCAACAGUCGUAACUCCCUCCUUAUAUACGCUAUACUAUUUUCGGCUCAAGACCCAUGAUCAACUGGGCUGUAAGUGCAAACCCAAUAAAUCCAAUUUUAGUUAAAAUGUAAACAUUUUGAAGACUUCAAAUUUUAAAUGAAAAAUAAAAAUAAAAUAAAAUCUAAAAAUUUAAAUUCAAACUAAUAAUUUUUUUAAUUUUUAUAAAAUGAAAAUAAAAUUAAAAAUAAAAAUAAAAUAACACUAAUUCCCUUUUCAAAAUAAAGAGCUUUUGGGAUCAUAAGUUCUGACACAAUCUUAACAUGCUUUUCGGUACCUUCAUCUUCAUGAAAAGAUCUUGUCAAUUGCCGGUAUUGUGGUCCACUUAAACACGAAUAAUAUUGACAAUCUGGACAUAUUAUGAGUGACAAGUCAUUACUCUUAAAAUCUUAAAUGGACCAUUUAACUGAUGACAACCAAGGGUAUUGUUGUCCAGUUAAAUUUAGUUGCUAGAUCUACAAACAACCUAUUAAAUGAUUCAAUUUUAGAUGAGCUAGAGUAUAUUUCCCACUUCCUGAUAUACCCUGGUAAUCAAGUGCUUCCAAACAAUCCCUUACUUUAGUAAGGUAGACAAUUAAUAGGAGAUAAUAGAUUUAGAAGUGCAUAUGUUGUGUCCCAGGUCGGAUCUCUUCCAAUCACGCAGAGGGGAAAACAUGUAACUAAUGCGGAUAGAGGAGUUGAGAGAUAGAAUGAUCCAUAUGUUGUGUUUCAGGUUGGAUUGUUUCAAUCACCUAAGACAACGUAUGACUGACAGAGAAAAAGAAAUGCAUAGAUAAGAAGGUGCAUAGAAAUAGAGUUGCAUAUGUUGCAUUGCAGGUCGGAUAUGUUCCAAUCACACAAAGGAAGCAACAUAUGACUGACAGAUAGAAAGCAAGAAAACAAUUUUCUACAUACAUACUUUAUCAGAACCCCGAGUUACCUUAUCAAUACCAGAAUUAAGGUCAUCAGACCAUACAUCAACUGUUGGGUCAAAAAUAUGGUUUAUACUUUGCUUUUCUAAGAAAAUAUAUUUUUCUGUAAUUUUGUGGCUGUGUACGGCUGCACAUGUGUGUGCGGCCACACACCCUAUGUACGGCCGCACAUGUGUGUGCAGCUGUACACUCGUGUGCUGUUGGUGGCCCAUGUCUCAUAUAUAUAGGGUGAGGAGUGUACGACCUGAAGAGAGAGAAAAGAGAGGAGCAUGUUCUAGAGAGAAGAAUAGUGUGUAUGAGAGAAUGUAUGUAUAUGGAGCAUCAUUCAUAUUAUUAAAUACAUCAUUAGAUUCAUCUUAAUUCUUUUUUUUCUUUUCUUUUAUUUGAUCUGACAUCAUCCAAUUGAUGGAGCAUCAUUCAUAUUAUUGAAUACAUCAUUAGAUUCAUCUUAAUUAUUUUUUUUUCUUUUAUUUGAUCUGACAUCAUCCAAUUGAUUGGGAUUCCGCACCAUCAAUUGGAUCAAAUUGAUACACAAGUAAUUUUGGGGACUUACAAUUGGUAUCAGAGCUUGGAUUGUAUCAGUCAAUUUUGUAAGAUCUGGAGCUUAUUUGAUCUUAUUUUCGAAAUAUUUUUGCGUUUUUAGAUGGAUCUCUGAAAAUUAAGGGGGGUUUUCUUCUUUGCAUUUUUCAUAAAAACGAGUUUUUGAUCGAGUUUUGGAGCAAAAAAGGGUGAAAACGUCAUUUUUUCGCGAAUCUGUUGAAGGUGUGCGGCCAGGGAGUAUGCGGCUCAGUGUGUGCGGCUCGAUGUGCAGCUUCGGAUGGUGUAUGAGGCUUCAAUCGUCAGAGCUCCUGGUCAGCUCAAGACUUCGCAGCAUCUUAUUAAAAAAAGGGAAGGGAUUUUGUAGUUACCAGGAAUCGAACUUGCGCCAUCAGCUUCAUCAAAGCAACGCCUUAACCAACUCAUCUACGCUGGGAGAUGAUAUCCUUAAUUUUUAGAUUUUGAUAUUUUUAACCAAAAAAUCAAUUUUCUUUAUUUUUAAAUUACAUUUUCAACACAAAAAUUUUAUUUUUUAGUUUUAUACUUUUUACUUAAAUUUUGACUUUGACAUUUCUAGUUUGACCUUUGACUUUAAACUUUGAGUUUUUCGUUUAAUUUCUAGAUUUUCAAAUUUAGCCUUUCGGUUUGACUUUUAAGUUUGACUUUUUAAGUUUGAUUUUUUUAAAUUUGAAUUUGAAGGUUGACUUUCUCGGUUUUUAAGUCAAAGGGAAAUUAAAAAAAAAUGAGUUCCGCAUCAAUUCCGGUAAAUGAAGUUUCAUGCACUCUAUCUUGUGAAACUACUAUUAAAUUUUUCCGAUAUCAAAUCGAUUUAUUAAAAAGAGAAAAUGAGGACCUUAAAUAUGAAGGCUAUACUCUAAGGAAAGGUCAGAAACCAUUAAAAGCACAAUUAGAAGCCAAAAUCAAGGAUUUCCGAAAGCUUUAAGAAGAUUACAUCAACAAGUGUGAAAAUUACGAUCACAUUAAACGCAAACUUGCUGCUGUAACUGAAGAACUUGACACUUUGAAAAUUAAGUGUGGAAAAAUAGAUGUUAGUUUCAAAAAUUAUACUACAUCAAGUGAGAUAGUCGAGUCCUUAGUAGAAAAACAAUUGAUUUUUAAAGAUAAUCAAACCAAGGGUGUAGGAUAUCACAGUGUGCCACCUCCUUUUAAUCACAACUAUAACCCACCCCUUGAGACCAAUGAGGAAAUGCCUGCUCAGUAUGGCCGAACCACUGCUCCAGCUUCAAUUAAGACUGAACAAUCAGGGCCAAGUGAGGGUGUUGAGGUGAAGAAUACUGAUGUUUCUACUUCCUGUGUAGGUAAACUUGUGGAAGAUGAGAACAAGGAGAAUAGUACUGAACAAACCAAUGACUCCUUGAACUCUGAAUCUGUUGCUUCUAAUUCUGUUACUCCUACCAAAUAUGUUGUUGAGAAAUAUAGGCCACCAAAUCAAGUGAAACAACCAACUUGCUGCAAUUGUGCUUGUGGGAAUAAUAAGUGACAAGGCAAGGGUACGCCACCAUGGGCAGGAAGAAACAAUUUCCCAGUGAAGAAAAAGACUUGUUUUCACUCUGGAACACCUGGACACAUUGCCAGAAAUUGUCCUAAUCGAGCAUACGUUCCCUACUAUGCACAAGGUUGACAAAACUCGCAAGGUGGGAGACUCUACAAAAGAAAUCAUUCGAGGUCACAAUCGCGCAAUGGAGACUGGAAAGCACAGAAAGCUAUCAAUCAAACCCACAAUGCCAAGAGUUUAACUCCUAAGGCCAAGAAAUCAAAUCCCAAGGUCAAGAAGGGAAUGUCGGCCAAGAAGUCCAAUCCAAGAGAUGCUCCAGUGAAGCCAAGACCGGUUAGGUCAAAUACAUCUCGACGAUUGGCUUCAAGUUCAAAAUCAAGUGUCGAGGCACCCAUCAGAUCAACAAAAAAUGGGUUAAACCCAACUACAAAUAGGUACCAAAGGUUCAAUCUCCCAAAUCUCCUAAUGCUUAUAAUAUUUCUACAUCUUCUGUUUAUGAUAAGCAGGAUAUGUCGCGGGAGAGAGUUCCUUGCAAGGAUGAAAAAGGUCGACCCAAUUUCAAAAUGGAUUGGGUUCCAAAGACCAACUGAUCCUGCUCUAUAUCGGAGCAGCUAUGGAGGCAUAUCAUUAGAUUUUAGUUUGUUGAUAGUGGUUGUUCCAGGUACAUGAUAGGAGGCAUCUCUCAACUGUGCAACACUCAGAACUUUGUUUGAGAGUAUGUGUCCUUUGCGGGAAAGGAAGAAAUGAAGGGAUCACACAUUGGGGUUUGUGCUUACGGUUUGAGUUUUCUUCUCUAUACUCCUGAGUUUAUCUGACUCUGAUUCGUUUUAAAGAAAAUUCUUCAUUAUCUUAAUAAUUUUUCGUUAGUAGUUAGUAUUGGGAAUUGAUAUCAACAAGUGAUAAUGGGCAAUCUGAGUCUGUGUAAAGUACCAAAGCUGAAUUGUCUAGGCUCUGUGUUCGAUGCGCUGGUAGGCACGAAGUAUUUAGAUGGACAUUACUAGGCAAAGAUGAACUUAAGAAAUCACAUAACUUGAAACAUAUUGACCUAGAUAGAUCCGUUUAGCCUGACAAUACGACGCUUGGAUAGGUUGAGCAGGGAGACAUACAUGAGAAUCCACCAGUCACAUUAAAGAACCCGUAUCUAGAACUGUGGUUUUACUUUUCCUCGAUGUACGGAUUCUGUCCUUAAUUCCAGUAUUGAUAGGGCGACUGGGGAAUUCCGAUAAAGUAGGUCUGUAGAAAAUUAUUUUCUUUCUUUCUUACUAUUAGUCAUAUGUUGCCUCCUCUGCGUGAUUAGAAGAGAUCCGACCUGGACUGCAACAUAUGCAAAUCUAUUUCUCUGCAUCUUAUAUCUAUGAAAUUCUUCAUAUCCGUUAGCCAUAUGUUGUCUCCUUUGUGUGAUUAACAAUCCGACCUGGUACACAGCAAAUGCAACCUUUUACUUCUCAAUCCCUCUGAAACUAUAAUUAAUCAUAAUCUAAAUCUAUCCUCUCUAUGAAUAAUAGUUUGCUCACCUAAAGUAAUGAGUAUCUUGGAAGUUCUUGAUUAUUGGAGUAUAUCAGGAAGCGGGAAACAUGUUCUAGUACAUCUAAAAUUGAACAAUUCUAGAUUGUCUGUACAAAUUUAGGGGGAGAAUUAAAAAAAUAUAUAUUCAAAAAUCAAACAAAAAUCAGAAAAAUUCAAAAAUCAAACAAAAAAAUAGAAAAUUAAAAAUUAAAAAAAAUAGUGUUAUUUCUGUUUUAUUUUUUUUUUCAGAAAAUAUCGAAAAUCCAAAAAUAUUUUUUGUGUGCUAAUUUUUCUUUUAGUUUUGUUUUCUCUUGAAAAGUGAUUUCAGGCAUAGAUGAGACUCGUGGAGACUGUAUUGAAGAUUUUCUAAGCCAGGCUUCAUCCAUGAGCAUCGAAGAUUUUUCACUCGAAGGAGCAAGAAAUGAAGAUAAUUCUUUAAACAUUCAAUCCUUCAACCCCAGAAGCAAGGUCAAGAUGUGCUUGAAGAUUAUGUGAUAGAUUGCAUUGAAGUCUCCUUAAUCAAUCUGCUGCUAUCUAUAAACCUGCAGAUGUGAUCCAGAAGAUUCGUUCUCUCUGUUCUCUUUGAGGAUUCUCAAGCUGAAAGUGCCAUCUUUCAUGGAUCUCUAAAAGAAGCCUCCUCACCCAAUGUGCAUUCAAUGUCAAAUUCUGCAGAAAUCCCAACUGCUCAAGAUGAAUUCAUUUAUUGAAGAUUCAUAUGUUCAUCUUAAUGCUGUGAUGAAAUUUGAAGAUAAAUGCUGAAGCCAAGCUCCUAAUGAAGAUUAACAAGAAAAGCUAGCUACUUUUUAGGGGGAGUUUGUUGGGCCAAUUAGGAAAGACAGCUAUAAACCAAGGGGAGAUUGUUGGGUCAAAAAUAUGGUUUAUACUUUGCUUUUCUAAAAUUUUGUGGUUGUGUACGGCUGCACAUGUGUGUACGGCCGUACACCCUGUGUACGGCUGCACAUGUGUGUGCGGCCGUACACCCUGUGUACGGCCGCACACAUGUGUGCAGCUGUACACUCAUGUGGUGCUGGUGGCCCAUGUCUCAUAUAUAUAUGGUGAGGAGUGUAUGGCCAGAAGAGAGAGAAAAGAGAGGAGCAUGUUAUAGAGAGAAGAAUAGUGUGUGUGAGAGAAUCUAUGUAUAUGGAGCAUCAUUCAUAUUAUUGAAUACAUCAUUAGAUUCAUCUUAAUUCUUAUUCUUCUUCUCUUCUAUUUGAUUUGAUAUCAUCCAAUUGAUUAGGAUUCCGCACCAUCAAUUGGAUCUGAUUGAUACACAAGCAAUAUUGGGGACUUACAUCAACGAAAUGUUAAACCACAACUCUAGAUAUAUGAUUUUAAUGCGUAGUGCAGAUUCUCAUGUUUAUUUCACUGCUCAAUCUACCCAAGUGUCGUAUUGUAAGUCCAAAUGGGACUAUCUAAUUCAUAUCGUCUAGUCCUGUCAUUGUCAAUCAAAGGCUAGUCCUUUUAAAACCCUUUGUGCCCACCAACACAUUGAACAUAAAGUCUAGACAAUUUAGAUUCAUUACCUUACACUUGCUUAGACUGUCCUUUAUCACUCAAUCUUGAUAUCAUUUCCCCAAAUGAUCACCUACAAAAUAAAACCAUAAGAACAUAUUUUUGGAAUUUUCUUUUAUAAUAUUUUUGCGUUUUUAUUCUCUCCCCCCCCCCCCUUAAAUUGUAAGUCCCUAAACCUGCAACCAACUUGUGAUCAACAAACAAACAAACGAAAAAAUGAUCAAGUACAAGAAUCAGUAGAAGAUAGAAUUGGUCCAUAUUGCACACGUUUUAUAUAUAACCGAAAACAUCUAGUACAAUGGACCCUACAUACACUUGACCACAAACAACUACUUACAACUGACAAGCUACAUACACUAUUUAUAGAGAACAAUAAAAGAGAACUAGUUUGUAGUCGUAAACAACACAUGGACCGAAAACAGGACGUUUUCGGUCCACCCAAACAAAAACCAACAAAAACACCUAUACAAAGCCUACAAAACAUAAAUUCCUAGCUUAAACCAACAAAACAUGUCCUAACAGUCUCCCCCUUGGUUUGAGGCUAGCAUGAAUUCAAUCCUUCUGAAUCAACAAAACAUUUGAGUUCCCUAUAGCGCCCGCCCACAUCUUUUUGUUUAUAAUCUCAGCGACGAUACUAGUAAACUCCUUGAAAGCAACCUCCACAAUAUCAUUCUUGACCAUGAUCUGAUGUUGAGCUAGAGUACGAAUGUCGCACUUUCAAAACUGCAGAAGAUCCUUUGCUUCAACAAGACGGAAAAAACCUUCCGGAAAUUUGAUGACUGUGGUGGCUGUGGCCUCAUCAUAAAACCAAAAUUCCAUAUUAUCCAAAGACCCAUCCUAGAACUACUAAACAAUAGGAAUUUGAUGCAUUUUCUUUAUGGGAGGCCAAAUCACAGAUUUUACAGUUCGGUUGGUCUUUUGAUCGUGGACGCCUUUGAAUUUCUUUACAAAUGAAUCGACAGUCUUCAUUCCAUCAAAUUUUCUCCUUACUUGGUUCCCUAAAAAGGGAUAGAAAUCAGACCCACGAGGAUCAUUCGAUGGAUUAUGGAAUGGAGCUUCAACGAGUUCUGUAAGGUCGAAUUUAGUCCAAUAAUUAAAGUCAUUUAUGUGUUUAUGAUACUCAACAUUUCCACUUUUCCGCUUCACCACCCAUAUAUUUAAUUUAUCAUGAAAUUCCCACAUCAAAAUUCUAGACCGAUCUUUGUACUAGUUUUUGAACCACUUUUUCCCAACCUCAGUCAUACUUAGUUGAGGCCGAUCUCCACGGAUGUUUUGAUUGAAAUUAUUCAUGAAAAGCAAUCCUCUUUUGCCUUGAGUCUUGGCUUGUUUCUGAGAUUUCUUUAGAAUUGCUCUUGGAUCAGAUUGAGCAGGUUCAAUUUUAAAACGAUCAAUAAUACAGUUCGUUCUUGCAGUUUAAGAAGCAUCUUGAGGAUUUUGAGUUUCUUGGGCAGGGGCACUAUAGGAAGCUUCACCUACAUUAGGUUCACCAACCGUUAUUUUGAAGUUUUCGCCAAAUUCAAUUAUCAACUUGUUCUUCAAAUCAAAAUAACAGGCAGAUAAAGCACCAAGAUUGAGCUACAAGUCAGAGAUUUGUUUUGAUUUAUGUUCAUUUUCUUUCGCGAGCUUUGAAACUCUAACCUCUAGAGUUCCAAUGAAAACAUCUUUUUUAAUACGUUUUGGAUUUAAGAAUCUGAUCUCCUCCUUGAUCUAGAGCAUCGUCGGGUCUUCUUUAUCAGGGCUCCCUACACCUAUCGAUAUUCCUAUGCCCCUAGGUGUAGGGACAUCACCUUCACAAGCCAAAAACCUGGAAAGCCAUUCGAAGGCUACAUCGUGCGUAGGUUGAGGAGUCGAGGAGCCACCAGGAUCUGAAGAGCUCUCAACUUCAUAAGAUUGGUGAACAAUGUUGGGCUCCCCAUGUAUCAUUUGGCUGUCAUAAUGUGUUUGUUGGCUUGGGGUAACUGUUGUAGUAGAUUGUUGAGCGGGCUGAUCUAGUUCCAUAAUGGGCACUCCCGACAUUGGAUCUGUUCUUCUUCUUUUAAGUGGAGGUUGGGAGGCUUGUGUCUCUUGUAGAUUACUCUCAUUUAGAAUAAUAGUUGGAGUGGAAACUGCUUGAGGAAGAAUCCUCACCGUUGAAUCCAAAUCAGCAAUAAAGUUGUCCAUCUAAUCGGGCGAUUGUUGUGGCAGCUUGAGAAUAUUUUCUUCUCUCUAAGUCUUUGUGGGAAAAAAUCCAACAGCAUCGACAUUAUCAAAGAACGAAUCAAGGUCUUCAUCAUUGGCUUGAAAUCAAGGUAUACAUCAUCAUCAUCAAAACCUGAUAAAUCACCUUCUUGACCCAUUUCGGCUCCAUCAUCAUCCCUAUCAUCAUCAAAUCCUAGGGUAUUAUCCCCUAGAUCCAUCCCAUCAUCACCUUCAUCAUCAUUAUCUUCCUGAUCAAAAAUAGUAACUUCAUCAUCUUCAUUUUCUAAGGUUUCAACUGAAUCUGAAUCCUCACCAAUUUCAGCAAAACAACCAAGCUUUUCUAAGGGAUUCGUUCCUUGAAACACAAAUUUUGAUACUUUGCGGUUUUGCUUCCUAAGACCAAAAGUGCUAGGACCCAGAGACUUCAUAUCCAAAGUUUCUCCUCUUCCUUUCAAUUCCGGAUAUUUGGCAUUGAUGAUCAUCUGGUGGAACCUUGGGUACGUUAAAAAUGUGUCCUUUCUCUUCCUUUGUAAAUUAUUCUUCAUUUCAUUCAACAUAUAUCUUGAAAAAUUGAAGUCAAGAUCCGUGACUAGUGUAGUGAUGGCGCCGGUAUUCAAUAAAGAAUAUACAUCUGCACCUGCUUUCCUUCCAGAGAUGCAUAUCACAAAGGAGUGGGCAAGAAUACGCCAAUAAGGGGGAAGUAACUUCUUUAUCAUAGGAGGGAAAUAUCCUUCAUAACCUAUCGUAUCUAAGAUCUCCUUGACCUGAUCCGUUGGAAUUUAAGUUGGAAAUCCUGACUGAUCCUCAAAUCGAAUCACUUCUCGGAUAAUGUGUUCAGACACCAAAAUCUUUCUUCUUUAGAUAAAGGAUUCCAUUGUGCCUUCUCUAUAUUCUCCUACUUUGUUAACUGAAGCCUUGCCCCAAAACUCCCUUACUAACUCCUGGUAGAUGAUUGGAUUUGUUUAGAAGGCAUGAGCAAGUUUGUAGUUUUUAAGUCCAUGAACCAUAGACCUAAACUCUUGAUGCGCCAUUGGAGGAUCUACAAAAAAUAUGCAGCAAUGUUGUGGUUUUCCAAAAACUUUAGAUCUACAAUUUAUCUGCAUCGAACAAACCACAUGAGAAAAUUUAAAAAUUAAACAAUUUAGAUUAUUUUUCUCAAAUAUUGGUUGACUAAGGCUCUAACUUUAACUUUAUGUCUGCCAAAAUGAGUUAAUUUAGGGUUUACAGCCGAAAAAAAUAAUCAAAGUCAAAAUUUAGGUAUUCGGCCGCAAAGUGUUUUUAGUCACAAACACGUUUUCGGCUGGAAACGUUCCACUUUCCAGAUUUUGACGAAGAACACCGUCGAAAAUGCAAGUUUGCCUCUAAAUCCUACAAAACAAAGUCGAUUUGAGUGAGAAAAAGUUGUAUGGUGGUCGCCAAGUCAUUACCUACAAGAAUCGUGAAUCAAUUUCUGAUUAAGACAACAAACAUAUAAUGAAUUGGUAAUAAUGAGCAACAACUUGAGAGAGAAAAGGAAAGGAGUCAACAGCCAAAAAUCCCUCCUUAUAUACCUUAUACUAUUUUCGGCCCAACACCCAUAAUCAACUGGGAUUUAAAGCAAAAGUUUUUUAAGUCCAAACCCAAUAAAUCUAAUUUUAGUUAAAAAUGUAAACAUUUUGAAGACUUAAAAUUUAAAUUAAAAAUAAAAAUAAAAUAAAAUCUAAAAAUUUAAAUUCAAACUAAUAAUUUUUUUAAUUUUUAUAAAAUGAAAAUAAAAAUAAAGAUAAAAUAACACUAAUUCCCUUUUCAAAAUAAAGAGCUUUUGGGAUCAUUAGUUCUGACACAUUCUUAACAUGCUUUUCGGUACCUUCACCUUCAUGAAAAUGAUCUUGUCAAUUGCCGGUAUUAUGGUCCACUUAAACACGAAUGAUAUUGACAAUGUGGACAUAUUAUGAGUGACAAGUCAUUACUCUUAAAAUCUUAAAUGGACCAUUUAACUGAUGACAGCCAAGGGUAUUGUUGUCCAGUUAAAUUUAGUAGCAAGAUCUACAUUCAACCAAUUAAUUGAUUCAAUAUUAGAUGAACUAGAGUAUGUUUCCCACUUCCUGAUAUACCCUGGUAAUCAAGUGUUUCCAAACAAUCCCUUACUUUAGAAGAGUAGACAACUAAUAAGAGAGAAGAUAGAUUUAGAAGUGCAUAUGUUGUGCCCUAGGUCAGAUCUCUUCUAAUCACGCAGAGGGGACAACAUGUGACUAACGCAGAUAGAAGAGUUGAGAGAUAGAAUGAUGAAUAUGUUGUGUUCCAUGUCGGAUUGUUUAAAUCACUUAAGACAACAUAUGAUUGACAGACAAAAAGAAAUGCAUAGAUAAGAAGGUGCAUAGAAAUAGAGUUGCAUAUGUUGCAUUCCAAGUCGAAUAUGUUCCAAUCACGCAAAGUAAUCAACAUAUGACUGGCAGAUAGAAAGCAAGAAAACAAUUUUCUACAGACCUACUUUAUCAGAACCUCGAGUUACCCUACAAGUACCAGAAUUAAGGUCAUGAGACCAUACAUCAACGAAAUGUUAAACCACAACUCUAGAUAUAUGAUUUUAAUGCAUAGUGCAGUUUCUCAUGUUUAUCUCACUGCUUAAUCUACCCAAGCAUCGUAUUGUUAGUCCAAAUGGGACUAUCUGAAUUCAUGUCGUCUAGUCCUUUCAUUUUCAAUCAAAGUCUAGUCCUUUUAAAACCAUUUGUGCCUACCACCACAUUGAACACAAAGUCUAGACAAUUUAGAAUCAUUACCUUACAGUUGUUUAGACUGCCCUAUAUCACUCAAUCUUGAUAUUACUUCCCCAAAUGAUCACCUACAAAAUAAAACCAUAUUAACAUAUUUUUGGAUUUUUCUUUUAUAAAUUUUUUGUGUUUUUAUGUCUCCCCCUAAAUUAUUACUCCCUAAAUCUGCAACCAACUAGUGAUCAACAAAUAAACAAACGAAAAAAAAUGAUCAAGCACAAGAGUGAGUAGAAGAUAGAAUUGAUCCAAAUUGCACAUAUUUUAUAUAUAACCGAAAAUGUCUGGUGCAAUAGACACUGCACACACUUGACUGCAAAUAACUACUUACAACAAACAAGCUAUAUAAACUAUUUAUAGGGAAGAGUAACAGAAAACUAGUUUGUAGCCGUAAACACGACAUGGACCGAAAACUGGACGUUUUCGGUCCACCCAAAUGAAAACCCUCAAAACACCUAUACAUAGCCUACAAAACAUGAAUUUCUGGUUCAAGCCAACAAAAGAUGUCUUAACAGUCUCCCCCUUGGUUUGAGGCUAACAUGAAUUAAAUCCUUCUCGAUAAACAAAACAUAUGAGUUUCCCAUAGCGCCCGCCCAUAUCUUUUUGUUUAUAAUCUCAGCGACCAUACCAGUCAACUCCUUGAAAGCAACCUCCAGAAUAUCAUUCUUGACCACGAUCUGAUGUGCUAGAGUACGAAUGUCACGCUUUCUAAACUGUAGAAUAUCCUUUGCCUCAAUAAGUCGGAAAAAACCUUCAGGAAAUAUGAUGACUGCGGUGGCUGUGGCCUCAUCAUAAACCAAAAAUUCCAUAUUAUCCAAAGACCCAUCCUGGAACUACUGAACAAUAGGAAUUUGACGCAUUUUCUUUGUGGGAGGCCGCAUCACAGAUUUUACAGUUCGGUUGUUCUUGGGAUCGAGGAUGCCUUUGAAUAUCUUUACAAAUGAAUCGGCAUCUUCAUUCCAUUGAAUUUUCUCCUUGCCCGGUGCUCUAAAAAGUGAUAGAAAUCAAACCCGUGAGGAUCAUUCGAUGGAUUAUGGAAUGGAGCUUCAACGAGUUCUGUAAGGUCGACUUUAGUCCAAGAAUUAAACUUAUUUAUGUGUUCAUAAUACUCAACAUUUCCACUUUUCCGCUUGACGACCCAAAUAUUUAAUUAAUCAUGAAAUCCCCACAUCAAAAUUCCAGAACGAUCUCUGUACUACUUCUUGAACCGCUUUUUCCCAACCUCGGUCACACUUACUUGAGGCCGAUCUCCACGGAUGUAUUGAUCAGAAUUAUUCAUGAAAAGCAAUCCUCUUUUUCCUUGAGACUUGGCUUGUUUUUGAGCUUUCUUUAGAAUUGCUCUUGGAUCAGAUUGAGUAGGUUCAGUUUCAAAACGAUCAAUAAUACGGUUCGUACUUGCAGUUUGAGAAGCAUCUUGAGGAUUUUGAGUUUCUUGGGCAGGGGAACUACAGGAAGCUUCAGCUACAUUUGGUUCACCAACCGAUGUUUUAAAUUUGUCGUCAAAUUCAAUUAUCAACUUGUUCUUCAAAUCAAAAUAACAUGCAGAUAAAGCACCAAGAUUAAGCUGCAAGUCGGAGAAUUGUUUUGAUUUAUGUUCUUUUCUUUCUUGAGCUCUAAAACUUUAACGUCUAGAGUUCAAAUCAAAACAUCUUUUUCAAUAAGUUUUUGAUUUAACACUCCGAUCUCCUCCUUGAUCUUAAGCAUCAUCGUGUCUUCUUUAUUAAUUGUCCCUGCACCUAUCAAUAUUCCUUUGCCCCAACGUGCAUGGAUAUCACCUUCACAAGCCAAAAACCUGGCAAGCCAUUCUGAGGCUACAUCAUACGCAGGUUGAGGAGUCGAGGAGCCACCAGGAGCUGAAGAGCUCUCGGCUUCAUAAGACGGGCGAACAAUGUUGGGCUCCUCAUGCAUCAUUUGGUUGUCAUAAUCAGUGGUUGGCUUGAGGUAAUAGUUGCAGUAGAUUGUUGAGUGGUCUGAGCUAGUUCCAUAAUGGGCACUCCCGACGUUGGAUCUGUUCUUCUUUUUUUAAGUGGAGGUUGGGAGGCUUGUGUCUCUUGUAGAUUACUCUCAUUUGGAAUAAUAGUUGGAGUGGCAACUCCUAGAGGAGGAAUCCUAACAGUUGAAUCAAAAUUAGCAAUAAAGGCAUCCAUCUGAUCGGGCGAUCGUUGUGGUAGCUUGAGAAUAUUUUCUUAUCUCUGAGUCUUUGUUGGAAAAAAUCCAACAUCAUCGACAUUAUCAAAGAACGAACCGAGGUCUUCAUAAUUCGGAUCAAAAUCAAGGUAUACAUCAUCAUCAUAAAAACCUGAUAAAUCACCUUCUUGACCCAUUCCCGCUCCAUCAUCAUCCUUAUCAUCAUCAAAUCCUAGGGUAUUAUCCCCUAGAUCCAUCCCAUCAUCACUUUCAUCAUCAUCCUCUUCAUCAUCAUUAUCUUCCUGAUCAGAAGUAGUAACUUCAUAAUCUUCAUUUUCUAAGGCUUCAACUGAAUCUGAAUCCUCACCAAUCUCAGCAAAACAGCCAAGUUUUUCUAAUGGCUUCGUUCCUUGAAACACAAAUUUUGAUACUUUGCGGUUUUGCUUCAUAAGACCAAAAGUGUUAGGACCUAGAGACUUCAGAUCCAAAGUUCCACCUCCUCCUUUCAAUUCAGGAUAUUUGGCAUUGAUGAUCAUCUAAAGGAACCUUGGGUACAUUAAAAAUGUGUCCUUUCUCUUCCUUUUUAAAUUAUUCUUCUUUUCAUUCAACACAUAUCUUGAAAAAUUGAAGUCAAGAUCCAUGACUAGUGUAGUGAUAGCACCGAUAUUCAAUAAAGAAAUUUCAUCUGCACCUGCUUUCCUUCCAUAGGUGUAUAUCACAAAGGAUUGGGCAAGAAAACGCCAGUAAGGGGGAAGUAACUUUUUAUCGUAGGAGAGAAACCUCCUUCAUAACCUAUCGUAUCUAAGAUCUCCUAGACCAGAUCCAUUGGAAUUUCAGUUGGAAAUCCUGAUUGAUCCUCAAGUCGAAGCACUUCUCGGAUAAUGUGUUCAGACACCACAAUCUUUCUCCUUUAGAUAAUGGAUUCCAUUGCACCUUCUCCAUAUUCUCCUUCUUUGUUAACUGAAGCCUUGUCCCAAAACUCCCUUACUAACUCCUGAUAGAUAAUUGGAAUUAUUUGGAAGGCAUGAGCAAGUUUGUAGUUUUUAAGUCCAUGAACCAUAGACCUAAACUCUUGAUGCGCCAUUAGAGGAUCUGACAAGUUUGCAGCAACAUUGUGGUUUUUCGAAAACUUUAGAUCUGCCAUUUAUCUGCAUCAAACAAACCAAAGGAGAAAAUUAAAAAAUUAAACAAUUUAUAUUAAUUUUCUCAAAUAUAGGUUGAUUAAGGCUCCAAUUUUAAUUUUAUCUCAGCCAAAAUGAGUUAAUUUAGGGUUUAUAGCCGAAAGCAAUAAUCAAAGUCAAAAUUUGGGUUGUCGGCCGCAAAGUGUUUUUGGUCGAAAACGCGGUUUCGGCCGAAAACGUUCCGGUUCUAGAUUUUGACGAAGAACACCGUCUAAAACGCGAUUUUUCCUCGAAAUGCUAUAAAACAAAGUCGAUUUGAGUGAGAAAAAGAUGUAUGGUGGUCGCCAAGUUAUUACCUACAAGAAUCGUGAAUUAAUUUCUGAUAAAAACAACUAAUAGAUGAUGAAUCGGUGACAGUGAGCAAGAACCCGAGAGAGAAAAGGAAAGGGAGUUUUCGUCUGAAAUCGCUAAAGAGCGAAUAAAAGAGUUAAUAGCCGAAAACAUUUUGAAGACUUAAAAAUUUAAAAUUUAAAAUAAAAAUAAAAUCUAAAAAUAUAAAUUCAAACUAAUAAUUUUUUUAAUUUUUAGAAAAUAAAAAUAAAAGUAAAAUAACACUAAUUCCCUUUUCAAAAUAAAGAGUUUUUGGGAUCAUAAGUUUUGAGAGUCUUAACAUGCUUUUCGGUACCUUCACUUUCAUAAAUAGAUCUGGUCAAUUGCCGGUAUUGUUUUCCACUUAAACACGGAGGAUAUUGACAAUUUGGACAUAUUAUGAGUGACAAGUCAUUACUCUUAAAAUCUUAAAUGGACCAUUUAACUAACAGGGACCAAGAUUAUUGUUGUCCACUUAAAUUUAGUAGCAAGAUAUACAGACAACCUAUUAAUUGAUUCAUCUUUAUAUGAACUAGAAUAUGUUUCCUACUUCCUGAUAUACCAUGGUAAUCAAGUGCUUCCAAAGAAUUCCUUAAUUUAGAUGAAUAGACAAUUAUUAGAGGAGAAAAUAGAUAUAGAAGUGCAUAUGUUGUGCACCAGGUCGGAUCUCUUCCAAUCACGCAGAGGGGACAACAUGUGACUAACGCGGAUAGAGGAGUUGAGAGAUAGAAUAAUGCAUAUGCUGUGUUCCAGGUCGUAUUGUUUCAAUCACGCAAAGUGUCACACCCCCAAACCUGAACGGCAGAAACGUUGGGGGGCGGAUGACGUCAUGUCCAAUAUCACAACAAUUGUAUAGUAAAGAAAGUACACACCACAAUAUUACAUUAGUUGAAAAGUUUACAUGAUUGUAUCAAUACAAGUUCAAAAGUUGAUUACACAAAUCAUGAUUCAAAAAUAUGCAAGUAACAUCAUCGCGUUAAGCUUCAAAAGAUUGCUGACAACCUGCCUUAGUGAUUCCCUGAGAACACAAGUUAUUUCAAAGAAAAAGUGUCAACAAUUAAGUUGGUGAGUUCAUAAGUAGUGGUUUGAAUAAAUGUAUGGCAUUCGAAAUUUCGUGUAUGUAAUUUCAGAAAUUUCUAUAUUUUCUUACAAAUUAUGUAGUAAAUCGUUUCACAUGUGUAAUGUAUGUUUCGAAAUAGGAAAAUCCCUUUUUUCUAAAUGUAUAAAUGCAGUCUUUAAAUGUUCAAGACCGUAAACUGUAAGCACUAUACCAUGUUCAAAAUGUUGUUGUAUAGUUUUAUUAUAAAAGUAAACCAUAUGAAUUUCGUUUAGGUGCGCAAAAGUAAAUCGAAAUACUAUUAUUCCUGUAAAGACAUGAUACUGCAUUAAUCGUAUAUUCGGUGAGUUUUCAUAACCAUACUAUCAUAUUUGCCUGCAUGCGACGGUCUUCAGGCGUCGAAACGUUAUGACACUUGUCACCCCGCGGACUGUAGCUAAUAGUCAGGGUGCGGGAUCAUUAGUCUCGUAUAGAUCUAUACACACUUGCCACGUUCUCCAGGUAGGAGAUUCUGGUUAUAAGACAGGACUUACUGUAAUACCCCCAUUGGGUAUAGUGAAGAUGUUGUCUCACAAAUUCUCAAUUAUGUUUUGUAUCAUAAGUGUAGUCAUCUUAAUCACAUUUUGCAUCUCGGAAUAUACUUCAUAAUGACAUCCCGAAAUUCCACUACGAAAAGGUAUUGCAUUUCAUACUUCAGAGUUUUCAAAAUUUCACUUCGGAAGUCUUUCAAACCUUGUUCCGGAAUGUUCUGCAAAUCGUUUUCCGGAAGUCUUUACAAUUUUUCACUCCGAAACUCAAAAAUUAUCAUUAUGGAAUUUUUGCUCCGGAUUUUUCAAUUUUUUUUAACUCCGAAAUCACAAACAAUUUUUUUGAUUCCAGAAUUUCAAGCUUCACUCUGGACUGAUCUCAUUCCGGACCAUUUCUUCAAUUGUUCACAAUCCAGAACUCAACUUUUUACCCUCCGGAUUUCAAACUGUCCGGAAUCGAUCAUUUGGAAACCCAAGAGUCAAUAAGGUGAAACGUUUUCUUUGUAACGAUAACCCUUAAGGAUCCUUAUCUUCCUUGGAAUUCGUGCCACGAUCACACGUCUCCAAAAAGCAACCAUUAAAUUGCCGUUUGGGAUUUCCUUUCUAAGCUCUAAAACAUCCCUACCUUUCCUGUCCCAUGUCAACUCAUUACCAAAAACGGUUAUCCAUUAAAGGCAACCGGGUUUGGCUUCGAGUCAUCAUCGUUACCUUUCUUAACCCAACCCGUUUCACUUACAUAUAUAAACCUUUCUAAAACCCUGUUUACCUCUGUACGCGCUUAAACCCUCAAAACAUUUCAAAAUUUCUCAGUGCUCAUCGUGUUCUUGAAGCUCUCUUAACUGCUCAUCAAUGGCUUCCCAAUAUUCAUACCAAAAGUUUGAUUCAACCUUCUCCACACCCAAGAAAUUAAUUGCAAAGAAGAAACCAUCCAAGGGAUCAUCAUCAUCAAUAUCGCCUGAGCCGUUUCUCCGUGAUAUAACCCAAUUUUUCUCACUAAACCCUAUGCAUUACGAUGAAUGCAUUAGAGUCAUGAUUGAGUUUAUGGCACACCACCCCAUCUCAAUACCUCUCACCAAAGUCCUUGAACAACCUCUACGACUUCAUCUCCGUCACACAACAUUAACUAGAAUCAAAAUUGAUAACAAUAUGCUAGAAACAAAAAUCACAGGCGAUAGAAUAGUGCCCGUCCACAAAUCCACAUUACUUAGGGAAAUCGGUGUAAAAGAAAACCCCAAGGGUUUCAAGGUACAAGAACCAACUCUAAAAGAAUUUCAACUGUUUUUGAACCACAUUGGGUACAACCAAGACUACAGGGCAAAGGAUUUCAAGAAGUCAGAUGUCUUCGGAUGAUGGACUGUGUUGAAGCACUUCAUUAUUUGUUGGUUAUCUGACAAGUACGGUGGAACAGAUACCCUCAACAUAGAUUGGUUGUACGCUAUAUAAAGCAUCUAUUCCAGACGCGACAAUGUUGUUGACCUUCCGGAGGUGCUAUGGAAGGACUUUUGGAAAUUUGCUACCAAAAGGAAGACCAACAAGAUCUCAAGCCCUAGGUUCUGGGAUUUGAUAAUUCAGGAACUCAACAAGGAAUAUUCCAAACCUAUUCCGAUUGCCAUGAUUCCUCCGGAGGUAUAUGUUUCUUUUAAAUCUGUUAAAUCUUAUAGAAUUUCGGACCAAUCUUCAUUUGGUCCUGUCCGAAGGUUGCCUCAAGAUAUGUUGGACCUUAUCCCUUCUGGAUCAAUCCAUUUGCAAAACCAUUUGGAGACUUCGACUGUGUACAUCCCAACACAGUCUUCCCAAGUCCCCUUUGAGCCCACUCUGGAAGUGGACAAGCCAACAUCAUCCGGUACUAAGAAAACCAAAAAGUCUGCCAAAAGGAAGAUUUAUCCUUCGAAGCCAAAGCCUAAAAAGAAAACCAAAGUCAGUUCUUCCUCUCAACAGGAAGGAACACAUGGCAUUCAGGAUGAUUCUGGCCUUCCGCACACCCCUCCCAUCUACUCAUCCGAGGUACUCCUCGUGUUUCAAAAACACAUGCACACACAAACGAGGAGUCUGCACAUAAUCCAUCCUCACCUUUUAUAAAAGGUGAUGUUGGUGUUGAACAAAGUUCCUUGACCCUGGAACACACCAACGUUUCAAAUUUGAAAUCCCACUUUUUUCAUCACGCACACACUUCGGUACCCCUGUUCUGGACCCCAAGAAUUUCGAGGUUGGAGUUGUCCUUCCAACCUCAUGUGCCCCAACUGGUCUAAUACUCGGUAAGGGUACAGGACUACCAGGAACUAAUGAUCCUUUAUGGGAAGACUUUGUGAAUAGGGCACACUCCAGGCAUCCGGAACAUUCAAGAUCCUAAGUCGAAGCCACUCUCAUCUCCUUGCGAAACAGGGCCAUUCAAAGCAACCUUCCCUAUGUUGUUCCAUCAGAUGAGCUUGUAGAUCUUGAAUUCACAUCCGGAAAAACUUCAAAGUAUCUUCCUCAUGCUUCCAAUCCCUCAGCCUCAGAUGAUGAAGUUUCCGAAAAGGCGAUGCUUACCACAGAUGAUGCACACGUUGUUGAUGUCAAUGUGCCUUCCUCAGUUCAAGUUCAUCUUAAGCCAUCUUCAUCCAUGCCUGCUUUCCAUUUCGGAUCCUCAUCCUCCACUAAUGAUGAAUAUGAAUCAACACAAAAACUUUAUGAUGAUGAUGCCACCAAAAAACCUGGUCCUUCUGUAACUUCAAUAAAUCCGAAAUCUACGAAACCCAAUCCUCAACCUUCCAGUUAAGACAAUGGAUCCUAACAGGAAAUCAUAUAGAUCCAUUUUCCCUUUUGGAUAUUCAAUCCAAUGUUUCCGAUACAGUGCAGAAGGUUACCACUCUUGGAUACAAUGCAGAAGGUUUCCAUGGCUGAGCUCAACACCAAAAUCAAUGAAAAGGUGCCCGAACUGGACUCCAAGCUCGACACUUAUCUCUAGUACUUAUCAAAUCAGUCCGGACCUUCCGUGGCUGAACGAGAAGAUUAAUUAGAUCCACUAAUCUCCAUCCACCUCAAGCAUUCGAUUGAAGAUGUUUGAAGCAAAGUAUGAUGCUUUAGUUGAGCAUUAUCUCGACACCAUCACCACAAUGCUCAAAGUCCGUGAUGACUUGGUUGCUGCUACCAAUGAUCUUAUCAAGCAUACCCAUGUUUGUCAUGAGAAACAGUGGAAGGCAGAAAAAGGAUAGCUGAAAGUGGGGAAAGUAGGGCUACUCACAUUGAUUUACAACCAAAAAUCCUAUCUUGAAAAUGACAUCUUCGUGAAAUAGAGAAAGCCAAAUUCAGAGCCUGGAGAAGGAAAUCAAUAAAAAAGGAUGAAAUAAAUUUGAUCAUCCAACAAUUCGUCAUCAAAUUUAUUCGCUCCUAUUGGAACAUUAUUAACGUUCCGAAUCGCAAGUUUGAUGAGAUGCUUGCUAUCCUUGGACAUCUAUUCAAUCAUCUCUCUUCCCAAGCGCCCACUUCUGAAGCGUAUAAUGUUCUUACUUGUCAACUUAACACCAGUAUUCAAAAGGUGUUUACCAAAUUCUAUGAUCUUAAGGACUCUUUCAUGCUUGCACUGGUUCACAAGGAGACUGAUGCAAGAAGGGGAGAAGGUCCAAGUCAACCGUGGAAGCCUGCCUCGGUCUUUCAACUCAGAGAUGAAGAUCUUGUUUCUGAUGAUGAAGUCCAAGUUCUCUCCGGACUUUCAAGGAAACAAUGAGGAUGCUGAUGAUGAUGAAGACAGUGAUGAAUAACUUUAUGUCACUAAGGGAUUUCUUGUUAUUGAAGCUCCACGGAAGCUUUUUCCUAAGCAAAUGACGGAGGAAGAGCAAAGAAUUAGGUAUGCAAUUUCUUAGCCACCUUCUUUGCCGGAUGUUCACAAUGGCGAAGGCCAAAUCCUUCCUCACUGCUCAAGCCUUCCGAGCCACUCUGUCAAUGCGACCACCAAUUCUGAAGCCAAAUAUCACUCCAAUAGAUGAAGGUUCUCCUUUCCGGACCCUAGACGACAUUCCAGAAGAACAUCUUCCAUCCUUCCCUCCCAAGGUCACUGUGGAUGAGAACAGGUUGCAUGUGAUCUCUGUCCUAAAAAAAGCAAAGACAAAGGCAAGAAGCCUAUCACGGAAUCCAAACCUCCACCAAAGCAAAAACUUGGAUGGUCUCAGGAGGAAAUAAACAAGGCUUUAGAGGACAGCAUCCGGAUCCAAGCGCUCAAAGACAAUCCUGAUCCGAUGCGUGACAUUUCUCCUCUCUACUGUGAAGGCAUUCUUAAGUAUGUCAACUUAGUACCAUUUAUGUAUUACUACAUUCCUUCUGAUGAUUUUCAACCGCUUGAUCUUCCUCUCUCUCCCUUCAGCAGAUUUUUACAUCUAGUUUGCUCCUCUCCAUCCCAAUAACAAUCCGGAGGUCACCAUCCAGGCAGAGCGAGAAAAGCUAAAAACCUUCUAUGCCAAGAAUUCACUUCCCCUAAACGAAGUAUGGACAAGGAAGAAGAUUACCAAGAUUUUUGGGUACAGAAGGAAGUUCCUCACCAAGUUUGAACUUAACUGUCCACUCUUCCGAUACCAUGUUGUUAGAAACAAACCAUCUUAUCAAACCAUCACUGAUGCUGAAUUCUCAGAAAUGAAUCUAAACGAUAUUCUCACUCUAGCUGCUCACUUUCGAGGACUCCAAAAUGAUGAUAUCAACAUGGGUGCGUACAAAUAUGCUCUGAGCUUCCUCAAGGAUUAUGUCGCAAAAUUUGGUCGACUUGACUAUGAGUUGGCUCAUCUAUUCGAAGGCCCUAUUGAUGAUCCGGAAGCUAAAGUGCUAGCUGAAGGCCCUAUUGUAGAAGACCAAGAAGACAAACAAUAAGGACUUAUUCCAAGUCCUUGACAAACACCUUGUUCCUACAAAAGCACUCAAAAAGUUCAUCAGCCGUGCGACCAAAUCUGAAGCUUCGAAGCAUGUAAAAGCAAAGAUUGUGAGUCAUCUAUCCUGGUACAUUGAAGUCCGAGAAUAGUUGUUCAAAGCCUACACUUUCAUCAAGGAAGAAGCUAUCUAAGCUAACUUAAUUGCUAAGUUCACUGAUGAGUUGAAAACUCUUAGAUCGAUUAGAUCUUCAACAUGUUAAUCAAUGAAACAAACAAAAAAACAUAGAGACCACAAGAUAGAAUCAAAGUAUUGCUUAAUGAUUUAAGAAUAGUCACGCCUCAGCAGUGCUCGGUGAAGAACUUCCACUAUAGAAGCGAGCUAGGGUUUCUAGUACAAUACUUAGAAUAAUUAAUGAAAGUGAUGCAUGCAUGCACCUUAAAUACUAAACCCUAAUAAAAUAAAGAUGGUUGGACAGGCCUAAAUCGGUAACAAAACUAGGCUAACGAGCGAGCCCAAGAUGCAACACAUCGAGUCCUGACAAUCUCCCCCUUUGCGUUAAUUUGGGGCAAGACUUCACUUUGGUUGAUUCGCUGCAGUAUGCUUCACCACUUUGAACAGCUUGGGAAUGAUGACGAGCAGGACUUGAAGAAAAUUGAUAUACCAUCUAAUCAUGUCAGUGAAAUACUUCUUGUCACCAUCACUAUUUUGCUUGCACUUGUGAAUAAUAUCCAGAACGUGUUCCAAGCAAGCCGUGGUGAAAAGAUGUUUGUCGAUAAGAGAGAAUAAACACUUUUACCUCCUCCUCUGGUGAACAUCACAAAGUUGAGCUUCGGGUCAAUCUUCUCCGUUGUCAAUCUGUUGAUGUCGCUAGAUGAACCAAUGGGAGCCAUCGUUGGCUACUUUUUAAGGACCGAAGCAAUUUCCUGAUCCAACUUUGCCACUUCCAGAAUGUAGCACACCAGCACCCUCUUGAUGUGAUCGAUGAUCCAGUCAUGUUCAACUGGAUUGGAGAUCAAAAACUUGCAUAGCAAAAUCCAGUCGUGGGGAUUGAGAUUUGGUAGAUCGGCCAGAGAAAUUAUAUGCUCAGAGUUAGCUGAACCUCUGGUCACUUUGAAUUUGACAUUGAUAAAUUUCCCUGCUACAGUCGGUUUUAGAACCUUGAUAGUUGUUAUCUUUUGAGUGCUCCAGGUAAAAUAUUGAGUCUGAGCAAACUCAAGAUAGUAGUCUAUCAGAUCCCUAUCUACUUUUGGGUCAGGAUGGGGAACUUCAAUAAUAGGAAGAAAGCAGUGAAAGACAAAUGCCAUUCGGGUUAUAGGCAUGUCAAACUGAGAAUCCCUAGAGUUCACAAACUCUAAUGACAGUACCUGCUCAAGCCAAUGUGUGCUUGGACAUUCAAUAGCUUCCUUAAUCAGCUUCUCCAACGACCAAAGAGGAAAAAGCCUUUUCCUGCUUUCCAAAAGAUCUUGAGCUUCUUUUAUUUUUCUGUCCUUCUCUUCGGCUUCCCUAGCAGCCUUAGCAUUGAGAUCAUGAUCCCUAAACCUUUGCUUUCUCUUCAGAGCAUCAGCAAUGGUUUCUUCUUCUUCGUUAAUUUUUUCCAUAACACCUUUUCCCUUGUCCUUCUCACUAGGACCCGAAGCUUCAUUACCCUUCGAUUGUUCAGUGGUGACUUUCAGUGGAACAUAUUUGCUUGUAGGAGGAGGCUGAGUAGUACUUAUAAUUCCUUCUCCCCCUUGUUUCGGAGGGACAACAGUCUCCUCAACACCCUCUCUGCGACUUAACAAUUCGAUUGUUGGGCAAAGCUUUUCUACAAGAGAACGUCUGACAGAAAAAGUAAGAAUGGAGUCACGAGUCUCCACACUGUUGGAGAGAAAGGCAUGAACAUCUAAGGAACAACUCUUGAUGACAGUCCUCUCAGAGCAAAGGUUGUCAGUCUCCUUGUUCGCAUGAUUAAGUUGUGCGGACUUUGUCUUUAGUUGAGUUGUUUUGAGAGCCAGUUCAUCCAUGAUCCUGCUUUCCAUGGCUAAUUCUUCUUGAAGCUUCUAGAGAUGCUCAGUGAUAGAGGUUCGCAAUACAACGUUAUCUGUUUGGAUAGUCUGACACAUGGUAGAAAAGUGCUUCUUUUCUGUCUCAAGAGACACAACAAGCUUUUCCAUUUUGGAGUUCACUUUGUUUGCAUUCAACUCCGCUGCACCCUGUAAUGACUCUAGAAGAAUGUUAGCAUCAAGAAUUAGUUUUUCGACUCUUGUGGUCACUUCCUUGUAGGUCUGGGUGGAGGCACCUAUAGUAGAGUUUGCCUUAGAGAUUGAAGUCUCAUGCUCUUUUAUAAAUGUGGCCAUCAUAGCCUUCACUGUAGAUUCUUAGAGUGAGUUUUGAGAAGAGGAGGAAGAUGUCACAAGCUUAUCAAGCUUCUCGUGCAAAUCCUUGAGGUGCCUCUUGGUUACGGGAGCAUCUUCAUCAUCAUUGCUCAGCACCCUGUAAGGACCGUAGUAGAAGGUAUCAAAAUCGACACCUUCACCACCAAGAAUGGUAUCGGUUUCUGUCGAUUGGGUAGGGGAUAGAGGUUUGGUAAAAACAGGGAUUUUAGGUGCUAAAGUACGAACCCAUGUAUCAGAUACGUUGGUCUGAACUCCAGUAGCGGUUGUGGUUGUAGCUUCAGAAAAUAUAGGAGCAGGAAUGGGAAUGGUGGAGGAAGGUUGAGAUGUGAUAAUAGGGGAAAUGGGAGGAAUGGAAAUAGGUGGAAGAGAAUGUGCUUGUGAGCGAAUGGAUACCUCUGGUGUACGCGAACGAGGUGGUGUAUCUCCACGAACUGAACCCUCAUCAUCUGUGCUAUCACUCUCUGAUUCGCUUUGAAUGAUGGGUGGAUGACCAGAAGGAACGUACUCUGAGUCUGAAUCACCUGAUGAUGCAAGAAUAAGCUUCCUAACUGGUCUCUUGACCUUCUUCUGCUUAGGCUGGGAAGGAGCUUCCUUUUCAGAUUUUUGCUUCUUUGGAGUAUUCACCUUUGAAACUUUAUCACCUUUUUCCCCCUUUUUCGCAUCUUGCCUUUUGCCCCUCUUAGCAGAUUUGUCUGCUUCUUCAAUAGACCUAAGCAUUUCAGGAGUGAGUUCCCUUAGACCAGAUGAAGUGAUCUUCUUGUACCCCUGAAUGAUCUUGCUUUCAGCAGAUACACAAGCGUACAUUGACUCAGGAAUAGAGCCAAUGAUGAGAUACUUUGAGGGAUCAGUGACUAUUAUCUUCGUGGUGUGAAAAGUAGCGAUGGAGGAGAGCAAGGAAUCUGCCAUGAUAGGAACAUGAAAGCACUCCAUUUUCCAUUGAGUGACAAUGGUCCAUAACCGAGCACAUGAAAGUUCUGUGUGGCAAGCUUUGUACCAGUUGCUAGAACCAGUUGAAGCCAUAAAACCAAGCCAUAAUCAAGGUUGAUACCAUGGUACAACCCAUAAAGCAGAGUCAUGAAAGACUUGCUAGCACCAUCUGAGCCUGCACUUCGUUCUGAAAGUCCUUUGAAAAGAAGGGUGAAUGAACAUUCCAUUGAGGAGGAAGGCACAAUUUCUUGACCUUAGUCAUAGUGGUUAGGGUUUCAGUAUACCCCAUGUUGUACAACAUCGAUAAGAGCUGAGCUGUGGAGAUAGAAUCAGGAUUCACCAUGGAUGCAACAUAAGAAAGCCCUAGUAGCGAGCAUAAUCGGUUCUUUAAAAUUGAAUCCUUCUGGUUGAGAAUAUCAAAGUACAUCUUUUUUGCACCUUUGUCGUAAGUAGCAGUGGAGUAUAUUGUUGAGAGGCAUGCCAUGGGUACGAAUUCCACCGUUAAUAGAGCGUUGACGAGUGGGGAAUAUUUGAGACAUUCCACCACUUGAUACAUGUAAGUAUCAUAGAGGAACGGUGUAAGAUCGAUCAGCAAGUUCUGAUUAGGCUUCAUUGAGAGAAGAGUGGAGCGGCCAGAGGUUUCUUAAGUGGAAGAAGAGUCUGCCAUUGUUGAAGCUUGAGGAAGAGGAAGAUGAACAGUGAAUGCUAAAUCGCCGGAAAUCGUCUUAUUUUGCUUACGAGAGAUGAAGAGUGGUAAAUAAUAUGGUCACAAUAAUCAAAUCUCUUAUAUAUGAUUCUGUGGAGAGAGAAAAAUCUGGAGCAAUGAUUCUGCCUUUAUGGGAAACGACGCCUAAAAAGGCGUGAUUUGACAAUAAGCAACCCCAAUAAAGUAGGUGAUGAUACAUGACUCGGUAACGGUUCAAAUUCACGAGCUUUUCAAUACUUAUCCUCUUUUUCAAAUUCAAUUGAACUUCCUGAUGACCCACCCCUUUAUUUGAAAAUAAUUCAUUACAUCAUUAGGAACCGAAGCUACAUAUUUAGUAAUAGCUUGUGAGUAACCAAACUAGACUUUUGGAAAAUCCAAGAUUUUCGUUUAAGAUAGUGUGAAAAAUAAAGAAAUAAAUCAAACUAUUUGUGGGAUUUUGUGAUGUCAUUUAAGAUGUAAAGCAAUGGAUCCUAGGAACGAAUCGCUUCCUUCAAAGUCUAAAGAGACUUCAAAGUGCUUUUAUGGAUUCCCAUUUACGAUCAAGUACUUGUUAAGAAGCAUUGAAAGGUAUCUUUUAUAUAUAACGCUAUUAAGGGUGGCUUUCACUUCAAUUCAGGUUUCGGUACUUGACAUAAGACCAAAAAUAGAACGAAGUACUUGUGAGACCGAUGUUGCCUGUUAAACAAGUAGGUGUUGAUCAUAUUCAGUGACUUGUUGUGUAACAACCCGAAGUUGUUCAUCGCCAAAAACCCAUUCUACCCGUAUAACUCGUCGUAGAUCGAAAUGUCCCGAUAUCGUUUUUGGGUUUAGUUAACUAAAAUUAUAUGUUUAUUAUCAUUCAAUGAGGGUCCAAAUCAUUUACAAACUCAUGAAAUUAGCUCAAAACAUUUAUUUCAUAAGUUUUAGAAACGUCCUCGCCGGGUGACGGAAACUUAAUCGGGUGCGACCUAAAGCCUCGUUUAAGGCCGGUAUCGGGUAGAAUUCCACCGUGUCCAAGUUUUGGGAACUAUAUAAACAAGUUAAACCUUUCAUUUGAAGCUUUUUCCUUCUCUCUCUACUCUCUCUCUAACCUCUCUCCUAAAAUCCAAGUUUAAGGGUCCAAAACUCAAUUUUAAGGCCUCAAAUCCCUAAGGUACCUUCCUAGCCUUAAUCUAUAGCCUAUUUGGCUUCCAAAUUCGAGAUUUACACAUGAAAUGGGACACAAUAUAUGAGUUUACGGCCCAAAAAGCUACCUAGGCCGUAAACACCAAUUUGAAGGGUUUUAAGCCCUUAAACUCCUUCCUAAACUCAACUGGACUCUAGAUAUGGCUAAAGGACUUCAUGAUAUGGACUUAUAACAUUUAAAACAUGAAUUUUGAAGGCUUUGAAGAAGUUUACGGCCAAGGCACAAGCUUGGGCCGUAAACUCAUAUUUAAGGGGUUUUCUUGACCUUAAACCCUUCCAAAUCACAAAUAAGGCUUAGAUAUGAAUUAUAGGAUAUUGGUUUUAGCAUUUGAACACUUCAAACAUGACUUUUGGGGGACUUAUGUGAGUUUACGGCCAAGGCAUGUGCUUGGGCCGUAAACUCCUUAAAACAUGGCAUAAAUUCAAUUUUAAGGUGUUAGAAAGCCAUCCAACACCACCAAAAGCCUUGGAAUAAAUCAUAGGACCAACCAAAAAUAGUUUAAGGACCUUAAACACAUUAUUUGAGGGAUUUCUAUGAGUUUACGGCCAAGACUUGUGCUUGGGCCGUAAAGUCCUUGAUUCAUGGUGUUAGAAUGCCAACUAAACACCCCUAAAGCCCUUAGAUGAAUUUUAGAAGCCCUUCCAUGCAAGUUUUUAGCCUUAAAACAUCUUGUAUCACCCUAUAGAAGAGUUUAAGGCCAUGAGGGGGUCUCAUAGGCCGUAAACUCCAAAAAUCCCUCAUAAGUCACAUAAAAACUCAUAUAAGGCCUUAGGAUAAAUUUAUCAAUCACAUGUGAUUUGUUCUAGCUCCAUUUAACACAAUUUUCAUGAGAAAAUAGGAGUUUACGGCCAUGAAGGCAUGCUAGGCCAUAAAAUCCCAUAAGUGGGUCUAUUUGAUGUUUGAAAAUCAUUCCAAGUCCUUAAACCAAGCCUAGAAAUUAUCCCCUAAGUGUUUGAAGUCAUUUUGCACCAUAAACCACCCCACCAUGAGUUUACGGCCGUAAACUCAUGGGGAAUGGGUGUUUUAGACCAAAAACUCUUAUAUUAGUUUACUCAUGGGGAGUAAACUCAAGUCCCAAGUCCCUAGUGUCAUUUCACGUCCUUAAACGCCACCCGGGUCCCUCCAAACACUUGUAUCGGAGUGUUUUCGCGACUUGAAGCAAGUGUCCCUAUCAUAUAAAUAAACUAAGUCCUAAUUAGAUACAAAUGUGUAUCUUUACAUUAUAAUUAGGAACCUCGUGUAUUUACAAGCCCCGGAUCAACUCUUAGCGUCCAAAUCGUCACAUUUCUCGUUCGGUGAGUUCAUACCCUUACGCCUUUUUCCGUGUUUUUCAAUGUUUUCAGGGGGGGAAUACAAGCAAACUAUAACUGCUUUCGAAUUAUAAAAUUGAUGUAUUUCAAAUAAUAUCUGGCAAACUUAUAAACUCUUUUACUCCUUAUGUAUUAUGUUACGCAUAAGGAAUGAUUUAUCAAUUACAACUAAAUGGAUUUUAGUUAAGAAAAUAGUCAAACUAAUCAAAUUAUUAUGGGAAUAAUUUAGGGUUCAAUAUUUCUCUUUAUAUCAUGUACUGAUAUCUGUAUAAAGUUAUUUCAUAAACUAUGCCUGAUUCAGUUUAUCUCCGUAUUAUUUGAAUGUAUUGCCAGAUAGCUUCAUUGUAUGUAUCUAUUUUCACUGUAUCAUGUCUUAAAAUCUUUGUAUGUUUGAUAUCGUAUGAGAAUCCUAUGAAUAGUUUAAUACUAGUUUGUGAGAUAGUCAUUACCCUUUAUGGAUGAUCAGUAAAUCCUCCCCGGAAGUGUAACCAGAUUCUCCUGGAGGGAGAGCGAGGAAUUUGUGAAUAGAUCUAUUCGGGACUGACAAUCCCACACCUUAACUGCUAGCUACAGUUAGGCGGGCACGCCUGGGGUGACAAAUUCUGUAUAUCAUUCGACGUCUGACUAACGUCAAGGAGGUCUCGUUGUCAUAUCAGCAUGGUUACCCGACUCACAAUACGUAUUAAUAUAAACUUAUUCACAGCUAGGAUNGAAUCUAUAUCUCGUUCAGGAUGAUAAUCCCAUUGUCUUGUGUCUAUAUCUCGUUCGGGAUGGUAAUCCCAUGGUUUUAAAUCUAUAUCUUUUACAGGAUAGUAAUCCCAUGACUUUAUCCAAUUAUCUUAUAUCAAAUUCGGGAUAAUGAUCCCAUGGUUAUAUCAAACAAUCUUAUAUUUGAUUCGGGAUAGUAUUCCCAUGGUUUUCAAUCUAUAUUUUCUAGUAUAUCAAACUAUCUAGUAACUGGUUCGGGAUGUUAGUCCCAAGAUUUUCAAAAUACUCUCUAUCUAUAGUUUUGUGUAUUAAACUACACUCUGUGUUAUUUAAUCAAUCUUGCAUUUAGGAAAAUAUGGGAUUUUCCUGGGGUUAACUUAUAACGUGUAACAGAAUUGUAACGAAAGACAACUAAACUAACUUUACAUAAGAAAAUAUGGGAUUUUCUUGGAUAACAAACCUUUUCGGAAAACUAAAGGAAACCGAUACAUUUUCACAAAACAAAACCGCUUAUGAACUCACCAGCUUUAUGCUGAUUUUCAAACUGCUUGUAUUCUCAGGUCCAAGUUAGACAGGUACCCAGCGAUAUCUUUUGGUGAAGACGGAGUGCUCCAAGGACUCGUCUCGUUUUGUUCAUAUGAUAUAUGUAUAACUUUUGUACAUUUUACUUUUGAACCAAAUGUAAACUUUCAGAUAUAUGUAAUGUAAUGGUUGUUUACUGUGAUUACUAUGUACAUUGGAUUUGAUACACAACAUGGAGUCAACCCCGGAAAUGUUUCCGCCUGUGGUUUUCGGGGUGUGACAUGUUGACAAAAGUUAAUUAGAAAUCUCAACAGAAAUUAAAAACUAGAUCCUAUGGGAAGAAAAGUCUUGGUGAUAGACAUUUUCAUAAGAAUCUCUCAUAUAUAAAAGAAGAUUUCAAGGUACUUCCACAAAAGUGGUUUCGUUAAUACAAAGGUGAAAGCUAAAACAUAUAAUUGUUCACCGUCAAUGCAUUAUAGGUAUUGAAUUUUGGAUUUCACUUAGCAUGUAGUGACACGAAACUAAGAUCAUUAACAUAGAAGUUGUGUAACCAUAAACCUCAGUGGUUAUGCUGAGAGUCUCAAGGGUUACAGUUGUGAAACGAUUUAUUAAUGGAGAAUAAGUUUGAGGUGGCUUAAGAACAAAUGUAUCUCUACUAUAAAGUUGUACCAAGCAGAAAAACUCUUAACUCAAUUCGAAGAAGAGUAAGGUAGCUUAUGAUUAGAGUGAAUUUGAUAGCCUAAUUGGGAAGACAUGAUUAGUAUUUAUCAAGUCAUUAAGGCUUCACUCAAAAUCUUUAGAGGCUUUGGUUAACAUACAACAACAUGCUUCUAGGGAUACUUAGCUAAUACAAAAAUAAAGAAUUAUACCUGCCCCAACUCCAUCAAUGAGAACCGUCCUUAUACACGAAUUAGAUUAAAACUGAAGUAAAUUUAAAUUAAAUGAAAGAAAAUAUUUUUGAAUUAUGAUUUGAAUUUUAUGAAAAGAAAUAAAAACAUAAUGAAAAAUAUUUUUGAAUUUUAUAAGAUUUUCUAGAAAAGAACUAAAAACAUAAAGAAAAAUAUUUUUGGAUUUUAUGAAAAUAAAAGGAAAAACAUAAAAUAAUUUAUGAGAAAAGAGUGUGUACAUACUAUACAACCGAAAUCAUCACUUGGAGAUAGGAAAUGAACCGAGCCCGGUAGGACCAAACCUGAAAUAGACCGAGCAUUCGGUUCAUUUCGGUUCCCGGAAGGAGCGAACCCGAAAUGGACUGAGCGUUCGCUCUAUUUCGCUUCCAACUUUUAUAGAGGAGAAAGUGAUUUCGGUACCGAUUUAGCUUCCAUCAUUCCUAAGCCUUGUACGAUUUUAUUAAAACUCACUUCAGUCAAAGCCUUAGUAAAGAUGUCAGGCAACUGAUCAGUGGUUUUUGUGAAAUGAAGUUCUACAUUACCAUCUUCCACAUAAUCUUUGAUAAAGUGAUACCUCAAUGCUAUGUGUUUGGUCUUUGAGUGUUGCACUGGUUUAUGAUAAAUCCUAAUUGCACUCUCAGAGUCACAAUAUAGUGGGAUUUUCUUCACGUUCAGGCCGUAGUCUCAAAGUUGACUUUGUAUCCAAAUGACCUCAGAUGUUCAUGAUGCUACGGCUAUAUAUUCUACUUUAGCAGUGGAGAGAGAGACAUAGGUUUGUUUCUUUGACUGCCAGCUAACCAGUUUGCCAUCCAAAAUUGGCAUCCUGCAGUGGUACUUUUUCGGUCCAGUCCACAUCCUCCGAGAUCAGCAUCAGAAAAUGCUUGGACAAAGAACCCUGAAUUUGCUGGGUACCAUAGACCGAGAGAGGAGGUUUGCUUCAGGUAUCGAAAGAUAUUUUUCACAGCCAGUAGGUGAGGUUUGCGUAGAUUAGCUUGAAACCUAGCACAAUAGCAUACAGAGAACAUUAUGUUUGGUCGACUUGUUGUUAGAUAUAUUAGAGACCCUAUCAUCUGACGAUAGAGGGUCAUGCCAGCAGCCUAUUUUUCCAAAGAAGGUUUCAACUUCGUGCCAAACGCCAUAGGAACCAUUACUUUUUAAUCUCCCAUCAUUCCAAACUUGGCAAGCAAGGUCAUCGUGUAGGCCUCUUGAUUAAUGAAAAUGCCUUCGAGUCCCUGUCUAAUAUUCAAGCCAAGGAAAAAGUUAACAGGACCCAUUGAGCUCAUUUCAAAUUUAGUUUCCAUCAACUUCCUAUAUUCAGUUGUUAAGCCAGGAUUUGUAGAACCGAAGAUAAUAUCAUCAAUGUAAAUUUGAAUGAUCAUAAGGUGGUCACCCUCUUUCUUACGAAAGAAGGUUGGGUCAACCGAACCUUGUUUAAACUUUGACAUUUUGAGAAAUCUAGUUAUAGUUUCAUACCAUGCCCUUGGUGCUUGCUUGAGACCAUAGACUGCCUUGUCCAGAAUGUAGCAGUGAUCUGGAUACUUCUCGUUCAUGAAACCCGAUGGUUUCUCUACAUACACCGUUUCUUCCAGUUCUCCAUUUAAUAAAGCACACUUCACAUCCAUUUGGAAUAAUUCAAAAUUCUUGUGUGCAGCAUAGGCAAGAAAAAUACAAAUUGAUUCUAGCCUUGCUACUGGAGCGAAUGUCUCCUCGUAAUCUAUGCCUUCUUCUUGACAGUAACCUUUCACAAGUAAUCUUGCCUUGUUGCGAAUCACAUUUCCUUCCUUAUCUAUGUUGUUUCUCAAAACCCAUCUUAGUCAAACCAUAGAAGCAUCCUUUGGUGGUGGAAUAAGUAUUCACACUUUAUUUCGCUCGAACUCAUUUAGUUCGUCCUGCAUCACCUAUACCCAAUCAGAAUGAUUGAGUGCAGUGUUGAUCGUCUUCGGUUCAACCUUGGAGACGAAGAAACUAAACAUGCAAAAUUCCACUUUUAGAGAAUAGUGUAGUUUGUUUCGCUUUCAGUUGUGAUUGUGUGAGUACUCUUUCUGUUGAAUCACCAAUAAUUUGUGUUUGUGGAUGAUCUUGGGUCCAUUUGGUGAGAGGAGGGUAAUUAGGAUCAUGUGAGGGAUCCCGUUCAGCAUUCACUUCUUCUUUGAAUUCUGACUGAGUUUCAUCAUCGUUUGUAUCUGCAUUCUCCCCCUCGAAUGAAUUCUGACUGAGUUUCAAAAUUAUUGUGUGCAGCAUAGGCGAGAAAAAUACAAAUUGGUUCUAUCCUUGCUACUGGAGCGAAUGUCUCCUCGUAAUCUAUGCUUUCUUCUUGACAGUAACUUUUCACAAGUUAUCUUGCCUUGUUGCGAAUCACAUUUCCUUCCUUAUCUAUGUUGUUUCUCAAAACCCACGUUAGUCAAACCACAGAAGCAUCCUUUUGUGGUGGAAUAAGUCUUCACACUUUAUUUCGCUCGAACUCAUUUAGUUCGUCCUGCAUCUCCUAUACCCAAUUAGAAUGAUCGAGUGCAGUGUUGAUCGUCUUCGGUUCAACCUUGGAGACGAAGAAAUUAAACAUGCAAAAUUCCACUUUUAGAGAAUAGUGCAGUUUGUUUCGCGUUCAGUUGUGAUUGUGUGAGUACUCUUUUUAUUGAAUCACCAAUAAUUUGUGUUUGUGGAUGAUCUUUGGUCCAUUUGGUAAGAGGAGGGUAAUUAGGAUCAUAUGAGGGAUCCCGUUCAACAUUCACUUCUUCUUUGAAUUCUGAGUGAGUUUCAUCAUCGUUUGUAUGUGCAUUCUCCCCCUCGAAUGAAUCUUGGUUAUUUCGAGAAGACGAACCCUCCUCCUGAACAUAAGAACUAUCUUUUGGAGGUUCGCUUGAGUCAGGCUGUUCAGUUGUUGUCAGUUGUUCCUCUCUCAUUUUCUUUGCAGCAUCAUCAAUAAUCUUCUUCAAGUCGCCCACCUUGUUGUCUUUAGUUUUGGAUUCAGAUUGAAUAGCCUUUUCUGGUUCAUCAAACAGUAACAUGUAUUGCUCAAAGAGAUUUAUACCAUAGCUUGACCACAUUUUGGAAAUAUUUCGUCCAUAGAACCUUCAGUUACCUUCAGUUUCUUGACAUAGUUAUCAUCCAAGGUGACAUAAUAGGUCUCUUCAAUUUUCUUUGAAUAUUUGUUCAGAACCCUAUAUGCUUUGGAGUUUAAGGAAUAACCCAGGAAAAUCCCUUCGUCUUCUUUGACAUCAAACUUGUUUUGGUUCUCCUUUGAAUUGAAGAUAAAGCAUCUUGAACCGAACACAUGGACACACUUUACAUUAGGCUUUCGGUUGUUCAAGAUCUCAUAAGGAGUGAUAGAGAAUCGUUUAUUGAGAUACGAUCUGUUCUGCGUGUAGCAAGCAGCAGCAAUGUCAUCAGCCCAGAAAUAUAGAGGUAGAGAAGCGAAGCGAAGCAUGGUUUGGGCAGCUUCACACAAAGAUCGAUUUCGCCUUUCGACAAUUCCAUUUUGUUGUGGAGUAUAUGGAGCCAAGAAGUGGUGAGUUGUCCCCUUCUCUGCAAGAAAAUCUUCAAAGCUUUUGUUCUUAAACUCCAAUAUGUUGUCGCUUCUGAUGUUUCGAACUACCUUUCGCAGUUGAACUUCUACCUGCUUGAGAAAGAGUCUAAGCUUGGGAGUGGCCUCUGAUUUCUGACUCAAAAAGAAUACCUAUGUAAACCGAGAGAAGUCAUCGACUAUUACAAGUAUAUACCUGUUACCAUCAAUUCUUUCGAUUGAAGAUGGACCGCAUAGAUCAACAUGAAGUAAUUCUAGUGGUUCAAUAAUUUUUGUAUUGACUCGAGAAUGAUGACUUUGUCGACUUUGUUUUCCCAUUUCACACGCAACACACAUGUGUUCUUUAUCAAAAUUCAGAACAGGAAGACCUCGAACAUAAUCCCCCAAUCACUAGCUUGUUGAUGUCUUUGAUACAGAAAUGGGAGAGUCUUCGGUGCCAAAGCCAGCUGUUGUUUGAGUGAGCUUUCGUUAGCAAGCAAACGACUAGUUUUCCUUGUAUGGGAUUGAGAUUCAGAGGGUACAUGUCUCUUUUUCGCUUUGAUUUCAGCAGAAUGUUGUUCGUCUUCUUUUCAAUAAUCUCUGAGUCAUCGUCAUCGAACGAAAUUUUAAUCGGGUACCAACCACCAGUUGAGAAACACUGAUAAGGUUGUGUUGUAGACCUUCAACGUACGCCACUUUUCAUAUCGAGAAAUCACCAUUGGUAAUCAUACCAUAACCUUUGAUUGUGCCAGAAUUAGAAUUACCAUACUUGACACUUCCACAAUCUUGAAGGGACCGUAAAUCCUUCAGCUCUUCCUUCCUUCCUGUCAUGUGAUGCGAGUAGCCACUGUCUAUGUACCAUUCAUCGUCGAACUGCUCGUCACGCAUAACCUACAAAAAUUAAGAAGAUUUAGGAACCCAAAGUUUCUUGGGUCCUUGUGAGCCUUUUACAGAACAGGGAAUUGUAAGAGAAACAUCAACUAAAAAGGUUCUUUUUAUUAGUGUUGUUUCAUCUUUACAUUUUAUGGUGAAAACUUUGAUUUUAUUAGAUUUAAGUACUUUAGGUUCAGUUUUUGAAUUUACGUUAGUAGUCUUUCGGUUCUCCACUUUGGGUUCAAAUGUUGUCUUCUUUUCAACUUCUGGAAGGAGCUUUCCUUUUCCCUUUCGAUCAUUCUGUGAGUGAGAGUGAGAGUGAGAAAAAUGAGACUUGGGAGCAGAAUUAAGCUUUUGGUUGUUGCUCUUACAUGGUUGAGAGCCGAAACUACUUUCCCUUCGGUUCCUCUCAUUGGUUGAUCUAGGACCGAAACCAUCCUUUCGGUUUUGUUCAUUUUGAGGACCUAAACUUCCUUUUCGGUUGUCAUCCGUCUGAGGACCGAAACUUCUCUUUUGGUUGCUGUUCCUUUGUGGACCAAAACUUUGUUUUCGGUUGUGUUGAUUCUGGAGACCGAAACUCUUCUUUCAGUUGUUUUCAUUAUGUUAAACGCGAGAAGCUGAGUUUGCUUUUGCUUCUUCCUUUGACUUAAAGGUCUUUUCAUAACGAACGUAAUUAGGGUUUUGAGAAUGCCAAAACUGCUUCAUUUCAGUGAGAUUCUUCUUGUAUCUCAAAUUUCGUUGAUGCUUUCUUUUUAACACCUUUUUUGGAGUUUUGUGGAUGUUGGCCUUUUGCUUGGAUAUUUGAGCAUGAGUUUCGUUGUUUAGCAAAGAGGUUUCGCUUGACACCUUGACCGGUUUUCCUGAAGCAAUUUUAGUACUAUUUCUGCUUGCCACAUUAAAUCGUGUAGGUUGAUUAAGUGGUUCUGCCAUGUACCUACCUUUCACCCUCCAUGAUGUUUUCUGAGAUAGAUCUUCUGUUUCAUCGACGUUAUCAAUCGGUGCUGACCAGAAAAACUCAUCACAACCAUCAGCAUUAUCUUCUUCUACUAAUGCUGUCAGUUUGGCUGUCUGUUGCUGAGUAACUCCUUUAACUGUAUAAACUUGAUUUGGAGUUGUUUGGACCUUUUCAUAUACAACAGCCUUUUCCUCGAGGACUUUAGUCUUGUCUUUUGAUGAACGAGAGAACUCAACAGAGUUUUCAGAAAUAAGAUUUUUAUUGGUUUCGGCUUCGCUCUUAACAAAUUCGGAACAAUCCACCUCAUUUUUUACAAAUAUUUCACACAUAUCAUCAUCCUCAUUGAAUUCAGAAGUGUUUUCAAUAUCAAUUUUAUUUUCUGAACUCAGCAUGGUAUUCAAUGAGUCAAAUUUCUGUACAGUUUCGGUUUUGAUUUCUAGAUUGUCAUUUUCAUCCAACAAAUUUUUGAGCAUGUCCUUAUGGUCUUUUGACCUUAUGAAGGACUCUAUUUUGUCAAGACCAAUUUUGUAAGCAUGAGAGAUAUCAUCAGAAGAAACAACAUUUUCACAGUUAUAUGCAUCGGGAUCGAUUUCCUACUCCUUAAACCUAAGGAAGUGUAAAAUCAUACGAUAUAUCUUCUUUCCUAUAUAACAAUUAAGAUGCAAUUGAGUAAUGUUGAAUAUAAUCGUUUAGCAAUGAAACAAAAAACAUUAUGUUGUUUCAAAAGCUUUAAAUUAUCUCUUUGCAAAUACAUUGUUUCAUCCCUAGACCUAAUCAGCUCCUUCUCCUUUUUCUUUAUCCACAUACGCCUCUCCUCACUCUUCGAUGAUACCCUGCUGAUUGAUCAGUUAGGUUAGAGUUUUUGACGCGAGUUUGAGUUAAACUUCUACUUAUACUAGAAAAAUUAGAUUUUAAUCCCUUUAUUUCUUUUUCAUAGUUUGUGAUGGAGAUUUGUAAAGAAACAAGAAUAGAUUGUACCUUCUUGAUCAACUCAUCGCAUUCAUUGAUCUGCACACUGAUAGGUUUCGUUGCAAAACACCUGUCUUCUCGCUCUUGCACUUCGUCUAGUCCCCCAUCAUUAGUAUAGCCUCUCAUUUGUGACACCCCAGAGGUCACCAUUAGAUACUUUCCUGCAACGUCCUCUUCUUUAACCAACAAAGCCCUGCCAUGAGUGGGCUUCCUCACUUCUUCAUCUUCAUAAUCAGUCUUCCAAAUUUCAACAUCGCCGAAUUCAUUGUCAACAGUAUUUCCCUGCAAAAUUAGAGCAUUCGUAGUGUUAUUUGAUCCAACUUUCUUCUUCUUGAUUUCCUCUAAUAGUCGUACGAGGUUUGCUUCCUCAUCAUCGUCGACAUUAUUCUCUGACAUCUUUCUCAACAUCCAAUCUUUGGCAAAGUGAUUUUUGCCUCCACAGUAGUGACAAUUAAAGCCUGAGUCACCACCUAGUUUUACUUCCUUCUUUGGUUCUUCGGUCUGAGAGACACUCUUUGGUUCCUCCUUCGCUUUCUCUACACUAUAGCUUUCCUGCCAGUUUCGGUUCUUAUUAGCUGGGAACCUUCUUUUGAUGAACUUCUUGGGAUUUGACACCAUCAAAGCAUAAUCUUCAUUUAUUAAAUCAUAUUCAGAGAUAUCUAAAUAUUCUUCUUCUUCAGCAAUAUUCUUUUCUUUGGAGAUUAGGGCCAAGGACCCCAUGCUAGAAACCACAUUUGUGUCUUUAGUCACUACACUCUCAUUUGACUUUAAUAUUCCCACCAGUUUUGCCAGAGAAUAAGCCUUGAAUUGUUCAUGUGCCUUCACAAUAGACACCACAGCCAUCCAUUCGGGUCUAAGUCCAUUCAUGAAUGCGAGCUUCUGUUCAAUGACUUUUCUUUCAAUCCCAUGCUUUAUCAUCUUACUAAGGAGAUGAUUAAAGUGAUCGAAGGCUUGAAUAAGUUUCUCUUCGGGCUUCUACUUGAACUAACCAAAUUCAGAGAGCAAUAAUGUUUGGAUGGAAUGCUCAAUAUUUUCAUCCAUAGAAUACAGUUCCUUCAACUUAUCCCAUAUUUCUUUCUCCGUUGUGAAUUUGCUUACUAACUGGAACGCGUCCGAUUGUAAAGCGAACCUUAUCAUCCUUAAAGCUUUGAUGUUGCACUGAAACUUUUCCUUCUCAUCUUGGGGUAUGUCUUUAACAUCAUUAACGAGUUGAUUAUACUCCUUUUGAGUUUUAACAAUUCUUGAAGUUCUUGAAUGAGCGAAUGGACCUACUAUAAUCGCCUCCCUGAUCAAGUAUCCAUUGUCUUUUGAACCAUUCACGUAGUCUUCAAAGUGAUGCGUCCAAACCUUAUAAUCUUGAGUUUAUAAUAUAGGAAUCCUUAUCAUUGAUCCUAUACUGUUAGAGAUAUUGAUUGGGUUUGUCUGAGAAUCUUCCAAGGACUUGAUGAUGUUUGUUCAAAACCCACUUAAGAUCAGACUUGUAAUAAUGUUAGGGUAAGAUCGACUAUUAAAGAAAUACGUCAAUAGCAAACGACGGCUCUAACAAUAUCAAUCAAAGCGGAAAAACCCUAAGAUCUUCUUCAGUAGAAGAGAUGUGUAUAGAUUACACAGUCUCCUGCUUUGAUAAUAAUUGAUGAGUUGAAAACUCUUAGAUCGAUUAGAUAUUCAACAUGUUAAUCAAUGAAACAAACAUACAAACACAGAGAACACAAGAUAGAAUCAAAGUAUUGCUUAGUGAUUCAAGAAUAGUCAUGCCUCAGCAGAGCCCGAUAAAGAACUUCCACUGUAGAGGCGAGCUAGGGUUUGUAGUACAAUACUUAGAAUACGUAAUGAAAGUUAUAAUUACAAAGGAUGCAUGCAUGCACCUUAAAUACUAAACCCUAAUAAAACAAACAUGGUUGGACAGGCCCAAACUGGUAAAAAAAACUAGGCUAAGGAGCGAGCUCAAGACGCAACACAUCGAGUCCCAACAUUCACUUAAGGGGAGAUUGUUGGAACCUGAAAGUCAACCUCUAGCAAUCUGAAAUCCAUUUUUCAAUUCCAAAGUCAAGCUACUUUCGUAGUGAACUCAGCUCUGGAAUUCUUUUGUGUCCGGAUCUAAUGUCAAGGUGGUGAAGUGGAGAUUAAGAGCGAAGGCAUUCCAGAAUGGGAUUUAUGUCUAGAAUGUUUACUAAUCCGGAAUAUAUGUUUUGUCUCUUUAUAUUAAUUGUAUUUGUCUUUUGUUUGAUUUAACUUUUCAUAGGACUUAGCUUUAAUGGUCAAACACAGGUAUUGAGAGUGGCAGAUAAAACUCUUUUAUCCAGUCCUUUGAUUGUAAUUGGUUAGUACCAUGUUUCAUGUACUCCUAUUUAUAGGAGAUUUCAAUGUUUAAACACAAUGGACUAUUCAAACCUUUUAGCCAUAUUUAAUUCACUUUCUUUACAACAUUCUCUUCGUUCUUCAUUUAUUAACUUUACCUUGAUCUUUCAUGUCAUUCAUCAUUUAUGGCUUGAACAUUUGUUGAAUACUUUAUCUCAGACUUGACUGGUCUAUCCACACUUGACUGGAACAUUUAUUGGCAAGCAAACAUUGAUCUUAAGCAUCCACUCAAGGUUUGAGUUUUCAAACCUUGUCCCUACGCAUCAGAUCAUUCUUGUUCUCACAAAAAUUCAAAUAACUUAAUCUCUUGUUGAUCGGUUAGGACUGUGAUGGCUGUUAAAAGGUCUCCAUGACUUGGUCCCAAUCCGGAUUAGAUGUAGCUACUAACUUCUUCAUCUUUCAUGGGGUGACCGAUAUUAGCCAUAGUGUUAGCCAAUCCAGUCAUUUUUUGAUAAUAUUCGGAAGCACUUAAGUCACUUUUUUGUAUUUAACAUUUGAGUCCGGAUCUGAAUAGAGUUACCUUUAUGUUGGUCUGAAAACAUGGUCUAUAUUCAGAUCCAUAAUUGGUUGGAGGUGUCUACGUAACGCGUGAGUUGAGAUAGAAUGUCUUCGAUCAUGGUGUAACUCCCUAUUUCGAUUCGUUUCUUAAUUCAACGUCAUGUCCCAAGGAUCAAUGAUCAUAAGGCUUCGGGCUUUAAUGAAAGAGGGUUUAUACCUAUUUAGAUGAGGGUAAUAUACGUUAUGUUAUCUAAGAGUUAGGUUUGCGAUUUGGAGCCGAAGGGUAUAAUGGUAAAAGUGAUUCUUCAGGCUUUUCAUGAAUUAAGUAUUUAAGUUCAGAAGGUUUUAAGUCAAAGGAGACUUGAUAGGAACGUAGGGCUUUUCAUUACCUUUUCGAGCAUAUAAAGAAUGCUAAAAAUGGACUUGGGACGCGGAAGUUGUGAUCGUUAGAAGUUAUGAAAAUUUUGGCUAAGAUGACUACAUUGGGCGUACAGUGUAGGAUUUAUGGAUGAGGACAACCUGGAUCGUUGUGUGUACUAGGAGUACGUUGGGUGUACACGAACCAGAGUGAAACCCUAAUUUUGUGUCUUAGACUCUAUUUAAAGUCCAUAACUCAUUUCUGACCCUCCUUACCUUCAUCCUCUACCCUCUUAAGCUUCUCCCUCGAAACCAUAGCCUCAUUUGAAAGAUUAUUGAGCAUUUGAGUGAUAUUGGUGGGGUUUUAGUGCAUUUGGAAUAAGAAGAACCCAUUAGAGAAUUGUUGAUCAUCUUGGAGUUGUAGAUCCAAGCCUUCUUCACCUUGAUCUAUUUUCUAGAGGAAGCAAGCUUCAAACCUGAAGGUUGUUUGACGUAGAUCUAGCCUUUCGUCAUGAUAUGAGUACGUUUUGGUCCUAUGGUUUGGAUAUUGUGAGUAGAAGUUACUCCAACACCUUUGGGCCCCAUUUCUAGUCAUUUACAUAUCAUUAAGUUAUAAAAGUUGAAGCUUGAUGAGUAAAACUCUUCCAUGCAUUAGUUAGUGGCUUUUUUGUGAAGUUAUGAGUUUAGGGCUUUGGUUUAGGCCCCAUUAAGCCAUGAAAUGUCAUAAAGUUAGGAACUUUAUGACUUAAGACAUUCCUACGAAUUUGCUAUCAAGGGAGUACGUUGUACACUAGGCUUCAACACAGAAUACUAGGGACGUACUGGUUGGUACAUUGGGUGUACUCACCAGAUACACUUAUGGGCCAUUUUUGGACUUUGGGUGAUUUCGGUUUUGGACCAUGUAAUGUUGGGUCAGGUAUGGGAAGAGUAAAAUGGUCUUUUACCUAUAGUAUGAUAGAAUAAGAGUGGGACCUUGGAUUUUGGUUUAUUACCCUAAUUAUUGAUUUGGAUUGAUCUUAGAUAUGUUUAGUGUGAGAAGCCAUGGUAGCGUUAGUGAGUGUGUGAUUUGUUGACAUCGGAUUGAGGUGAGUUUGCUCACUAUACUAUAGGAUACUAGGGUUAUAUGUUCUUGUUGUCUUUGUUGCCUUAUUCUAAUAUUUGUUUUUUAUGAUAGUUUUGGUGGUUUUUGGUGGGUUAUGAGCAUAACAUCACUCCUAUGGUGUUCAUGCAACCCUAAUUUCUUUGAUCUAGGUUUUUGUAAGUAAACAUACAACAUUGAAUACCAAAGCAAUAAACCCUAAAUGAAUAGCAUACGAAUCUGAAAAACACAUAUGAUUAGGGUUUAGAUCUUACGUUGAUUUUUAUGUAGCAAUAACAAUCACAAUCCUUCUUGAUCUUGACUUAUGAAAGCCUAGUGCCCUAAGUGUUGCACCUCUAAUGGAGUCACAAACACUUGUAGCUGAUAGGGUUUUGGUGGAAACCCUAAUAUGACUGUUAAGCCUUAAGCAGCCCAUGGAUUCCUUCCUUAGAACCCUUGGACGAAAUCUUAUUGGCUUCCCCAUAAAUUUCGUCCACUCCACUCUAUGGAGUCCAUCAGCCCAACUAGCAACUAAUAGUUAAUUGCAAUAUCAGUCCCCUUUAUUUAAUCAGUCUCUUUUUAUCAUAAAAUUGAUUACUCAUUAUUCAUUGUAUAAUGUUUUGGAUAAUCAACUUAUUACUUGAAUUAUAACAACAUUUGUCCCAUGCUCCAACCAUGCACACUCUGUUUUCCUAUGGUACAUACUUUGUGAAAUAGAUGAAUUGAAAACAUUUCCAAUGAUGCUCAUUUCACAACUCCUAAUCCUUAUCGUUAGUGUAAGAAUACAAGAUUCUCGCAACUACAAGAAUAUGUUAGAUUCUAACAUUUUAUGCAACAAUCCCUUCGUAAUGUCACAACAUCAAAGCUACCAAGACUUUGCCAAUGAUAUUAAAAAUUGCUCUAUUGGAGAUUGCUACAAGGCAAUUCCAUAGAUAUGAGUCUCACAUUCAAAGUACAUUCCUUUGAACAUGCUUCUUGCAUAAAAGUUUCUAAUCUAGACAUAGAUUCUCGAUAUCCAACUCCUAAAAUGGAAACAUUUCGAUAUUUUCCAUAUGACAACUCGUUAUUAAUAGAAUCAUAUAUAAUCAUAAUAAUGUCAUUAUGGUCCAUUCGUUACUAUACUUCCAACUACCCACAAGUGACCAAUCCUUAGCGAACCUUAAAUUCUCCUUGACAGUUGUUUAAUUAAUUUAGUUAAAUCUGGUUCUAAUCCUUUUUCCCUCUUAAUGCCCUAGGCAUUUUGAAAAUUUAGAACGUUCGAAUAUUACAUCAUAUGCAAUUGAUCUUAUACCCAAAGCGUAUGGGACACGAUUCAUAUUGAAAAACGUGAUACUUUACUAGUUUCUUGAUAUAAUACUGCCAUAUAUUUAAUGACCCUAUGUUAAACCUUUUCAACAUAACAUUCAUACAUUUCUUUUGACUAAAUUCAAUUAAAAUUUCUCGAUCUAAUCUUUUAGAUUUGAAAUGAAGUAUAAUAUUCACUCCCUUAAUUAUAGCAAAACAACUUUUCAACCCCUGCAACUUUGCAAAGUGAAACUUUUGUUUUCUAUAAUUAAUAUUUUUAACUUGCAAAACUUGAAAUAAUAAUCAUGCUCCUACUAACAUGAUAAUUAUAUCCAUACCAGCAUAACACUUAUGCUCCCACUAGUUUCGACAUGUAUGCAGAAAACAAUUGGACUUCUAGAAAUCAAUACUUAUUGACUUCCAAAGUUCAUAUUUCUAAUAUGCUAUGCUUCGAUAAGUCUUUAUCUAAGCUUCUUAAACUCAUACACCUUUCCUUAGAUAGCUCACAUGUGUGUCUAAACUAUUUCAGAACCUAAAAUAGUAAGUCCCGAAUAUUUAGACUUAUUGCCAUUUCUCACAAUUCGAACUGUGAAGAGGGAUGCCGUAAUCAUAAUCGAAUUUGAGAAUGCAAAUAUCACAAUUUUUAUCUCCUUAAAAUCUCUCUUAGCGAAAGCAUUUCCUUACAAUCGUUUUCAUGAAGUGGAGAAAACCUUAUCACUUAGAUUUUAUGGUGUAUGUGUUCCUAUCCAUGUGAAUUAUCAUAACCAUAAUCGUAUGACAAGGUUUAAGACAAAUCCAAACUCAUAUGGAAUGAACUUGUUCAUUCUUAAUUUCUUGACACUGAGGGUCCCACCAUUUCUUCUAAGUUAUUUAGAUUCUUACCCCUACCUAUCAAUGUACUUUCCAUUGAUCAGGGUACCUUGCCUCUAUGCAACCCAUUGAGAACUCAUAGAACUCACAUUCAUAGUUGACUAAACUGGAAUGACGCAGAAACAAGAAUAUGUCAACACGAUAGGUUACAAACCUCAAGUCAUGUGCUAGUUUAAUAAGUUUACUCUUGAUUAGUUCUUGAACCUUUUCAAGAUCAUUUAGACUCCCACUGGCCUCUUGACAUAUAAGAGUCUCUUGUCAAGAAACAUUUCUUUACAAAAAUAAAUUCAGGAGUUAGUGAGGAUUCUUAUCAAGACAAACACUACACACAAUUUGUCGUAGUUGGUCUUUGUCUUAUCCAAGACAUCACAACUUACCAAUUUCAAACGUGUAAGAGUAAGAAAAAACAUUUUUCUACUCCACAUUUGAUGAGUGUGUUAAAAAACUUCUUAUGAUGUGUCACUCUAAGACUUGAUUUUGGAACGAAGUAUGAUUCACCUUUUGAUUUAACCAUUUCAAAAAUUUCUUAUUCGUCUUCUUAGCCAUACUAGUGCACUAAGGUGUCCUUCAAGGAUCAAUUGUGAUAUGGUUUCAUAACCAAUAAGACGAUCAUAAAACAUGAUACUAAAGUACUCUUCCAUCUUUUCAGAUUGGAGAAACUUUUAUCUUUAUGACUAAUUGAUUCUUCUUAUUCAUUCUGCCAUUCAUCGAAACUUUUCAAUGAUUCAGAAUUAUACUUAAUCUUGUAAGCAUGACCACAUUUACUAGACUAAAUCAUGACGAAUAAUCUUAUUGUUAUUUGUGGUGGACUUGACUAGUGGACAACAUUGUGUACCAAAUCUCCUUAGUCUUUCACUUGACUCACAUACUUAUGUGAAGAAGGAAUUAAUAUUAAUUUUCUAAGUACUAAGAUUUCCAUACAUCACAUGACUCAAAUCAUAUGAUUCCAAGCUUUUGUCCAAUUGAAAUUUGGGCGAUGAGAAUCUUUUCUUACUUAGAAAAUUUCGACACUACCAUAAAUAACAUAACUAAGAAUCACAUCCACUUAAUAUUGAUUAUAACAGAAACACACAAGCAUCAAUUUUCACAAAUGAUAUUCCAAGGAGAUAUAAAUAAGACAAAACUCAAAAUUUAUUUUAUUUAUAAAAGGUGUGGAAAAAUUGUCCUUACAACGCAAAUUCGAAUGAAAACUAUGCUAUUACAGAUUCCUAGGCAAUUUAUCAUAACUCUAAGCAGCAGCUCAAAAAUCUAAUCAUCGAAUCAUGUGAUCAAAAUCUAUUUCUUCACGAUCAGACUCAGCUCACUUCUUCCUUUAAGCUUCCUUUCUUUUCUUCGAUCCUACAAAACUUCAAAAUGUAAUAUUAUCACAUCAUGUACUAAGAAUCUACAAAUAGGAAAUUAAUAGAGUUAGAUAAUGGAUUUUACGUGAAGCAGAGUCAUACAUCUUGACUCUCCCAUCUCUUAGAUCGCUCAGGUAGUCAGGGCAGCUUCAUAACCAAUACUCCCUCUUUUGGCAGUAGAAACAUACAGAUUCUUCUGGAGGGACUAUCUCAGACUCAACCUUUGUCUUGCGUAGAGAAAACUUUUCUGGAUUUCCAAUGUUGACAUUGCCCAUAGAAGGUUGGGAGAUUGAUUUACCAGACAAAUUUGCUUGACCAGUGAACCAAAUCAUCAUUGAUUCAGCAACAAUAAGCAAAUAAGUCAAAUCAAUAAGGGUCACGUCAUCGUCCAUCAUAUAGUACUCUCCAAUGAACUCACUAUAUGAUUCGGGAAGUGACUGAAGAACCAAGUCAACAGCGAACUUCCUUGAGACAUCGACACCCAACAUUCCCAAUCUAUCAAUAUGCAACUUCAUAUCUAAGACAUGAGCACAUACAAACUUUCCAUCUUCAUGUUUGUUUGCCAAUAGUGCUUGAGUGAUUUUGAACUUUUCAAGCCUUCGAACACGUGGUUGAGGGAGAAUAAUAGAAGGAGGUGGAGGAAGUGAAGCAUGAUUUACAUUUCCACAAUCCAAUCGUGGAACAUCAUCUUCAAGCGGAAAACGUUUUCCAAUGGAUUCAGGAAGACUAUAGUUGUUAGAUUUUGUGACAUCCCCUAAUUUCUCAGCCAGAAAAGACCGAUUAAAUUUAUGCUUUUUAAAAUAAAAUCAGAGAAAUCUUUUUAAAAGAUGUUGCGGAAUUGGUCCCCAAACAAAAUAUAAUAAAAGUUUAUCAAAACCUUCUUUAAGAAAUGUAUAGUUUCAUUUCAUAUCAAAACCUCGGGAUGUCAUGUUCCGAUACAGAUCAAAAGCAUAAACAAGACAUUAUAAGCCUUUCAACAGUUAUUUACAACUACUGUCCUAUAAUCCAAAAAUCUCUCAUCGUCCUCCAAUUAUGCUCGGGGUCCACUACAUGUAAUCAUAAAACUGAGUGGGUCAGGCUUGGGAGCCUGGUGAGCAUAUAGGGUUUUCAACAAUAACCCUGAUUACCCAUUCCCGUUGUCCUCACCUUACGUCCCUAAACACCUAUCACAAGGGACCUAGCCUAAGGAAUAUCAUCGGGAUGGACACUACUGCUAAGGGGUUUCCUCAGCCAUACAUGUCCUUAAGGCAACCAUGAGGGGGAUGAAGUACGCCAAUGAAGAUUUAAUUCAUCAACACCUACAAGUUGCGAACUUCCUAGUGUUCCACUGGACUAUCUAGAAAGUCCGUGGUCGUCAUCUAUACUUCGCUAGAUGACUACAACAACAACAACAACAUCGACAUCGAGACCUCUCACCUUUUUAACACAUAUCAACUAUUUCAUCUACCCAUGUUCUACCCAACAUAUUUUGUAGAUAAAAAACAUAUACAGUUUAAAACUUGCAUAAAACAUCAAUUCAACAGUCACCUCGAAUAAACAAUUAGCAUAUUUACACAUAACACGUAUUUCAAGGUAAAUACUUCAUAUCUAUGUGUAAAUUGAAAGUAACUACACACUCACGUAUUUUGGUGAAAAUCGGGCAGCAAUUCGUUUCCUAAAACGAUCGUUUCUAAUAAAACCGGGAGUUUUAUUGAGAAACCGGGCUCUGCAAAAGUCGGGCUUCGAAACCGAAAAGAUAAAUUUUCCGGGCUUCUCGGACGCUUCGUGAGGUAUUCAGGGCUUUACAAUCGAUACCGGGGCUUUACGGGAUGUUAAAAUGAAAGAAAUAUGGGUUUAGGGGUUAAAAGUGACAAAAUUCCAAAAUUACCCGGGGUCUCGCACCCUUCUAUUUAUAGGGGCGAGGCUUCUGAUCGGAAGGUCAGGAGGGAGACACGCGUCGCAGAUCCGAAGCUCGCAGAGGGGGAUGGCUCGGACAUGGCUUGCACCUGCGAGGGCUCGCUGGCGGCUUCUAAGUGGACCGCGGCUUACUGGCGCACCUGCGAGGCUCGGAGCUAGGCUAUGCGAGGCUCGGACACACGCGGCAGCUGGGCGAAGCUUCGGCUGGGGAGCUGGCUGCUUCGGAUUGGGCCUCCUCCUCGGUCGAAUCAGAAGAGGNNNNNNNNNNNNNNNNNNNNNNNNNNNNNNNNNNNNNNNNNNNNNNNNNNNNNNNNNNNNNNNNNNNNNNNNNNNNNNNNNNNNNNNNNNNNNNNNNNNNNNNNNNNNNNNNNNNNNNNNNNNNNNNNNNNNNNNNNNNNNNNNNNNNNNNNNNNNNNNNNNNNNNNNNNNNNNNNNNNNCAUAACUUUCGCAUACGAGCUCCGUUUUUGACGUUCUUUAUAUGCACGCGUAGCUAAAAUUACGAUCUACAACUUCCGUUUAGACUUCGUCGGCUAAUUUUGAAUUUAAAUUUUAUAUUAUUAUUUUUAACAGAUCGGGAUAGGAAUUCCGUUAAAAAUUCAUAAAUUCUUCAUCCGACAUCUGUUUUCGUCAGACUUUUUACCGUUGUGCUCCUAAUGACGAGACCUUCAAUUCUCUUUUAGGUUGUGUCGGCUAAAAAUCGCUCGAUCUAAAAUUCGAGUUUUUAGCUGUCUACUGCUACGCUGAAACUUCGAAAAAUCAUAACUUCCUCAUACGAAGUCAGAUUUGGGCGUUCUUUUUAUCGAACUUCUCGGUUUAACGAAUACUACGACUUUCGUUUAGAUUACUAAGGCUAAAAAGUAGUUUAUCAAAAACUCACUUUUUACGACAUUCAGCACCGUGCCGGUUUUGUCGCGAAACUUCGACAGGUCAUAACUUCUUCGUUGUAACUCGGAUUUUGGUAUUCUUUAUAUCCUCGAAAUCCUUGUUUCGACCACUACAACUUUAUGUAAAGAUAUCGGGCUUAUCUCACACUUUAAUUUUGACACUUAUUUUUAUUCUUAAUUAAUUAAGCCCUAAUAAUUAAACAUAAAACACAUAAUUCACAUAAUAUUCACAUAAUUCCUUUUCAUUUCUUCAAAAUGAGUUACAAAGGUUAACCUAGACUAUCAACUCAAUAUAAAUGCCUAGGCUAGAAACAUGAGUGUUACAGAUUUUGACAUCUACAAAACAGGAGAAAUUCAAGUUAGUUGAUAAAAUCCUCAAUAUAGCACCCAAAUGAAAUAUUGAGGCUAGGAUACAACACAACAUUCUACAAUUUGGAAGAGGGAUGUCAUAGUCCAAAUUGCAGAACAUUUGAAGGUAAGUAAAUGACGAUUUACCAAUUUACACCAUGAAAAAAGAAAAUUGAAAAUUAGGUUUUAAAUGAAUUGAAACUCCUAGAUCCUUUGAGAUUCAUUGAACUUUUCAAUGGCAUGUUUAAAUCUCGAUUGUUCCCUUUAAAUUUGUGACUGGGAUGACGAGGAUCACAAAGAAAGUGUGGAUAACCAUGCAAAUUAGAUUGGUACUCAUGAAGACGUAUAUCAUCUAAUCAAUGUGCCGGUUAACCACACAUGCUCCAUUGAUCUAUGAUAAUCUACGAGCUACCCAUUGCCAGCCUUCAUUGGUCCCAUAUUAGUGUGUCAGUUAACCACACACGCUCCACUACGACCAACAAGGUGCAAUUUGCAAUUUCAUGGAUUAGCACGAACUCCAUAUUUUUUCUAAAGUAACUAAGAUUUUGGGAAUUUAUAAAAAUGUUUACUUACUUCGUAUUUCAUUAUACUUAUAAUGGAAGAUUGUGUCAUAUCCUACCCGUUCGACUAAUGACCCUCCACUAGUCGAGAGUGCGGUGGGUAAGAGUGGAUACCCAAUGACGGUCAUUUUACACAGCGCUUCCUUAAACACCCCUUAUAGACCAGCCUCGUGAAUGAAACUUAUUAAAGGUGAGACUGACUCUUUACUCAUACAUAUAUAAUAUUAAACUUUUAAUUUUAUAUAGUAUAAGGGUGUAUUUUACACUUUUAAAAUAUUAGGUGGUUUAAUCUAUUAACAAUAUAUACUUUUGUUUUGAUUAACUUAAACCAUAUAAUUAUGGAAUUAUUAAUUAUCUCUUUUAAUUAAACACUUAAUUAAUUUAAUAAAACCAUAACGGUGUAAUUUGAACUUUUCAAAAUACUAGAGUCUUAGAAUUUAAUAUUUCAAAAUUAAUAUUUUUUAAUUAAAUUUUAUAUUCCAAAAUUUAAGCAUAAAUUUUGAAACCUUUCAAAAUAUUAGGGUUUAACUAUUUAAAUUUCAAAAAUUAAACUUUUAAGUUCAAAUUUAAACUAUAAAACCUAAAGGGUGUAAAUUGAAACUUUUCAAAUUUACUAGGUUAAAAAUUUGACUAUAAUAAUCUUAUAUUAUCCAUAUUUAACCAAAUCCGUUAAUUUUGAUGAGAAUAACCAUUCCAAAGAUAAAAAAUCGAUUUUAAGCAAUAAAAACGAGUUUUGGCAAUUAUCCUCAACAAAAUCUGGUAAGCAAAUCGAAAAUCCCGGAAACAGACCCUUGGACUCGUUAAGUCCACUAUGGAACUCGUCGAGUAGGACCUACUCGUCGAGCCUAUACAUGGGCUUGGCGAGUCUCCCAGUCAGAAACCAAAAAAUUCGAUUUUCAAGAUCUUUAGUGGUUCAUUUUUGCAUCUAUUCACUAGAAAAUCGACACAUCUAAGGCUAUGUUUCCUAAUGGAAUAGAUAUAAAAGCUAAAUAAGACGAAAAAGACAUGUGCACAAUAGCGAAUACAUUCACCGUUUCACAAUAGUUUCCUCUUCAUUCAACGUCUAACUUAAUCAUCGAAGCGUUCUACCUAGAGCCCAACCCUGUUGAACGUCUAUUGAGUUGCAGUUCAUUUUAGGUCCGGAACGUCAGCCUUUCAUAACAUAUUCAGGUGUGGCUAUAUCACAAAAGCUAGAAUAUCUGAGUUGCAUCAUUUGGUGUUAAGCUUUUUUUCAUUGAGUAUUGUUGGGGAUACAAUACUAUCAACUUUAAUAUAGAACUGAAUAAUAUGAGAUUAUCAAUGGUUAUAGAGUACAAAUUGAUUAUAGAACUGAAUAAUAUGAGAUUAUCAAUGGUUAUAGAGUACAAAUUGAUUAUAGAACUGAAUAAUAUGAGAUUAUCAAUGGUUAUAGAGUACAAAUUGAUUAUAGAACUGAAUAAUAUGAGAUUAUCAAUGGUUAUAGAGUACAAAUUGAUGUGAGAAUGUAAUAAGGAUUGUUUGGGGUUAUAAUUAGGAUAAACCAUCAACAAAGGGUAUUAUAUGUUUGAAAUAUAGUCGAAAUAAAAUGGUGUACUCUGUUAUAUCUCUAAUCUUAUAGAUCUAGAUAUAAUAUGGUCGAACCUUCCGUAUUACGUACGCAAAUAUAACCGUACUAUGCACCCACAUAUAAUACGGACCUUCCGUAUUAUGUAUGCAAAUAUAACCGUACUAUGCACCCAGAUAAAAUACAGUCAAACCUUCCAUAUUAUGUAUGCAAAUAUUACGGUACUGUAAUUUUCAUUUGCUAGUAGUUUAUAUUUUAACCCGGCCAUAAUCUAUUACUUCUACAUCCUUCCAUAUCUUUCGGAAGUUUGUUUAUAAAGAGUUAUAGACCACCUACAAUUACCUGUCUUAAUUGGUUAUUCUCUUCAUGUAGCUAAUAAACCGGAUAUAUCUAUAUAUUAAGUAAAAGGAUAUUUAUUAAAUAUGGCAAGUAGAAUCUAAGUCGAACAUAUUUUUAGAAUUUCCGUUAGGCCCAAGUAAGUCAUUUGUUUUUUUUUUUCUAUAAAUAGCUGUAAUUGCAAAUUAGGUUUUAGUAUCAAGUUAAUUAUUUGAAGCAAACUUGUUACUUCUUCUUUCUCUACUCGACAGAAAUCACACACACAAUAAAAUCCAACAUAGCUGCCAGCACUCACCAGUUGCAAAUCGAGAAUGAAGAAUUUACAGAAAAUUCUCUCUAUUCUUUUCCUCCUGUUCUUCAUCUUCACUGCACCAUCCUGUGCGGAUAUCAAAUCUGUGAAGAUCAGUUCAGAUGACCGAGGUCUGAUCGACUUCCACAAGUUCGAGUUCACAAACACCGGUCAACUCUCCGUUUCCAUCUCCUCCGUCUCUGUCUCCUCUAUGCCUGUCACCUCCAACUUAUCACGACCUGAUCUUUCACGUAUUGGUUUCUUCCUUGUCUCCGACUAUGCAUUGCACUAUAUGAUUGACGAACAUUCGUGUUACCUGGAUUCUAAAUACAUCUCACUCCUAUUUACUUUCCAAGAUAUCUCGCCUCCUUCUCAGUGUUCUUUCAACAAAUCGUACGCUGUGACAUAUCCAAAUUCCUACACACUCACAUUCGCCAACUGCAACCCCCUAUCACACGUAACAAUGGACGUCAAAGCAGAGUUCUACAACACCCAUAAUGGCACUACCAAAGACUACCUACCAGCCGGACAAACAAAGCUUCCGUCUCUUUACUUCAAGUUAUCCGUCAUUUACCUGUGUUCUCUAGCGUUUUGGAUCUCGAUAUGCUUCAAGAACUAUCCAUCUUUUCAUUGGAUUCAUUUACUCAUGGGUGUGUUGCUUCUUAUGAAGGGGCUUAACUUGUUAUCUGCAGCCAAGGUCCAACAUUCUAUAAAGGUUACAGGCACUCCUCUUCAUGGAUGGAAUGUCUUGCUUUACAUAUUUCAGUUUAUCAGGACUGUGCUCUUUUACACUGUGAUCGCGGCGACCAUUGACGGAUGUUGGUUCUUGAAGCCGAUUAUUCUAAUUAACAACAGUUUGAUGAUUGUGAUCCCACUUCAAUUUUUUGCUACAAUAGCUUCUAAAGUGGCAUGUGAGGUUUUACUUGAAGAAUCAUUGCUGUGGGACAUUGGAUCGCUUUUUGCAGACAGCAUUUGUAAAACACUUUUCAUCGUGCUCAUUGGAUUUGCGGUUUACUGGAGUUCAGAGGCUGAUGAGGCAGUUAAAAAUUAUUCUGCAAAGUUUUCUCUAAUUCGGGUGUUCUAUUUUGUGUUUAUUUUAUGCUCGUGUGUUGAUUAUGUAUGUGGAAUCGUGGGCAGUGAUUGGGCAAUGGCAAAGGAAAUAGCCAGUCUUGUGUUGUACAUGGUAAUGUUUUCAUUGUUCAUGCCAUCUGAGAAAAGUGAAUAUUUUGUUCCACCGGCAUCAGAGGGGCUCGUGGGGGAUGUGGAGCUUGGAUGUGGUGUUUGAUCUUUGACAUGCGCAGUUUUCAACUAAAUCUUUAAGUAGUUUUUUUUUUUUGGAACAAUAAGAUUUUAAUACCAGUUCAUUGACAUAGCAUGAACGGAAUUAAUGAUAGUACGUACUGUGUUCAGGUUUUUUUUUAGUUAAUGUUUCUGGUUCAAAAUGUCACUUGUAGUUCUUUAAUAUAUGAUGUUAAUUUGCUGAUUGAAUUUGUUUUGUGUUGACACAAUCUUUGUUUCAUCGUAUUGAAUAUCUUGAUCAUUGUGAUUAUGUUACCCAUAAAGAGUACCCAAAUGAACAGAAAUUAUAGAAACUAGUAAAAAAGUCGGGGUCGGUUUUUUUAUUGUUCAUUAGUAACUGUGGGUGUUGGAUUAAUUACCAGGAUUGUAAUACAAAUGGUGCGCAACUUAAAUCAAUAUGAGUAUCCUAGAAUUGCUUUUGCGAAUCAAAAUACUCUUUAGUAGUUACACAAAAGAAAAGAUACAAACACUAUGUUAGUCAAUGUUGACCAUGUAAUCUGGAGAAUAAUAGGGACACGUGGGAGUGUUGCCAAGUAAAAGAACGUUGCUGAUUUAUCUGCUUUCAGUUUCAUUUUUAGUGUAUUUAAAGUUCAGUUGUUAGCUAUUUUGAAUGUAACUUUUCCAGCUUUAAUCAUUCAAUAAACAAGCAUUUGGCUACUCUGUCUCCCUUCUUUUCCUCUCGUUUUGAUUUGCUAAUUUGCCAACAAUUGGUAUCAGAGCUUCAAGGUUCUGAUUAAGGUGUAUGCCAAAGUAUAUCAGAUACACUACCAUGACAGGAUCAUCAUCAUCCAAUCCACCCAAAGACAAUCCGUUCCCUUUUCAAUGCCCAAUGCUAACCUCGCAGAAUUAUAAUACCUGGUCAAUUAAGAUGGAAGCCAUCAUGGAUGCCCAUGGAUUGUGGGAUGCCAUUGAGCCACCAACCGGAGUGGAGGUGGACGAUAAAAGGAGCAAGCAGGCUCGAGCCUUCAUCUUCCAAUCAAUUCCAGAAGAGAUGCUUGCACAGGCUGCCAAGAAGAAGACAGCUAGAGAAGUGUGGGACUCUCUAAAGUCACGGUAUGUGGGUGCAGAAAGAGUCCAAAAAGCAAGGCUAAGGGUAUUGAAAAGCGAGUUUGAAGGUCUCCAAAUGAAGGAUACGGAAACCAUUGAUGAUUAUGCAGGAAGAAUAUCAGCCAUGAUCUCAAAAUACAGCAGUGCAGGAGCAACAUUAGAUGAUGAAGAACUGGUGAGAAAAUUGUUUGAUACGGUCCCUGAAAGGUUCAUAAACCUGGUGGCAUCGAUUGAACAAAGCUCAGACAUGGAAUCCAUGCCAUUUGAAGAGGCGAUUGGGCAUCUAAAGGCAUAUGAAGAUCGACUUCGACUCUGGAAGACAAGCACACAAGCAGAUAAUGCCUUGUUACUUGCCAAAACGGAAGGCUCUUCUACUCAUCGAAGUCCAAGCAAGUCAAACACGACAGGUGGUCGUGGAAGAGGAAGAAAUAGUGACAGGGGAGGAAGAGGCAAUUCAUGUGGUCGGGGUUCGACGCGUGGCAGAGGUGGACGCUGGGGUGGUGGUUCACGACAAGAAGCUGGGAAUUUCAACCGGAAGCCUCGUGACAAAAGUCAUAUACAAUGCUUUGAGUGCCAAGAAUUUGGCCAUUUUGCUUCUGAGUGCAAAGCAAAGAAGCAACAGGAACAAGAGGCGAAUUUAGUUGAAGACGAAGAUGGACCUGCACUCCUGUUAACCGUACAUGGGGAAGAAACUACAAGCAUGGUUCUCUUAAAUGAGGAAAAGGUGUACCCGAACCAACUAAGUGACAGCAAUGAUAAUGAUAUGUGGUAUCUGGAUAAUGGGGCUAGUAACCACAUGACUGGUUCUAAGGCCUUAUUUGCAGAGCUUGAUGAAAAGGUGACUGGACAGGUACGAUUUGGAGAUGGUUCUAAGGUUCAAAUAAAAGGGAAAGGCACACUACUGUUUGAUUGUAAAAGUGGUGAUCAGUUCAUCAUCCCAGAUGNNNNNNNNNNNNNNNNNNNNNNNNNNNNNNNNNNNNNNNNNNNNNNNNNNNNNNNNNNNNNNNNNNNNNNNNNNNNNNNNNNNNNNNNNNNNNNNNNNNNNNNNNNNNNNNNNNNNNNNNNNNNNNNNNNNNNNNNNNNNNNNNNNNNNNNNNNNNNNNNNNNNNNNNNNNNNNNNNNNNNNNNNNNNNNNNNNNNNNNNNNNNNNNNNNNNNNNNNNNNNNNNNNNNNNNNNNNNNNNNNNNNNNNNNNNNNNNNNNNNNNNNNNNNNNNNNNNNNNNNNNNNNNNNNNNNNNNNNNNNNNNNNNNNNNNNNNNNNNNNNNNNNNNNNNNNNNNNNNNNNNNNNNNNNNNNNNNNNNNNNNNNNNNNNNNNNNNNNNNNNNNNNNNNNNNNNNNNNNNNNNNNNNNNNNNNNNNNNNNNNNNNNNNNNNNNNNNNNNNNNNNNNNNNNNNNNNNNNNNNNNNNNNNNNNNNNNNNNNNNNNNNNNNNNNNNNNNNNNNNNNNNNNNNNNNNNNNNNNNNNNNNNNNNNNNNNNNNNNNNNNNNNNNNNNNNNNNNNNNNNNNNNNNNNNNNNNNNNNNNNNNNNNNNNNNNNNNNNNNNNNNNNNNNNNNNNNNNNNNNNNNNNNNNNNNNNNNNNNNNNNNNNNNNNNNNNNNNNNNNNNNNNNNNNNNNNNNNNNNNNNNNNNNNNNNNNNNNNNNNNNNNNNNNNNNNNNNNNNNNNNNNNNNNNNNNNNNNNNNNNNNNNNNNNNNNNNNNNNNNNNNNNNNNNNNNNNNNNNNNNNNNNNNNNNNNNNNNNNNNNNNNNNNNNNNNNNNNNNNNNNNNNNNNNNNNNNNNNNNNNNNNNNNNNNNNNNNNNNNNNNNNNNNNNNNNNNNNNNNNNNNNNNNNNNNNNNNNNNNNNNNNNNNNNNNNNNNNNNNNNNNNNNNNNNNNNNNNNNNNNNNNNNNNNNNNNNNNNNNNNNNNNNNNNNNNNNNNNNNNNNNNNNNNNNNNNNNNNNNNAACAGACAUGCGUUGCGUAGGUCGCAGUCCACCAUCACGUCGUAAUAUAGUACACAACUUUCUAAAAGCUUGUUCACUCACACAAAUAAGCUCACGACAUUUCCCACCUUUAAUAAGUUUGUGUAAUAGACGUUCUCGUUCAAGUUGGCGCUUUAAUAGUUCUUCCUUACUAAGUAAAUUAUGGUUAUUUUUUUUCGAAAGUCUACGAUGUAUUACAAUGGCCAUGAACAUCAGAGUAACCACUAGCCUUCGUCUUUUUUCCCCAUCAUCAUCUUGGCUGGUCAUGGCACUUUCCUAAUACUAAAAAUUCAUUUGAUCAAGAAAAAAGAAAAAAAUCUCAUUAGCUAUGUGAAUUUGAUCUCGAAGUCAGCUCAUAUGCUAUCUCUUGGACCACUUUGAAGUUUAAAACUAUGCAAUGUUACUCAUAAGCUGUACAACAAAACAUUUAUAACCUCUCAUGUUCAAGUAAUUUAUUAUAUGGAAGAAAGUUCACAUGAGGCCUUGCUUACAUGCAUGGAAGACUUGCAAGAUGUUUUACAACACAUCAAGUUAAAAGCACUUGUUAUUGACACAUUUGGUCAUCGAAAAGAAAAACUCAUUAGGUAAUCUUGUGAAAAGCAUACACGUAUCUCUAGUUAUAAAAGGAUUAUACAAAUCAUAGUGUUAUUCAGGGGUGUGUAGGUGUUAUGUGAUUCAUGAAUCAAUAAAAAAACAUCAAAAAAAAAAAAAAAGAAGACAGGAAGCAUCGAACAGUGAAGUCACAUGCAAUAUUUUAUAAUCUUUUCAUAUUUAACUCAAGCAAAAUGGAAAAUGCCCUUCAAAUAACUCAAGCAAAAUGGGUUCAACAUGGUGAUUCUAUUUGAAGCAAUAACUAUUGGAAGACAAGUCUAGGCUUCUAUAGUAAUGGAAGCACGUCUCAACAAGCAAGAAAACUAACUAAGGUUCCAAUAAUAGUUUCAUGCAUAUUAGAUGGAAGAACUGUGAGCAAAAAGAUUUUACAGGGAUAUGGAAGACAUACCUGAUAAGGGACGACUUGAACAGGGACGCACGAAUGAGAAUUCUUGUUGGGAGGUAUUGAUUAUGCGGCUACGUCAUGUUAUAAAUAGGGUUGAGGGUAUUAUCGUCCAUAAUAUACUUUGUGUACGUAUCCUUCCAGUUUUCUUCCCAAAUCCGCUCAAAUUGGGAGGAAAAUUUGGAAGGAAAAUGGGCCUUCAAAAUCCUUCACCUCCCCUCCCUUUCCUUCCCUAAUUUAAACUCGGGAACAAGGUUUUCCGUCCAUAUCCCUCAUCUCACCUCCAAAUCUGCCCGUUUCCGUCCUUAAAUUCAACUGGGGAACAAGCUGUAUAUGUUUGUAUAUAUUUAUAUGAGCAAUAUCAUAAAAUUCUUAAGUUUUUCAAGAAAUUAUAGGUUUUACCCUAAUGUCUUUUGGGCUCAUUAAAACCGGAUAUUUGAUUUAAUUGUUGUAUUUAUGCCUUUUUAAAAGGUUUCCCUGCCGGUCACACACAAGCAAUCUACAUCAUUGAUGUUGAAACCAUUGAAUCAAUCACCAUGUUUUCUUGUUGAUUCAAAUCACCACCGAUUUCUGCCAACUUCAUUCGAGUAGAAACUCAUCUUUGUUUUUUUUUUUCCUUUGUAGCUACGACUUGUUGAGGAACAAAACACACAUAUACACAAAUACCAAGUGCAUGUUUAUGUGUGUUUUGCUAGCAAUAAAAAACACUCUCUUUUGAUUUUUAUGAUGUUCUUGGCUCUUUUGUUGUAAAACUCGAUAAACACAAAGAAACAUGCAAAUUACUAUGUUUUGGAAACAAUUGUGUGUUUAUGUGGGUGUUACUGUUCACCAUCUUCUCCAAUAUCUACAUAAACAACCCUUACUCACCUCCAUUUUCUCCGUCUAACACCCAUCAAAAUCUUUCUUCCUCCCUUUUCUUCUAAUCGCAAGCCAUCAAGAAUCCCUUUAAAUCCUUUCUUUCUGCUCCUUUCUCCGAAGUUUUUGCGAAGUUUUUUCGAUGUCUUCAAUAAUCUGUCCUUUCUUCAUAUUCCUUUCUCCUUAAUUAUAAGAGUUAAGAAUAUUAAAUAUUAAUUCUAAUUAAAUAACAAUAUGAUAAAUUCUGUUUUUUUUAAUGGUAUUUAAGUAUCCAGUAAAAAACUAAUUUGGAAGCAGAAGAGUGGGUAAUUAUGAUGGGAUUAAAAAUGUAAUUAGAUGUCAAUUUUUUAUAAAUUUUUUUGAGCUAAAUCAGUCUAUUGCAGAUAGUAGAAGUUCCAAAACAAAAUAUACACUCCACUUUACAAAAGAGAAAGCAUUAAAAAAAAAAGGAAAAUGACUCUUGAGGGUAAUUAACUUUUGCGUUUGUACUCAUUUGGUCUCUUUUUUUUNAAUUAAAUUACUAUAUGUGUUGGAAUCUCUUUUUUUUUUUUUUUUUUUGUAUUCAAUAUACCAUCGAACUUGUUGUUGGUGUUUACCAUAGCCCUUUUGACCGACUUUUGACUUGUGAUAGCCGGUCAAAGGGUUAUGGUGAACACAAACAACAAGUUCGAUGGUAUAUUGAGUACAAAAAAAGGAAAGGGACCAAAUGAGAACAAACGUAACAGUUGAUUACCCUCCUGAUUCAUUUUCCCUUUACUCAUUUACAACAAAUCUCACAUCAUCUCCUACUGAUAUUAAUGACUUUAUGAGAUUCAUUCUUGCUUAUCUUCAAAACAUCACCUACGAAAGGACAUUAUUCAUACAUGUACAACUUUGUAAUGCACUUGAAUAUUUAUUAGGGGAAUCUUGACUAAGAAGACGCAUUUAAUGACUACAUUUACAUUUCCAAUCAAAUGAUUUAUCGUAUCAUGGAUUCUAGACAAGUCUACAAACGAGUGGAUUCACAAGUGCUAUGAUUUUUGAGUUUACUUAGCUUUAAGAUCGAACUCAUGGGAUAAGAUACAACAUCAAUAUGUACAAUGUUAUGGUGAUGUGUCUACAAAAGCAGCAUGAUAUUGUACAUAUUGAUGUUGUAUCUUAUCACAUGAGUUCGAUUUUAAAGCUAAGUAAACUCAAAAAUCACAGCACUUGUGAUUCCACUCGUUUGUAGACUUGUCUAGAAUCCAUGAUACGAUAAAGCAUUUGAUUGCAAAUGUAAAUGUAGUCAUGAAAUGCGUCUGCUUAGUCAAGAUUCCCCUAAUAAAUAUUCAAGUGCAUUACAAUGUUGUACAUGCAUGAAUAAUGUCCUUUCGUGAGUUAUGUUUUGAAGAGAAGCAAUAAUGAAGCUCAUAGUCAUUAAUUUUAGUAGGAGAUGACGUGGGAUUUGCUGUAAAUGAGUAAAAAGAAAAUGAAUCAGGAGGGUAACCAACUGUUGUGUUUGUUCUCAUUUGGUCCCUUUCCUUUUUUUUUUGUACUCAAUAUACCAUCGAACUUGUUGUUUGUGUUCACCAUAACCCUUUGACCGACUAUCACAGGUCAAAAGCGUUAUGGUAAACACCAUCAACAAGUUCGAUGGUAUAUUGAAUACAAAAAAAAGAAAAAAGACCAAAUGAGUACAAACGCAAAAGUUAAUUACCUUCAAGAGUCAUUUUCCCAAAAAAAAAAAAAAAAAGUUGUAUGUUCAAAUCGACCAAAAUGGGCCUUAAAUAGUCUACAUACGAUUCAACGAUUUCAACCUCAAGAGCCCAAAUUGAAGAGUAGGGCUUUAUUUUUCACGACGAUGGCCCUCAAAUGCCCAAUUUGAUUUUUUUCCUUCCUACAAAACCUUCUUCCAACCCUAAUCAAGCCGUAUCAGUACAAUUCGGCAAAAAUGCAGAUCUUCGUGAAAACCCUAACUGGGAAGACGAUUACGUUGGAGGUUGAAUCCUCCGACACAAUCGACAAUGUGAAGGCGAAGAUCCAAGACAAGGAAGGCAUCCCACCGGACCAGCAGCGUCUUAUUUUCGCCGGGAAACAACUUGAGGACGGCAGAACCCUUGCCGACUACAACAUCCAGAAGGAGUCAACCCUCCACCUGGUUCUCCGUCUCCGUGGUGGCGCAAAGAAGCGCAAGAAGAAGACCUACACCAAGCCGAAGAAGAUCAAGCAUAAGCACAAGAAGGUUAAGUUGAGCGUGUUGCAGUUCUACAAGGUUGAUGAUUCCGGAAAGGUGCAGAGGUUGAGGAAAGAGUGUCCUAAUGCUGAGUGUGGUGCUGGGACUUUCAUGGCUAACCACUUCGACAGGCACUAUUGCGGCAAGUGUGGUCUCACUUAUGUCUACCAGAAGGAGAAGGCUUGAUUAGAUAAGUGUUCAUCGUCGUUUUUUGAGUUAUGAAUUAUAAUUCUGAGUUUUCUUGUUAUAUCUUGUGGUAAACCUGGAUUUCUAGGGUUGUUUUUGAAUUGAUGAAACUGAAUGCUUUUGUUUAUCAACAUUUCAAGCUAUCUAAACUGAUUUACAAUGACGUGUUUACUACUUAGCUACUCCUGUAGGUGUCUUGAUUAUGUUAAAAACUUAUUGUUAGUCUGAAUUUUUAGGUUUUCUUGUUUGGAGCUAAUUGAUAAAUGCAUAUGAAACAUGUUAGACGAUAUUCUCGAUCAGAAUAAUCCAGCCUUGCUACCAAAACCGACCUUUCCAAAAUUAGUUUUCCAAUGAACUUUUCGAUGCUCUUUGUUUUUGUUUUUCAGCAAUCCCUCUCAUUGCUUCUGGCAUCAUCAGAUAUUGAUAUAUAGAAAUAUAUUUAUGUAUAGAAUUCCUUGGACCAUUGACUUAGGAUUAUCUUAUCAAUCAAUUAGAAUUUUUUUAAUAAAUAAAGCAAGAGCUCAAAUAUAACAAAGGAUCACAACUAAAAUCAAUGUCUACCAACCAAUGUGUUGUGACCAUAAAUAAACAUGUAUGAAUCCAUCCUAUUUGAAAGUUAUUAAAAAUGUUAUCUUUCCAUGACACAUCUAACACACCACCUCUACUUCUUCCUAUGUGAUUUACGUAGUACAUACAGAAAUCAAGUGUCGUGCAUGUGCCUAUUACAUAUAAAAUAAGUUUUUAAGUAUAUCCUUGCAACACCCGUAAAACUUUAGAAAAAAAGCAUAAGUAUCAUGCAACGUAAGCAAAAAAUAUCUUAUGCCCAAACCGAAGACAAAAGAGGCUUAUCCAAGCAUAACAAAAGUUGGUUCAUUGCAAUUUUUCAUUUCAUGAUUCAUAACCUAAGGCUCACUGGGCAUAAAACACAUAGCAUGUAUUGUGCUAUUAUUGUUUCAAUGGGAGGCUCAAAUGCCACUUUAGGGUUUCGAUUUAGUUAUAAUAGUUAUAAACAAAGCAACUGAAACAUGACCUACACAAAAUAAACAUCCAGCUUGAUAAACCAUGAGAUUUAGGUGCAUUUUGGUUGAUAAGUGUUGAAUGUCUAUGUAUAGCUAGGGAUAAGGAGCCAAAACAGCCUCCUUUUGUUGGUAUCUCACAAAUACAAAACCUGAGUCAAUCCACUCCUUCCACCCGAUCCAUCUAUCCGAUUUAUCCAUAUGAUCCAUUUAAUUGUUAUUUUAUCACCAAUAUGUCCAAUUAAUCCAUUCAAUUCUUCAAGUUGAUCAAUAUCUAAGUCAAUCCAUUCAUUUAUCUAUUAUGUUCAUCCAUUCCAUCAAAUCCUAUCCAUUUAUUUGAUCAAUCCAAUCGGCAAUCAUCCGAUCCAUUUGUCUGUUUGAUCCAUCCACGAUCUAUUCAACCGAUCCAUCCAUGUGGUUCAAUCAUUUCAUCCGAUUAGUCCUUAUUAAUCCACCAUGCCAUAUAUAUGAUCUAUGUUUUUUUAUUUACUCAAUCGAUCCAUCUAUCUAAUCCAUCAUUUAGUCCAUAUGUUUGAUCCAUCCAUUUAAUUAAUCAAUACAUCUCAUUGAUCUAUCCAUCUUGUCCAUCCGAUCAAUUCAUCAUUUUAUCUACUUAUUUGAUAUAUCCAUUCGAUCCAUAUAUAUGCUUUAUCCAUUCAAUCCAUCUAAUUGAUCGGUAAAUUCAACGCAUCUAAUUGAUCCGUCAUGUUCUAAGUAUAAUCCAUCGAUCUAAGAUCUUAAAUGGUUAAACUCUUUUUAUNUCUCUCUAUAUAUAUAUAUAUAUAUAUAUAUAUAUAUAUAGGGGAAGGCUCAUACAAAAAUAUAAAUGAUUUGCGAAAACGAAAAGAACCUGUUAGAAUGCGCCACCUCAACAUUAUAUUUUGAUUAAAAUUUGAAAUUAAAUUUAGGCUUUAAGGACAUUUAGGUAAUUUACUGAAUUAACUGCAUUUACAAUUGGUUUUCUUCAUUAACUGUUUUUUACGAUCAUGUUCUUCAUUAACUGCAUUUUACAAUGGGGUUUCUUUAUUAUCGUUGCUUACCUAUUUAUUUAUUUUUUAAUUUAUUUGUUAUUGGUUUAUUAUUAAUCGUUUUUCAUUUAUUCAAAGGCCUGAGAUAUCUUGGGCUUUUUUAUGGACAUCAUUAUUUACAAUCUUUUGCAAAGCGAAAAGGCAAUUUCAGGGAGUAUUAAAUUGAAUUAAAAGACCAUGAUGCUUUAAAAAAAUGUUACAACAUUUUCAUAUAAGUGUAAAGAAAAUUCAGAAAUUUACCAAACAAAAGUAUAGCAUAGAAAACAAAACAAAGAUGAAUCGCUAACGUUCAAGUCCUAUAUCAACUUUCUCUCACGAUAUCCCAUCUCCUUUCAGUUACGGGUCACCAAAUAUGACUUGCCACCAUCGACUUCUCUUCGUUCUCGUUGAAAAGCUGCAACACCAGAAGCAACUGUCGUUGUCCCCUUCAUCUUUAAUCCUACAAGCCAUCCCCCGUGUCUGCAAACCACAUGUGUUAGGCUGCAAGUCCAACUCAGCAGGAAAUUCAACAUGUUUUUUUUAUUUUCUCCAUAACUGUUAUUAAUAAAGAAAACAUGCAUCAUGUAAAAUUGACCAGCCAGUUUAGACAAUAAUAAUAUCCAAAUUCAAUACAUACAUUAUUUGACUCAUUCUCAACCCAUUAGUUUUUCUAGAUCAAUUGAUAACCGGAUAUAAAACAGAAUGAGUUGUAAUUAAUAAUAAACAUUUGGCAUCAAUAUUGUUGCAAAUGGGGAUAACUAAUGACCUUAUGUGUGAGUAUGUUUAAUGACUUUUGAAGUGUGGAUACAAGGUCCAGAUCUUGUAUAUAGCAAUCAAAGAUGGAAAAUAUUAUGUAACUUGAUUGACAAUUUUAUAUGUAUGUGUUUUGCAAUAAAAUCAAUGCUUUGAAGAAACUAUGUAAAGUAAUUUAUUCUUUUAGACAUAAUCAUACAAAUCAUGUGAUAUUGGACGCAUAAAAAACUAUUGUAAUCUUGUUGUAAUGAUGAAAAACUUUGUGAUUUAUUGCCCAUUUUAUGUAUGUAUUGCUUAUGAAAUCCAAAAUGAAAAUAAUUUUAAGUGGGUGGUCAAUACUCUCUGCAACAAGUUUUAUAUACCACUGUCAAUUUUCAAUGAACAUAGAGCUACAAAAAUAUUAGGAUAUCGACUAACCAAAAAUCAAAAAAAUUUAGAAAACUAAAUCACCUGAAUCACAGAGAGUAGUGACAUACGGUAAAUAAAAAGAUAGAGAUUUCUUGAAUGAACCAAUUUUUGCUUAGGGUUCUUGAGAGGGCACAAUCGACGAGUUAUUGACAGAAGGAAAGAGAGGUACUUGCGAGUAAAAACGGGCGGCUGUGUAAUAGAAGUUUGUGCUAUUCUUGCAUAUCGCGAAAACGCCUGCAGUUUCAGUUAAAAUUCAUGUCACAAGCAUUAGAACUUUACGAGCUUUAGCUUAUAACUAACACAUAUAAUCAAAAAAAUAUGAAUCCGUAAGGUUUUAUGUUAUCUCUGGGAAUCUACAUUCUAAACUUUUAGCUACAAAACAAAUUAGAAAAUCACAAUCUUCGUAAGCCUAACCAAAUUUUAUUGCCAUAAGCAAAUAAAAUAUGAAAUCCAUAAUUUGAAACUAAAAUUAUAUAUUUGUAUAUCUAAAGUCUAAACCAAUCCAAAUUAACCAUAUUAAAUUUCAUAUGAUAAAGCUCAAACCAUAAACAUGGCCGAUAAACAAUUUCAUAUGGUUGUAAACAAGACGGAUAAACAAUCAUAAACCAUCGCAAACAUGUAAUCAAACCUUUUUAUAUCUCCAUCGAAAUACAAUCAUUAAUAACUUAUGAAUUAAUCAGAAUUCUUGUCAAAAACACAUGCAAAUCUAAAAAAACGACUUAUAUUAAUCAUUUGAACUGACAAUCAGUAAAACAUAGGAGCUUAGGGACGAUAAAAAUUAGGGAAAAUAGAAAAAACCUCAUGUAGAUGAAUAUGAAUGCAAGUGCGGAGGGCGAUAAAAGCGAUUAUGCAAACGGAAGAGAGCAGUGGCAUCCAAACGAAGGCAUUUUCUCAUAUGCAUCCGACAAAGCACUAGCAGUGAGACCCUCAUCAUGGUGCGUUGGUUGAUUGAAGGAGACAUACAAGCAACGACUGCCCACAAUUGACUACUACGGCGGUAGUCACUGGUCUUUUUGGUGGUGUUGGGAGCAGCGGAGGCGGUGAUUAAGUUUGGUGCUAAUGGGAUUAUCGGCGACGAUGAUGAUAACCGGAAGUUGGAUUAAGGGAAGUUAAAGAGAGAGAAUUUAGAGAAUAUGAAGUGUGGGAAUGGAAAAAAUGUAAAAUUACGGAUCAGUACAUAAUCACGUUUUUAAAGUUAAUAAUUUAUUUAUAAAUUAUUAUCAAUAAAUAAUUACCGAUGGCUUAUUCUGAUUGGUUGUUUUCAUUUUCACAAGUUAUUUGUGUUUUCACGUGAACUUACUUCUAUAUAUAUAUAUNNNNNNNNNNNNNNNNNNNNNNNNNNNNNNNNNNNNNNNNNNNNNNNNNNNNNNNNNNNNNNNNNNNNNNNNNNNNNNNNNNNNNNNNNNNNNNNNNNNNNNNNNNNNNNNNNNNNNNNNNNNNNNNNNNNNNNNNNNNNNNNNNNNNNNNNNNNNNNNNNNNNNNNNNNNNNNNNNNNNNNNNNNNNNNNNNNNNNNNNNNNNNNNNNNNNNNNNNNNNNNNNNNNNNNNNNNNNNNNNNNNNNNNNNNNNNNNNNNNNNNNNNNNNNNNNNNNNNNNNNNNNNNNNNNNNNNNNNNNNNNNNNNNNNNNNNNNNNNNNNNNNNNNNNNNNNNNNNNNNNNNNNNNNNNNNNNNNNNNNNNNNNNNNNNNNNNNNNNNNNNNNNNNNNNNNNNNNNNNNNNNNNNNNNNNNNNNNNNNNNNNNNNNNNNNNNNNNNNNNNNNNNNNNNNNNNNNNNNNNNNNNNNNNNNNNNNNNNNNNNNNNNNNNNNNNNNNNNNNNNNNNNNNNNNNNNNNNNNNNNNNNNNNNNNNNNNNNNNNNNNNNNNNNNNNNNNNNNNNNNNNNNNNNNNNNNNNNNNNNNNNNNNNNNNNNNNNNNNNNNNNNNNNNNNNNNNNNNNNNNNNNNNNNNNNNNNNNNNNNNNNNNNNNNNNNNNNNNNNNNNNNNNNNNNNNNNNNNNNNNNNNNNNNNNNNNNNNNNNNNNNNNNNNNNNNNNNNNNNNNNNNNNNNNNNNNNNNNNNNNNNNNNNNNNNNNNNNNNNNNNNNNNNNNNNNNNNNNNNNNNNNNNNNNNNNNNNNNNNNNNNNNNNNNNNNNNNAUAGUUUUGUUUCAUGACAUUUAUUAUGUUUUUAUGUCAUAUUCGUUUCAUGAGAAAUGAUGUCGUCACAAUCUUCCCAAAUUAAUAAAAUAUGAAUUUAUUUCUCUAAGUCGAAUGUUUCUUAUGUUAUAUUUAUUUAUUGAAAAGAACCAUGGAUAUUCGCAAAAGAAAUAAUGAAGAUAUAUUUCUUGCAGACAAUGCAAUAACACAUAGCAUUUUUAAUAAUGAAAAGUAUUUUGCUUACUUAUCAAUUAGAGAAGCAAAUGUUAAUAUAAUAACAGGUAAUGCAAAAAUGAUUGAAGGCUCCGGAAGAGCGAAUAUAAUAUUACAACAAGGGAUACUAAUUACAAAUUAGUGAUGCAUUAUUUUUGUCUAAAUCACCAAGAUUGAAGGCUCCGGAAGAGCGAAUAUAGUAUUACCACAAGUGACAAUAAUUACAACUGGUGAUGCAUUAUUUUUAUUAAAAUCACCAAGAAAUUUAUUAAGUUUUAAGGAUAUUCGGUCUAACGGAUAUCCUAUUGAAACAACUAAUGAUGGUAAUAAAAAUUAUCUCAACAUUACAAAAAUGAUAUCGGAUAAGAAAAGUUUUUUGGAAAAAUUACAUGUAUUGUCCUCCGGAUUGUACUAUACAAAUAUUACAAUGAUUCAUGCUAUUGAAAAUAUUACAAUGAUUCAUGUUAUUGAAAAUAAAAACGGUAUGNAAUAGUUUGGCAUGACUAGUUGGGCCAUCUCGGAUCAAUUAUGGUAUGUAGAAUAAAUGAAACUUCAAGUGGUCAUUCCUUGAAAAACCAGAAGACUUUUCAAGAUAAUGAAUUGUGUAGCAUGCUCUCAAGGAAAAUUAAUUUCCAGUCCAUCAUUGAACAAAGUUGGGUAUGAAAGUCUUAGUUUCUUACAAAGAAUUCAAGAAAAUAUAUAUGGACUAAUUCAUCCAACACCAGUGGACCAUUUAGAUAUUUUAUGGUUUUAAUUGACGCGUCAACUAGAUGGUCACAUGUGUGCUUGUUGUCUAGUCAUAAUUUGGUUUUUGCAAGAUUACUUGCAUAAAUAAUUUGCCUAAGGGCACAUUUUCCCGAUUACCCAAUUAUGAAAAUUUGACUUGACAAUGUUGGAGAAUUUACAUCAUAAGCUUUUAAUGAUUAUUCCAUGUCGAUUAGGACAACUAUUGAACAUCAUGUUGCAUAUGUUCAUACACAAAAUGGUUUAAUUGAGUCGUAAAUCAAACACUUUUAAUUAAUUGCAAGACCAUUACUAAUGCAUUCUAAACUUCCUAUAUUGACAUGGGGAAUGCAAUUUUACAUGCAACAUCACUUAUAUGCAUAAUGACAACUAGUUAUCAUGAGUUCUCCCCUAUUUAACUGGUUUGCGGUCAGGAACCAAAUAUUUACCAUCCAAGGAUGUUUGAAUGUAUAAUUUAUGUACCCAUUUCUCCACCUCACUUCACAAAAAUGGGUCCUCAAGAAGAAUUAGAAUUUAUGUUGGAUAUGAAUCUCCAUCUACAGUAAAAUAUUUAAAAUCAUCAAUUGGAGAUUUAUUUACAGCUAUAUUUGAUGAUUAUUAUUUUGAUGAAUCAUAUUUUCCAACAUUAGGGGGAAAAUAAAGAAACUGGAAAAUAAAAUCUCUUGAAAGGAAUAGUCACUUUCAAUUUUAGAUCCUCGUUCAAGUCAAUGUGAACUUGAAAUAAAAAAGAUAAUAUCUUUACAAAAUGUAGCAAAUCAAUUGCCAGAAGCAUUUACUGACCCUAAGUGAGUAACAAAGUCUCAUGUACCAGCUAUACUUACUUCAGUUAGAAUUGAUAUCACAGAAGGAAAGAAAAAAAAUACAACUGCAAAUGAAUCUUAGGCACGCCUGAAGCGUGAAAGAUUAGCCGGUUCCAAAGAUAAAAAUCCUCGAAAAUGAAAUGAAGCAAAUACAAUUGAUGGUCCAAAAGAGAAAACAUAAUCUCUUGAAAAGAUUAAUGAAGCUCUAGAAGAGCCCAAUGACAUAACAAAAGAAAACAAGGUACCCGAAAAAAUGAAAAUGAUGAGAUCUCAAUAAAUUAUGUCAUGACAUGAAUAAGAUGAAACCGAAAUAAGAUAGACAUCGACGAUAAUUUUUCAUAUCAUGUUCCGCGCGUGAUUAUAAAGAAAAUGAGGAUCUUGAACCUAAAUCUAUUGAGAAAUGUAUGAAUAGAAAAUAUUGGCCAAAAUGGAAAGAUGAAAUAAAUAAAUAGCUUAAUUCUAUUACUCAACGAAAAGUUUUUGGACCAGUAGUCCGUAUACUAAUCAGAGUAAGAACAGUGGGACACGAAUGGGUAUUUAUGCGCAAAAGAAACGAGAAAAAUGAAGUUGUGAGAUAUAAAGCAAUACUUGUUGCACAAGGUUUUACCCAAAGACCCAAAAAUGAUUAUGAAGAAACGUAUUCUCUGGUAGUUGAUGCAAUUACAUUCAGUUAUUUUAUAAGUUUAACAACAUAUGCAAAACUGGAGAUGUGUCUAAUGGAUGUAUUUACCGCCUGUUUAUAUGUUUCACUUGAAAUGAUAUUUAUAUGAAAAUCCCAGAAGGGUUUAAGGUGCUAGAAGCACAAACUUCUAAUUCUCGUGAAGUAUAUUUGGUAAAAUUAAAUAAAUCUUUGUAUAGAUUGAAACAAUCUGGUUGUAUGUGCUUCAAUUGUUUUAUUACAUUUCGGUUGAAAGAGUGCUAUAAAAAUGAUCCAUUAAGCUCAUGUGUAUUCAUAAAAAGAUGCAGAUAAGAGUUUAUCAUAAUUGAUAUUAUUGUAGAUGAUUUGAACAUAAUUGGAACUCCAAGAGAAUUGGAAAAGGACGCUUCCUGUUUGAAAGAAAAUUUUGAAAUGAAUGAUCUUGGUAAGAUGAAAUUCUAUUUGGGUCUUCAAAUUAAGCACACAAAAAUGGAGUUUUUGUACAUUAAUAUCUAGAAAAGGCGCUAAAAAGGUUUUAUAUGAAUAACUCACAUCCAUGAGUAACCCGAAGGUGGUAAGGCACUUAGAUGCCAAAAAGGAUCAAUUUCAGCAUCAUAAAAAACAUGAAAAUCUUCUUGUUCCAGAAGAACUAUAUCUUAGUGCUAUUGGUGCACUAACAUAUCUUACUAUUAAUACAAGACCUGAUAAAUCUUUUGUCGUAAACUUAUUAGCAAGAUAUAGUUCUUGUCCAACAAGAAGAUACUGUAAUAGAGUCAAACACAUUCUUUGAUAUCUUCGAGGUACAAUGGAUAUGAAUUUAUACUAAUAAAAUUCUUAAAAUGCGAAGUUAAUUAGUUAUGUAGACGCUAGAUAUUUAUCUGAUCCACACAAAGCUCGAUCCCAAACAAGUUAUUAAUUCGCUUGAUGAGGUAACGUAAUUUCUUGUCAUUUUGUUAAACAAACUUUAGUUGCUACUUAUCCAAACCAUGCAGAGAUUAUAGCAAUUUAUAAGGCAAGCCAUGAAUGUAUUUGGUUAAGAAAUUUAACUCAAUACAUUUGCAAGAAUUGUGGUCUAACUUCUAACAGAGAUGUUCUAACCAUACUAUGUGAAGAUACUACAACUUGUAUAGCUCCAUUCAAGGAAGGAUUUAUCAAAGGAGACAGAACCAAGCAUAUAUCACCAACGUUUUUUUCACUCAUGAUCUUCAAGAAAAAGAGUGUGGCAUCAACAUCUAGAAAAAUCAAUCCAGUAACAAUUUUCCUGAUUGGUUUACUAAAGCACUUCUUACAUCGAAAUUGAAAAGAUGGUACGAAACAUUGUUAUGCGGUGCUUCAAGAGAAUCAAGUGAUGUGCUAAUCAGGGGGAGUUGGAAACAUAUUGUACUCUUUUCCUUAGCUAUGUUUUUCCCACUGGGUUUUCUUAGCAAGGUUUUUAACGAGGCAAUUGUUUCCAAUAUCUAUUAUUAAUCAUGUACUCUUUUUCCUUAAUAAAGGGUUUUUCCCAUGAGGUUUUACCGAUUAAGGUUUUAACGAGGCAUGAUACAAUCGUCAUUCAAGGGGGAGUGUUAUGAAUUAUUAUUUAGUGAAUGACUAUUGGAUUCUCCAUAUUCCCCCAUUACUCUCCAUAAUUAGUGAACAUUAUAGCAAACAUUAUUAUGUGUUUUAUGAGUGUAGUUAUGCACCACUAUAAUGAGCAUUCAUAUCAUACAUCACCUUUCAUCUUCUUUGUCUAGUAUAAAUAGUGAAUAUUAUGUAUUGUAAAGUUUGAUGAUUUCAUCACAAGUAUUGGAAUAAAAGCUCUCUCUACUCUCAUGUCUUUCUUUACUCUAUAACUUAUCUUGUUAUUUGAUCAUAUUUUAUAACAUUUUNNNNNNNNNNNNNNNNNNNNNNNNNNNNNNNNNNNNNNNNNNNNNNNNNNNNNNNNNNNNNNNNNNNNUAUAUAUAUAUAUAAUCAUUAAGUUUUACUUAUAAAAAGAAAAAGCAAAGGAAAUAUUAUAUAAUCAUUAUAUUUUAUAUAUGUAAUGUCAUUAAAUAUAUAAUAGAAAUAGUUAAUUAGUAAAGAAUUAAGAAUAUUUAAAACUUUAAUAUAAUUAACACUUUGUUAUUGAGUUUUUUUAAGGACAAAAAAGAAAUGAUAUAUAUAAAGGAAAAUAAAUUUUUUUUUGCCUUGAAAUAUAUCCUCCAAAAUGUGGGAUGAUGGGAGGGGAAGGAAGAAAAUAGAUAGUAUAAGAGUGUAAGGGGAUGUUUGACUUAGUUUUUUACAGUCCAAAAAUCAUUUUUAAAAAAGUUACAAAAAGUCAGGAUUUCCUGACUUUUCCAAAAAGUUUAUUUNNNNNNNNNNNNNNNNNNNNNNNNNNNNNNNNNNNNNNNNNNNNNNNNNNNNNNNNNNNNNNNNNNNNNNNNNNNNNNNNNNNNNNNUUUUUUUUUUUUCCAAAAAGGACUUUUGACUGUGAAAAGCUAAGUCAAACACCCCUAAAUUGAAAUGUGAUUAACCUUCUAUUUCUUUUUAUUAUUAUUUUUUUCAUUCUCUUCUGUUUUAAACUUGAAAACAUGCCGUAAGGGGAUAAAAUGAAAUGCGAUUAAUGGAAAAAUUGUUAUANNNNNNNNNNNNNNNNNNNNNNNNNNNNNNNNNNNNNNNNNNNNNNNNNNNNNNNNNNNNNNNNNNNNNNNNNNNNNNNNNNNNNNNNNNNNNNNNNNNNNNNNNNNNNNNNNNNNNNNNNNNNNNNNNNNNNNNNNNNNNNNNNNNNNNNNNNNNNNNNNNNNNNNNNNNNNNNNNNNNNNNNNNNNNNNNNAAAUCCAUCCAUCAAAUCUCUAUCGAUCUAUUCUUCAAAUCUAUCAAAUUAGAUACAUCUAAUUGAUCCAAACAAUGGAUAUGUCCAUAUGAUCCUUCUACCUUGUUCAUUAAUCUAUAUGAUUAAUCAAAAUAUAUCCCACCCAUAUGUGCACCCCUUCUAUCCCAUUCAUAAAAUUCUUCCAUCCAAUCCAUUCAUAAGAUCAUUCCAUCUAAUUCACUUAUUAGAUCAAUCUAUUGGACCGGUCCAAUCGGUUCAUCUAAUACACCAUCCAAUUAGUCUAUACAAAUAAAUACAUCAUAGGGGUUUAUUCAUAUGAUCAAUAUGGGUCCAUCUAUACGAUCCAUCAUGGGCGUGUCUAUAUGAUCUAUCCAUUUGUCAUAUCUAGCUACACAUUUGAUCAUAUGAUUCAUCUUAUGGAAGAGUCUAUUUGAUCCAUUUGUCAAUUGAUUUCUUUAUUUGAUCCAUUCAUCAAUCGAUUCAUCUGUUCCAUCCACCACGACCAUCCUUUUUUUUUUCACACACUUGAUUCGUUUCUUUAAUCUAUUGUUAGUCCCAAUAUGUUUGUUGGAUUUGAUGAUGACAUAACAUCUAAUAAACUAACCACUAUCAAACUUACAUUAUUGUGUGGUUAGACAUAAUAAUGAAAUAACAAAUGAAUGGAAUAGACGAGAUAAUAAAACGAUAUUACUUUUCCAUUGUCAUGUUUUGUUAUUAUAUUGUAACCGAAACAAUCAUUAAUCCGUGUUAUUUGAUACGUGAAAAGACCAAUUAAUGAAAUAAAGUUACUCGAAAAUGAAAAAAAAACUUAACAAAAUGCAGGUAUUAUUAUACGUAGGUCGUAUAGACCUAUCAAAGUAUAAUUUUGAUUUGUUUCCUUCUUACUGUACAUAUAAGUCGUAUGCCUAUUAUUAAAAACUUUAGGAGACCAAAGAGAGUACAUAUUAUUUUUUUGCACAUGUAUCUCUAUUUUUUGGUAAAUUUGAGAAAUAUAGUACAUAUAUGUAAUACAUGCACUUAUAGAGAAAACGCGAGCAUUAUAAAUUUGCCUUGCAUAUUUAAAUCAUGAAAAAGCAUUUAAAGAUAUCAUUUGAGAUUUGAGAAGCAUUGAUGUCCUCGUGUCUUCACCCCUGUUUUUUUAGAUGUUUUGAAUUCAUUUAUCGUACUGUACGUUUUAGAUAAUAAAAUAUUACAUAUACAUAAAAACUUUUGAGAAACCUAUGUAUCUUUUAAAAGCAAAGAAAAAGUAGUUUUUGAGUAGCCUAUAUACAUUGUUAUUUUAUAUCUUCACAGUCUAACAUAAUAUUUUGGACAUGUAACUCAAGUGGAAGAUGCCUAUAAGAGUAGUUAGAGAAGGCGAGUUAAGGAUAUGCAAUUUGGAGGAAUAAGACUACUCUAUAAAUGGUUUUUCAUAUUGAUGGUUGUAUGUUUCACAUUGUAUUAAAACAUUUGAGAAUUUAGGUUUUAAAUAUAUUUGAGAAACUUGGGACUUCCCGUACUUAUUUUUGAGAAACAUUUUAUUCUGGUUAAGUAAACGAUAUUUUCAGACAUGUCAUAUAACUAUAUAAGUUUUAUAUUCUAACUCCUAUGUGGCUUAUCGACGACAUUCGUGGUGUCGGUAGACUAGUUUUGUAAUAUACUGAAAAGUUAGAUUUUGAUAUGGCCUCUCUUUUUAUAUGGGAAGUGAUUCAUACACAACAAUUUUUUGCCAUACACAACAAUUUAUGCAUUAUGAAGUUGUACAGUACAACAUUUUAAAGCACUGAUUAUUGUGUAUGGAGAAAAAUUAUUGUGUAUGGAGAAAAAUUAUUGUAUACAAAUCAUCUCCUUUUUAUAUAAAAAGCUGAUUUGUUAAAUACUCCCUCCGUCCCAAAAUUAUUGUCCACAGACAAAAAAACACACAAAUUAAGAAAACAUUAAUUACCACUAACUUUAUAUAAUAAAAUCACAGUUUUGUCCUUAUUUUGCAUUUAAUGUUCCAUUAAAUGCUUAAUUGGUUAAGUAAUAAUGAUAGUUGUAUUUUGGUAAAAAUGUUAUUUAUUUUUAGAAGUUGAUUAUUAUUCGGGGACAAACCAAAAAAAAAAGAUUGACUAUAAUUUUGGGACGGGGAAAGUAUUUUUUUUUUAUAACAUUAUAACUACUUUAAAGUAUAAAUUGUUGUAUCACAUUCCCUUUUAUAUAGACUCCUUCCCAAAACAAAUCGGUCAAAGUCAACAUAUAUACAAGUAAGGAUGUGUUAAAACGCACGUGCAUGCACAUGGGCAAGUGAAGCUGGUUUCACAGUUAAGUAGGUGAGAAAAGCAUUAAAAUGGAGCUAAUUAAGGGGGAAAAAGUGAUGGCAUUUUGAACACCCACUAAAUUACAUCACAUGAAGAAUUUAUCCUUACUAAAUUUCUUGCAUUUAUUUCAUCCAAAUCCAUGUUACUUUUCUUUUCAAUAUUAAAUUUUAUUUACUAUAAGUAAAAUAAACAAAAAUAUGUGUUCGGAAAAAACCUUUUGUUCACAUUUUAAUUCUAAUUUGCACAAUCGUAUAUAGGUGUUAUCUGCUUUGUUUAAGGACCUAUAUAUUUUAAUUUUUAACUAUCAAAGCAUUGAAAAGAGAAGAUACCAUCUGUUUUUUUAGGUAAUAUAAAUUACAGUUAAAUAUGUUAACACUAUCUUCUUUAAUCUUUUAUUCUUUUGAAUUUGAUCAAAAGUAAAACAAAAAUGAUGCCAUUCAUAUGUUUAUAAAGAGUACGAGUGUGUCAUUGAUCGACAUAGAUUUCUAUUAGGUUUUAUGACUUGAAUAGUAAAAACAUAAUAACGUUUGUAUACAACAACAAGAAUAUCUGAAAUAUAACUCUCACAUAAUCAUAAGUUUAUCAAUUCAUAAAACAUUCUUCCAUAUUACUUCAGGAGUUACCUUCUAAUUAGUUUCUCUAUAUCAUGUUAUGGGGACAAGUUAGAACCUUUAAAAAUAUGAAUGCAUUCUCUGACAUUCUCAUUUUCAUGGUCAGAAAAGAGAUUUUUAUUUUAAAAACAUAGUUUAUUUAUAAAUGCGGAAUUUGUCCCAUAAAAGUAGAUCCAAAGGAAGUUUUCAUUGACGAUUAUAAUUUUAGGAUGUCAUAACUGAUACAAGAAACAUAAACAUGAACAUAAUCAUUCCUGACCUUACAAUAUCCAAUAACCUACAUUUCCUUUAAUCUCUCAUCAAAUCCAAAUAUUUGACCUUACAAUAUCCAAUGACCUACAUUUCCUUUAAUCUCUCAUCAAAUCCAAACAUUAAAUACUUUUGUAUUGAUAUCUGUGAUACAAAGAAACUGAGUGGGUCAGUUUGGGAAACCUGGUGAGUACAUAAAGAUUUCAAUCCCACAAUGUUAUAUAUAUAUAUAUAUAUUAAAAAUCUGUAUGAUCAACUAUUAUCAUUAACACAUAUAUAUCUCAUGUAAUCAAUCUACCCCAUCCCGUCGGUCCUCACAUAUUGAUCAUAUACGACCUUGCGACGUUUAUCUGGAAAGAAUAAAGUGAACAGUAAUUUGACUAUGUUGCUUCGGGGAUUUCUUAGCAGUAGUCGAGGAUGAAUGGAGACAACAGAUAAAAAAUGGAAUACUUGAACUAUAGUACCUAAUCCAUACUCUCGGAUUAGUGAUAAAUGACUGUACAUAAUCCAUGCUCUCGGAUAAAUAGUAAAUAACUAUACCUAAUCCAUAUUCCCGGAUGUAACAUCCGGAUUCCCAGGUAUUCUAUGUUAUUCAUUUAUUUUGAGUUAGAGAGAAGGACUCGACGAGUCGAUGCCUAGAAUCGUCGAGUAGGAUCGCGAUUUGCUGACUGGAUUAAUGAAUGGAUUCGACGAGUUGCCAGAAGAGUUAUGUGGAUAGGCGACGAUCCGAACUUGAGUUUCAGGUGGGAGACUUCGUACUCCUGAAGGUGUCUCCUUGGAAAUGAGUGAUCCGAUUCAGGAAGAGGGGCAAGCUGGGGCCUCGGUACAUUGGUCCGUUCAGGGUGACCGCGAGGGUGGGCAAGGUAGUGUAUCGUUUGGAGCUACCUGCGGAGUUGAGCCAGAUUCAUGAUACCUUCCACGUGUCUCAGUUGAGGAAGUGUAUAGCCGACGAGUUGGCAGUGGUGCCGCUGGAGGAUAUUCAGGUGGAUGCGAGCCUGAAUUAUGUUGAGAGAACGAUUGCGAUCCUGGCUCGGAAGAUCAAGGUUCUGAGGAACAAGGAGGUGCCCCUGGUUCAGGUCCAGUGGCAACAUCGGAGAGGGUCCGAGCUGACUUGGGAGUCAGAGUUGGAGAUGAGCAACAUCCAGAGUUGCUUGCCGAGCGAGGCUUUAAGGGCGAAGUCUGAUUCUAGUGGGGGAGAAUUGUAACAUCCGGAUUCCUAGGUAUUCUAUGUUACUCAUUUAUUUUGAGUUAGAGAGAAGGACUCGACGAGUCGACGCCUAGACUCGUCGAGUAGGAUAACGAUUUGCUUACUGGAUUAAUGAAUGGACUCGACGAGUCGGCAGGGUGACUCGAUGAGUCGGCGCUGAGGUCAGAAACCCUAAAUCUGUGGGCCUGAGCCCUAUUUAAAGGACCUUAUCGCCCUCAUUUGCGGCUACCAGUCCAGAGAGAGAAACCCUAGAGAGCUUGGGCGAGUUGUGUGUGAGAGCAAGCCAUUUUAAUCCUUUUUGGUGUUGUUUUGCAAAGAAGAAGGUGUUUCCAACUAGAGGAGAUCAAGAGGGUUGCUAAUCCGUGGUUUCCAAGCUUGGAUCUGCAGUGUUGAGGUAGCAAAUCGAACUCUCCUUCUGUUUUGGUUAAGAUCUAUGAAUCUAGGGUUUUCUAUACCCUUUUUAUGGCUUGAAUUUAUGAGGUUAUGGUCCCUUUAUGUGUUAGACUUCAGAUCUUGACCCAUAGAGGUCCAGAGAACUUUAUCCAUCUUGCUUUAUGAAGUGUUAUGGAAGGAAUGAACUUAAGUUGCCAUUUUUGAGGCUAUUUCUUCAAAAGGAACCAUAUAUGUGUUGCAUGAGUGUAAAGGUUUCACCUUUACGUGAUUAGUGGGUAUGGAAAGGUCAGAUCUAUAGGUUAGAGAAGCGGAUCUGAUCUCAGAAGGUCAUUUGAGUGUUGCCAUGGAUGCAACUCGCCGAGUUCAUAAGUGGACUCGACGAGUCGAGNAAGGGGACUGGGCGAGUCGAGUCGGGGUUGCCCCGCGAUUCGUGACAGGAGUAACCCGUUGAGUGAAGGGAUGACUUGACGUGCCAAGUGAGGCUAGAAGGAUUUAAAGGACCCGCAUGGACUCGCUGAGUCGACCAUGUGCACUCGACGAGUCGGGUCAAAGUUUGACCGUUGACUUCAGUUGACCUUAGGGUUUUGGUCAAGCUGAUUCAAGAAAGUUCUGGGAGGGGUAGAAUGGUCUUCUACCCAUCAUUAAAGAUGAGAUUAUGAGAGAGUAUAUAUUAGGGAUGUUAUUCUUAUAGGAGGAGGCUAGAUCGGGUAUCCGGGCACGGGAGAUUAUCCGAUAUCGUACGAGGUGAGUCUUCUCACUAUACAUUACCUAGAGUGGUAUCCAUGUGUAGACCAGAGGGUCUUGUGUGCUAUGUGUAUGUAUGAGAUUAUGUGCAUUUGUUAUAUGUAUGCUAUGUGUUGUAUAGACCGGACCAGAGGGUCCAACGAUAUAGACCGGACCGAAGGGUCCAACGAGCUAUGACUGGAGCAGAGGGUCCAACGAGUUACGGGACUGGAGGGUCUCGCUGAGACACAUCGAGCGAAGGGUCGUGCUUCAUCCUCGAGUGACAUAUAUGUUGUAUGUGGUAUUUUGGGGAACUCACUAAGCAUUUAUGCUUACCGUGUUGUGUGUUAUAUGUUUCAGGUACCCGUGAGGAUCGCGGGAAGGCGCCAACAUGAUCUGUACACACUUGCGGAGUUUUUAUGUAUUGGGAUCUUGGGAUUUGUUUUAUGGAGUUGUCAUGUGAUACUUUGAGAUUUGAUAAUAUUAUAACAGAAAUUAUGUUUUUAAAGUGAAAAAUUGUUUGGCAAAUUUACGUUGUUACAAGUUGGUAUCAGAGCCUUGGUUUGAGGGAUUCAGAUGCACCUUCGGGCGUAUCUGAACUCAAACUGAUGAUUUGAGAAAUUUUUCACAAUAAAAACAUUUUUUUCUAAAAAGGGUAAAAGGUUUUGAGACGAGCAGAGUGGAGCAGUGUGUACGAUCAGCCAGCGCCCGAACGGUGAUUUCCCCAAAUACCUUUACAUUAUGUGUUAUGAGAUAUGAUAUGAUAUGUUAUGCAUGCUAGAGUAGGCUAGGUAUUCAUAUUAGGACUAGAGUGGCCUGAUCUAUGAUGCCUUAGCCUAGGGGAUUUCUGCUACUAUGAGAUGCUUGAGAGUGAGUAGGUAGCAGCGAGGAGCUUAUGAUAGGUCUGCUGGAGAGUAGCCUAUGCGUAGCGAGAUUAGAGUACUUGUGAUCUGGGAUCCUAGGAGGAGGACUUGGGGUGAAUAUUGAUGUGGUGUGGACGGUAGUAUAAGGGCCCGCACUACUGAAAGCACCGGAUCAGUGCGCAGUCCAAGUAAGAAUCCUUAGGGUACUAAGGAGCAAGUAGGGUUGAGUUAUCGAGUGCGAGUAUGCUCGAGCGAGUCUCUGAUAUUCCUUAUGUUGUAUUUCAGAGGCAUCAUGAUUGGGACGCGCCCCAGACCAGGGACCAACGGUGUGAGUAACGAGAAGCUUCGUCAGAUGAUCCACGAUGAGGUGGUUGCGGCUAUCCGUGCAGAGAUUCCGGAGAUGUUUGGGUCUAUCAAGAUCACUUUGAUUGAGACAUUUGACGAGAGAUACGCAGCGGUUACUGCGGCUGUGGCUGUGGCUGCUGCUAGACCUUAGGGGGUGACUUGUUGCUGUUUCGGGAGUUCAGCAACACGAAGCCACCAGAGUUUGAAGGGACGCAUGAUCCAAUUGCUGCCAUGAGAUGGAUUUCUGAUAUUGAGGGAUGUUUCUAUACCUGCUCGUGUCCGGAGCAUUUGAGAGUACGGUUCGCGCCGAACCAGCUUCGCUUGGGGGCGAAUGACUGGUGGAAGUUUGUGUCGGCGGAUUUCACCACUGCUGAGCUUGCUGCGGUGACCUGGGAGAGGUUCACCGUUAUGGUUGUUGGAUUUCAGAAGUGCUAUAAUGUCAAAAUGGUCUUGCCCUCUGGUAUUUCAUGUCUGGCCCAUGUCUAUACAUAGUAGUUGAAAAGUAUUGUUUAACACUUAUAAAACAAUAACGCUCGUAAAUACUCGCUGUAAAUAUUAGACUAAAUCCUAUCGGUAAUGAUACCAGGUUUCGCCGAAGGAAAAUAUAAUUGUUAGAAGCGAAGCUCUGCACGAGUUUGGAAUCAUCACUUUAACGAGUGAGUGCAUAGUCCCUUUCAUGAACAUGAUUUUAAUACAAGUAUUAAUUAAAGUACUAAAUAUCUGUUAAAGAGUUAAAUAUUUUUUAAAGAGUUUAUAUGUUAGUACAUAGUCCCUUUCAUGAACAUGAUUUCAAUACAAGUAUAAAAUAUCUGUUAAAGAGUUAAAUUGUUACGCAUGGUUCUUGGUACGCAUUUAAAUUAUUAUUUAUUUAUUUUUGUAGAGCAACCCGACGGGUUGGGAGCCCCAAACUCAUCGAGUAGAAACAUAAUGGACGCGAGUUUUAAGUAACUUACUCGACGAGUUAAGAGCCCUUAACUCAACGAGUAGGGCUGCCAGAAUGAAACCCUAAUUUUGGGGUUUUGCACCCUAUUUAAGCAUCCUAAUCCCCACUUGCUGACCUCAUUUCCAGCUUCCAAGUCCCAAACCCUAGAUUCAGAAACCCUAAUGCAUUUGUGAGCUUAUGAGCCAUCUGUGAGUGAAACUUUGUGUGUUUUGAAGCUUGUGAAAGAAAGAGAAGCUUGAGGAUUCAAGAAGAAUCUAGUAGAUCCAGAGACUCCAAUUCUUCCUCAUCAUUUUCUGGUAACCAAGUCUCAAACUUGCUUAGUAGCUUCUUAGAGCUCUUUAUCAUUAUUUUAUUGGGUUUUUGGUCCAAGAAGCUUGAUCUUUGGGAUAAGGACGUCCCAAGUGAGUAUACCUUCAGAUCUGGAGCUAUGGAGGGCUUUCAUGGCAUAAAGGUGCAAACUUUAUGGCCAUUGAAGCCCUACGCAAGCCAUAGGAUGUCAUUUUGUCCUUUUAAGCUCCAAAAGGCCAUGCAUGGAGCGAAAGGUGGAAGCUUUACGUGUUCAUGUAAUGUUUAGGGUCUAGAUCUCUGUUUGUAUGCUUUAUUUGGAGUAUGGAUGGCUUGUGGACCAAGAUCUAGGUCCUAAAGAGUUAGGGUUUGAGCUAAACCCAUUAAGUAAAGGUAUUAACGGGUAAAGUUGGAAACUUUACCCUUAGAAGGAGAUUUUCAGUGUAUGUGAGAAGCAUGAAGCUUAGAUCUGAAGAGUAUGGGCUUAAUCCAUUAAGAUAGCCCAAACAGACUGAGGAACUCGUUGAAUCCAUAGAGGAACUUGACGAGUUAAGUUGAUUUGUCUCGAUUCUGAAUAGGAUAGAACUCAACCUAUCUAAGGAAGGACUCGACGAGUUGACUCGUUUAUCACGAGUACGAAUAGCAAGGGAACUCGGCGAGUUAGGGGAAUGACUCAACGAGUUGGAUCGCGAUGUCAGAGUUUUUAAUUUAUAGAACUCGACGAGUUGAUGGAUCAAAUCGGCGAGUUGAGUCAAUCCAGAACGUUGACUUUGAUCAGAAUUUUGACUUUAAUCAGGGGUAAAAUGGUCAUUUUACCCUAAGAAGGAUUAUUGGAUUUUAACUAAGUGUUAUUGUGAUAAUGAUAGCCGGGGAGUCGUUGGAGCAACAGUUAGAGAUUCCUCACCGCGAGAUUUCACAGUCAGCUUUGAAAGGUGAGUUUUCCUCUAGUAGGAAUGGGUCGAAGGCACCAAUGUCGGCCCAUUUAUGUUUGUUAGCAUAUGUCGAACUUCGGUCCGAUGUCGGGUUGUGCCCGAUGUAGGUUUAUGUGUUUCCGGACUUCGGUCCGAUGUCGGGGCAAGACCGAUAAAUGUUUGUAUGCUUGGUAUCUUCGUGAUGAUUCUUGCAUGUGUCUGUUAGAAUGUGUCACACCCCCAAACCAGGCGACAGAAACGACCGGGGGUGGAUGACUUCAUUUGUAGUUUCACAACACAUGCAUCAUAGUAAUCAAAGUACAAACAACCAUUGUAUUUAAAAAGUAUAAAUCUUUACAUGUGUUCAAUCACUGUAUAUUGAAACCAAAAUAGUUAUACAAAAGAAGAAGACAUGACUCAAAAUAGCUCCAUCUUCUCAAAAGUUUGGGGAGUACUUGUCUACUGAUUCCCUGAGAAUACAAGUAAUUUGAAAAGAGAGUAUCAACAUAAAGUUGAGUGAGUGCAUAAGUAUUUAUGUUUGAAAGUAUGUUUUCUGUUUCUUGAAUAUGUGAACUGUUCCAGAAAAUCCUAUAUUUUCUGCUGUAUAUGAAGAGUAGUUUUAAUCUCAUAAAACCGUUCUGUUUGUAAAAUAAUGUUCUAUAUUUAUAUUCCUUUAUGUAAAACUUCUAACUGUGAGUGUGCCUGGUUCCACCAGCUGUUAUUGUAAACUGUAAUGUAAUACUGUAAAUUUGUAUCUUGUAAACUAGUACUUUGAAAAUGUACUUAUGUUUAGUUAAUUAUACACUAACGUAUUGUUAAUAUCUUUUUUAAUGAGUUAUUAUAACCAUACUGAGACUAGAUAGCAGUCUGAGUGUGGGGUUGUCAACCCCAAUAUAGAUCUAUACACGCAUUGUUUUGAUCCCCGGCUGGAGAUUCUGGUUAUAAUGCUAGGACUUUAACUAUGUUGUUUAAAUGAUUUAAACAACCUGAACCAAAUGACUCAUAAAAAGCAUAUAGAAGUUUCAUGUAUAUUAGUUAUGAAAACUCAAUCAUUCUGAAAUGAAUGAUUGAUAGUAUGCCCUUGAAUUAGUAUAUGAAAAAUGUAUACUUUUGUUUAGUUUUAAAUCAAACAUUUGUUCUUGUAAAAUAGUGUACUUUAGUAUACUUGAAUCGUCAAUUAAUGUUCUGUGAAUAAUAAAUUAUACGUAUUAUAAUUUAUAUGUAAUUUCUGAACUGAUACCGAGUGUUCAUGAAUGCAACCCCUUGCUCAACAUGUUACAAAGGGUAUCUAAACUGAAUGAAAUAGCUUUUAUAUUUACAUACAUAUACAAUUAUAUAUAAGUAAAAUUUAAACGACAUUCAGACAAAUAACCGAUACUAUAGGCCCACAUCCAAACAAGAAAAAGGAACCAAAGUGAGUUAUCAGUCCUAAGACUNUAUAUAUAUAUAUAUAUAUAUAUGAUUUCUGGUUCGGGUGCAGCCUUCUGAUCUCGAGCUAAUACUUCAUAACACUAAUUUCUUAAGUGUACAAGGCUUAAAAGUCUAUGUAUGACCCUUAACACAGUUAGAAUAUAACAGAAACAAGUCUAACUUUUGAUUGAUUUGUUUGACUUACAAGAUAGAAAAAUAACGGGAUGUUACAUUAUCCCCCCGUUAGAGAGAAUUUCAUCCCGAAAUUUGGAUUAAAGAGAUAUAGAAAGACUAGAGAAAAAGAUGUGGAUACUUCUAUUGCAUUUGAUCCUCCCGCUCCCAAGUGAAUUCCGGUCCCAGUUUUGCAUUCCAGCAAACCUUCACUAUCGGAAUACGACUUUGUUUGGUUCUCUUUACUUCCCUGUCUAAGAUCUCUAUGGGCUCCUCCACAUAAUUGAGAUUAUCGUUAACCUCGAUCUCGUUAAGUGGGAUCACAAGAUUCUCAUCGAAUAAACACUUUUUCAAGUUAGAGACGUGGAAAGUAGGACGUAUGUUACUUAGUUCUUAGGGUAGUCAGAGUUUGUAAGCUGCUGGACAGAUUCUAGCAAGAAUCUUGAUCGACAUAUGUACCUUGGAUUCAGAUUGUCAUGCUUUCCAAAGCGUAUCACGCCUUUUCAGGGUGAUACCUUCAACAUGACAUGGUCACCAACCUAGAAUUCCAAAGGUUUUCUUCUUUUGUCAGCGUAGCUUUUCUGUCUAUCUCUAGAAGCUUUAAGUCGCUCCUGGAUUUGUACGAUUUUCUCCAUAGUUUCGCGAAUGAUUUUCGAACCAAUAAGAGUACUGCCAGGAUCCUUGACUUUUAGCUAGCUGUGUGUCACCCACUUCAGCCCAUCACAGAGGUGAUCUGCACUUGCAGCCGUAAAGAGCCUCGAAAGGAGCUGCCUUUAUGCUACUGUGAUAACUGUUAUUGUAAGAGAAUUCGACAAGGGGUAAGUGAGUAUCCCAUGCCUUUCCAAAGUCUAUCACGCAAGCUCGCAACAUGUCUUCUAAAGUUUGAAUCGUCCUCUCACUUUGUCCGUCGGUUUGUGGAUGGUAUGUUGUACUCAUGUCCAGCCUAGUUUUUAAGAUUUUUGUAAAGAUUGCCAGAAACGAGAGGUGAAUCUACUAUCUCGGUCAGAAACAAUAGAUAUUGGCACACCAUGCAGUCUAACGAUCUCCUUGAGGUAAGUUCUUGUUAGUUUCUCCAUCUUGUCGGUUUCUUUUAUUGGUAAGAAGUGUGUGGAUUUGGUUAAUCUAUCGACGAUUACCCAAAUAGUAUCAUAACCACCCAAUGUCUUGGGUAACUUAGUUAUGGAAUCCAUCAUAAUCCGCUCCAACUUCCAUUCAGGGAUUUCAGGUUGUUGCAAUAAACCUGAAGGUUUCUGGUACUCUACCUUGACGUUGGCACAAGUAAGGCACUUGCCCACAAAGGUAGCGAUUUCGACCUUCAUGUUAGGCCGCCAAUAUAGUUUCUUGAGGUUCAGAUACAUCUUGUCUGAACCUGGAUGAAUGGAGUAUCGAGUUUUGUGUGCUUCAUUCAUAACUACGUUUCUGUAACCACCGAACCUUGGUGUCUAGAUUCGGUUCAUGAAACAAUAUACUCCAUCAUCCCUGACUUCUAAGUUCUUAUCCAUUCCUCUCAGGGUUUCACCUGCCACGUUUUCGGGUUUUAAGGCCUCGAGUUGAGCCUCUUUGAUCUGUAUGGACAGAUGUGAAUGGAUUGAUGGUCAACGACUUUACUCAGCGCACCAAGUAUUCUUUUCUGCUAAGGGCGUCAGCUACUACGUUAGCUUUAAUAGGGUGAUAAAGAAUCUCACAUUCAUAGUCGUUCAGUAGCUCCACCCACUGUUGUUGUCUCAUGUUCAACUCUUUCUGAUCGAAGAUAUGCUCGAGACUUUUAUGGUCCGUGAAUAUUGUGCAUUUCGUGCCAUAUAAAUAAUGUCUCUAGAUCUUCAGAGCAAAUACCACUGCUCCUAGUUCAAGGUCAUGUGUUGUAUAGUUGACUUCAUGUGUCUUUAGUUGUCUUGAGGCAUAGGAUAUAACCUUUCCUCUUUACAUAAGAACACAUCCAAGCCCUUGAUUAGAAGCAUCACAGUACACUACAAAAUCCUCUGUCCCUUCAGGAAGAGACAUGAUCGGUGUACUACACAGAGCUCGCUUCAGCGUUUGGAACGUUGUUUCUUGCUUCUCUCCCCAGCUAAAAGUUACACCCUUUUGUGUCAAGGUGGUAAGAGGUUUAGCGAUUCGAGAGAAAUUCUGGAUGAAUCUGCGAUAGUAGCCAACAAGACCUAAGAAUUGACGGAUUUCUAUAGGUGUUCUAGGUGCUGACCAGUUCUCAAUUGCCUUUAUUUUGGAAGGGUCCACGUGUAUUCCUUCUGAACUGACCACGUGACCUAGGCAAUCAACUUUCCUGAUCCAAAACUCGCACUUUGAGAACUUCGCAUAGAGUUUCUCUGUUCUAAGAGUUUGCAAUAUUUGACGAAGAUUUUGGCCAUGCUCCUCUUCACUUCUUGAAUAGAUAAGGAUGUCAUCAAUGAAGACUAUAAUGAAUUUGUUCAGGAAUGGAUGACACACUCUGUUCAUUAGGUCCAUGAACACUGCGGGUGCAUUCGUCAAUCCGAAUGGCAUCACUAUAAACAUAAUGACCAUAACGAGUUCUGAACGCGGUUUUGGGAACGUCUUCCUCCAAAAUUCGUAAAUGGUGAUACCCGGAUGUUAAGUCUAUCUUUGAGAAGUAGUUCUCACCUUGAAGUUGGUCGAACAGAUCGUCAAUGCGAGGCAGAGAAUAUUGAUUCUUGAUGGUAAGUUUAUUCAGCUCGUGGUAGUCUAUGCACAUACGGAAUGAUCCAUCCUUCUUCUUCACGAACAAAACUGGUGCUCCCCAGGGUGAGAAGCUUGGUCUUAUGAAACCCUUGGUAAGGAGUUCGUUCAGCUGGCUGGAUAAUUCCUGCAUUUCAGAAGGUGCAAGACGAUAGGGGUAUUUGACUACAGGGGUAGCCCCAGGGAUUAAGUGUAACAUCCCAAAAAUACGAGCAAAAAAUUUCGUUUUUAAAACAUGCACUUAGCAAAACAUUUAGAAAUAAAUCAUUCAACAACCAUUUCAUUUCACAAAUGAUGUUGCAUGUCAGAAAACAUUGUAAUAAUCAUAAAAAUGUCAGAGUACAAUCUCCCAGGUAGAUGUCAUAAUGCGGAAUACAAACAGGUGUGUGUGUGAUGUACCGCUACCGCGCCAGCUCCUUCCCCUUCGACGAAGAGGUACCUGAAACCAAAACUGAAAACCAUAAGCACGAAGCUUAGUGAGUUCCCCCAUAAUACCUCAUACCAUGCAAGCAUACAACAUACAGCAAGGAGAUACGGGCCUCACCCACACUCAGGGAGAUACGGGCCUUGCCCACACUCUGCUAGUCGGGAGGUAUGGGCCUCGCCCACACUCAGCCGCUAACCCAUAAUAUACAAGUAUCACACAGACAACGAGUGUAGAGAUCUCUAUCAUACUGGAAUAUAUCAUAAUCAACUCAACCAAGAGAUACGGGCUCGACGCACACUCUAAUACUAAAGUCUCGUCUAUACGGGCCGGCCUUGGCGCCAUAGACCCGUUACUACUAGAAGAAAACUCACCUCAAGGUCCCUGCCGAUCUGUGUGGGAACUAACUGUCUGCUGCUACUGCCGCUCCGGAAAUCCUCCGGCUAUAAUUCCCACAAAACCCUUAGUCAAAUACUGCUAACCGACUUCAGGGUAAAUUGACCAUUUACCCUUACAAUCAAGAGUCAACUCACAGUCAACUGCCAGUUGACCAGACUCGCCGAGUUGGCUUGCCAACUCGCCGAGUCCCUUUCCCUUAGUUUGACCAUAAAUCCGUCUCUACUCGUCGAGUUAGACGUAGACUUGACGAGUUUUCCUUCUAUACCCAAGGCCCAUAGUCCUUCAUCCUACUCGCCGAGUUGUAUGAACAACUCGUCGAGUCUGUUCUUGAUCUAAGAAGGUUGCCUUGAACUCGCCGAGUCAUGACAUUGACUCGCCGAGUGACUUCAUGAGUGAGUCUAGCUUCCGACCCAAUGAGUCACACCUAAUGACUCAUUACUCCCAACUCGCAAAUGCGAAAAAGGGAAAAACUCGGGGACUCACGACUCGACUCGCCGAGUCAUCUGAACGACUCGCCGAGUCGGCCACAUGCAAAAACUACACACGCGAUUCUGCUUGGAUCCAGCUCAUGCCAUUCAUAGAUCUGGGUUCUUAGGGCAGGAUUUUCACGUAAAGUUUCCAACUUUACAUGUAGAAAUGCAUAGAAUGGGGAUUAUGUAACGCCCGGGUUUCAGGGCUAAGCAUUUUUGUCAAUGUAAUAGUCUAGGUCAACUCUUGUAACUCUUUUUGAAGUAAUAAAGAUGAAAUAUUUGAGUAUUAUGUGAAUUAUAUGUGUUUAUUAUUUAAUUAUAAAUGUAUAAUUAAUAAAGAAUAAAAAUGAGCGUCAAAAUUAAAGUGUGAGAUAAUCCCGAUAUCUCUACAUAAAGUUGUAGAAUAUGUCUCAAGGUUUCCGUGCAUAUAAGGAACGCCGAAAUCCGAGUUAUAACGAAGAAGUUAUGACCCGUCGAAGUUUCACGACAGAACCGGCACGAUACCGGGAAGCGUGAAUAGUGAAUUUACGAUAGAGCGAGAUUUAGCCUUAGUGAUCUAAACGAAAGUCGUAGAAUAUGUUAAACUAAGAACAUCGAUAAAAAGAACGCCCAAAUCUGACUUCGUAUGAAGAAGUUAUGAGAUUUUAAACAGACCAAUCCUGUCCCGGCUUGUUAAAAAUAUAACUUUAAAAAUAAAGUCAAAAUUAGCCGACGGAGUCUAAACGAAAGUUGUAGAGUACGUCUUCACCUACGCGUGGAUAUAAAGAACGUCAAAAACGGAGUUCGUAUGAACGAGUUACAAAUUAUAAUAGCAUAUUUACGUAUUAAAAUAAAGUAUAAAUCAUGUAUACGUACACAUAUAUAUACAUAUGUAUAUAUCAUUAGAAAGGUAUCGACGAUGCGGUCAUUAUAAGACUAAUGUUGAGUUCUUUCGACAUUAGUUUAGUACAAAUAUCAUUAAAUCCAUUUAUAAUAGUAUUAUAGAGGGGUGUUUAGUUGUUUAUAUAACUAAAAGGUCAUUAAGUAAUUAUGGAGGGUAGUUUUUGAAAAUUCAAUUAGUAUAAAUAAGAGCCUUGGGCUCUCAUAUUUCUUGCACCAUUCUCUUGAUUCAAGAGUCUUUCUCUCCUUAUCCCCCGAGCAUUUCGGUCCCUCGUGAUUCGACUUCUCUUUCUGUAGCUUAGUAUAGUAAGGUGAGCGCUGAAGCGCUGCACGAAUCUUUCUUAGAAAGAUUCAGCGACGAAGUUCUGCCCCUGCAGAGCCCGACUCCUAGCUAAAACCCCCUUGUAAGUAAGUUAUGCUUACCUUAUUUUAAUAUAGCUUAUAUUUAAAAUUAGUAUUGUUAUUAUGAACUUAUAAUAAAUAUUUGAGCUAUUAUUAUAACUUAUAUAAGUGUCGUUAUAAUAUUUUUUUUAACUACUCGCGGUACGGGGAAUCUGGUUUAAAGGGCCGCAUAGGGUUGUUGGAUUUCAGAAGUGCUAUAUGCCAAAAUGGUCCUGCCCUCCGGUGUUUUAUGUCUGGCCCCUGUCUGUACAUAGUGGUUGGAAAAUAUUGUUUAACGCUUAUAUAAUAAUAAUAAUACUAAGACUAAUAGUUGGUCACGGUAAAUAUUAGACUAAAAUUUAGCGAUAAUAAUGCUAGGUUUCGUCGAAGGAAAAUAGAAUCGUUAGAAGCAAGCGCUGCCCGAUUUUGGAAUCAUCACCUUAACAAGUGAGUGCAUAGUUACUUUCAACUUACACAUAGAUAUGAAGUAUUUUAUAUAAAUUACGUGCUAUGUGUGCAUAUUAUCUGAAUACUUGCUAUCUAUGCUAGAUGAACGUUGUUAUACAUGUUUUCAAUGAUUUAAACUGUAUAUGUAUUUUAUAUCUACGAAAAUGUUGGGGUAAAACAUGGGUAGAUGCAAUAGGUGAUGUGUGAUAAAAUGAUGAGAGGCCUCGAUGUUGAUGUUGUUGAUUCUGUCAUCUAGCGGAGUAUGGAUGACGACCACGGACUCUUCUAGACAGUCCAGUGGAACACUAGCAGGCUCGCAACCUGUAGGUGUUUGUGAACGAUAUGUUCACCGGUGUACUCCAUCCCCCACAUGGUUGCCUUUAGGACAUUUAUUGCUGAGGAAUCCCCUUAGCAGUAGUGUCCGUCCCGAUGAUGAUCCUUAGGCUAGGUCCCUUAUGAUAGGUGUUUAGGGACGUAAAGUGAGGAUAACGGGAACGGGUAAUCGGGUUAUUGUUGAUCGAUGAAAUUAAUAAACUUAUUUAUUGUGGGUUGAAAACCCUAUGUGCUCACCAGGCUCCCAAGCCUGACCCACUCAGUUUUAUGUAUUACAGGUAGUGGCGCAUGAGCAUAGGUGUGAUGUUUUGGACGAGGGAUUACGGAUAUAGGCCUGUAGAUAUGAAAUAAUGUAGUAAGGCUUAUAUUGUACUGUUUAUGCUUUUGAUCUGUACGAACAUGACAUCCCGAGUCUUUUAAUGAAAUACAUUUCUAUGGAAAUGCUUUUGAUAAAUCUUUAUCAUAUUUUUGUUUUGGGACAAAUUCCGCAACACUUUCAUUUAAAAUGUAACUCUGAUUUUUAAACAAAGCAUAAACAAACCGGUCUUUUCUGGCCGUGAUUUUGGGGAUGUCACAGUUGGUAUCAGAGCAUUAGUUUAAGCGAACUAGGAAUUUUUAGGAUUUCUAGACUUAAACUUAGAAUGCUAAGCGAUGAUUGUGAGGGUGAGCACUAGCUUAUUUUAGGAUUUCCACCAACAUUUCCAGCUUUCAGACAAUCUCUUUUGAAAUUCCCCACAUCACCGCAUUGAUAGCAUGCUUGACCUACUCCAACGGCAGGUACUUGGUUAAUCGGUUGAGGUGGCGAUCUACAGAAUCGGGCAGUAUGCCCUUUUCUGUUGCAGUUACGACACUGCAUUUCCCAACAAUUUUCAUUGUGGUGAAAAUUGCACUUGUUGCAUUUGGGGAGAUUACAAGCAUAAGGCUUAGAUGGUGCAGUAUUAGCAGAUACAGUAGAAGCAUGGACCGCCACUAACUGUUGCUUUUUCGAGGGUUCUUGUGAAGAUUUUCCCUUCCUCUUAUUCCAACCUUUCUUGUUGUUGUUGUUGUUGUUGUUGUUGUUUCCAUUGGGUUGUUCAGGGGUAACAACCAUAGAGUUUUGACGAGCUCCAUGGUCAAUGAGCGACUGUGCCAGUUCCUUGGCACCGUCAAAGGUAACAGGCCUGGAAGCUAUGACAUUUGGCCACUGUUGUAAAAAUCCCGACUAGGACCCGAUUAAUCCCUAGGCGCUACUCGACUGAUUAGAGGGCGCCUAGCGAUUAAUCAUUGCAUACAUAAUGAGUGAAGCAUUAUAAAAACGAUGAAUUUUUAACAUUUUGAAGAAGUUUUAUCUCAAUGGAAAUUAUUUGAGGCAUGAUUAGGGUUAUAUUAAUCAUAUUAACCUAUUUUGUUAUCAUAUUAGUGAUAUUUAUGAACUUUGAUAUGAUAUUAGUCAUAUUUAAUUUCUUAAAAUUCAACAAAUUAGCAAUUAAUGGUACCCGAUUGAUCCUCCGAUUAAUCUCCGUCUAGCCGAUUAAUCCCUUGACCCCAAUCCACCGACUAGCUAAUGUCGAGUGUUUUUUGCAACCUUGCAUUUGCCUGAAUCUGGGGUGACACCCCCCCAAAUAUACCUCUCUAUCAUUUUGCUCUCAAGGGCAACCAUUUCUGGACAAAGAAUCGCUAAGUUACAGAAUCGAUUUGUGUAGGUUGUUAUGUCCGAACCAACCAUAAAAAGACCCAGAGCUCUUGCUCGAGCUUAUGAAUUUCCCCUCACGGACAGUACUCCCGCAUCGGCAUGGUCUUUAAGUUCUCCCAACUUAUAGAGUUAGCCACUACCAGGGUCAGUGACUUAACAUGGCCGUUACACCAUGUUAGGGCUCUAUCAGCAAAGGUACAAACAACGAAUUUGACCUUGCUGCUCUCCGGACAAGAGGAGAUUUCGAAAAUUGCCUCUGUCUUCUCAAUCCAUUAUCUUAACGCCAUCACUCCUCCAGUCCCGUUAAAGGUCCUGGGUUUGGCGUUUGAGAAAUCUUUAUAGGUACACUCUCGUGAGUGCCCGUGACUCUCGACGUGGUUAGAGGGAUACACACCAACUCCUGAUCCACUUGCACCAGGGUUGUUUAUAUGAGACAUAGCAGCUGCAAUAGCUGUCGUGACCACCGCCUGAAACAUGGCAGCGUCGAAUUGAGGAGGUGGUGGCAGAGGUGGUGGCGGAGGUGGUGUUGGCGUUUCAUUAUCGGGGUUAUGCCUUGGGUUUCUCCGAGGAGGCAUCUUUUACUAUAAAAAUUAAAAGAUGAAACGAUGGUAAGAUAUCAAGAGUGAACAUGAAUUUGAUAUCUCUGAACUAAAACAUUUAGUUCAAUAUGAAUCUUGUAAUGAAUUGGAAAUAGAAGUCUACUACAAGUACAACUUGCAACAGGAUAAUAUGAAAUUGAAUGGUUAUUUUUCAAAUUACUGGCACAAUGAAUACAUAGAGUCUGAAAAAUUUGACCCUAAACAGGUCUACAAUACACCAAAUUACUGGAAAAACAUCAACAUCAAACCGACCUACCGAAAAUGAAAUUCUUCCGCGGUCGUACUGAAAAACUUGAAAACAACUCUAGAAUAUAUCCGUAGACUUAACUAUAACCAAAAGAGUAAACAGAGGGCGAGUAUAGUAUACUCUAUCUCUUAAACUAAAAGAAAGGAUGACUAGAGCAUCUCCUACUGGAGACGGGCACCACUUGGAUGAACCCUUAAUUCGGCCAGCUGACGUUCCACAUCAAGCAGGUGUCUUUCAUACAUUGUCUGGCGAGCUCGGAGCUCUAUGACUUCAGCUCGAGUUGCAGCUAGCUUUUGCUGCAGAGCCUCAUUGUCUCUCAUGGCUCUCCCAUGAGCAAGUUCAAGAUUGCGAAUACGAUCUGUAUUAGCGUUUUUUUCCGCAUCAAGCUCCACGGUUUAUUGAAUGGCUAUCAUUCCUAGCUCAACAUUUCAAGCCACUCGGCGAACCAAGAUGGGAAGAAUUUUGUCUGCAGAGCCUCCCUCACUUAGGUUAUAGAAGCUUCGGUCUCCGUUGUAGGGUAAGGGUUGACCCUACUCCUGGCUCCACCUACCCAAGUUCUCAGCCCACGAAGGUGUCGGGCCUUGAAAAGCCGGACGAGGGUUAGGAUUUGGGAUUGGAGCCACUAGGGGUAGAUUAUUGACUUCUGGCUCAGAGUCAAAAUCCUCUGGGAAAUUUUCUGCAAAAUCGUCAUCUAAAGGGAUUUGAUGAUUCUCUUCUUUCUCUGCAUCGAGCCAUCCACUAUUUACUUGGUCGGGAAAGUACGGGUCUCCGGGUAGAUGAAAUCCAGCCAUUGAUAUCUAAGCGAGGAUAGGGAUAAGAGAUAUAGAAUAUAACUAGUAACGAUAUAUUACAAAUCCAAGUUUCUACGAGAGUAACUUACAGUUAACAAGUAAUGUAUUCUGUAUGACUUGUUUUAGGUAUUACUAUAACUACAAAGUGUAUACUAAUUAUAUAUAACUUGGGUAUAAUCGACCUUCGAUUAAAUGCUCCAACUCUAAAUCCACAACCAAACAACGAAAAGGAAAUAAAGCUAGAUCACAUAUUCUAAGUCUAUAUAACUUAAAUUAUAUGUAACUGUAAUAUACCCUUAAUAUUUAUAGUUCUACCAAUAAUAGUUCUUUUGUUUUCACAUAUUUGUUAUUAGUAUAUAGUGCCUAAAAUACUCUUAUAGUAUUUUAAAUUUUAUGUUCUGUUCCGGAGUUCUUCUAUAUAUGUAUAGUUGGUAAGUUUUAGACAUGCCACAACACUUCCAUCACUCCCAAACACAUGUUGGUCAUAUCUCAAACCAAUAUAGUUGAUCAGUGUGACAUCCCCAAAAUCACGGCCAGAAAAGACCGAUUUCAUUUAUGUUUUUUAAAAUAAUUUCAGAGUAAAUCCUUUUGAUUUAAAAGAGUUGUGGAAAUUGUUCCCAAAACAAAAUAUGAUAAAAUAAUAUUUAUCAAAACAUUUCAUCAAGAGAUGCAUUUUCAUUAUAUAAUCAAAACUCGGGAUGUCUUGUUCCGAUACAGACCAUAAAGCAUAAACGAUAACAUUACAAGUCAUUCAACAAAUAUAUACAUAUACAGACUUGUAAACAAAACAACUCGAUGAUUCAUCCAUCUUAUGCCCUUGCGCCACUUCCUGUAAUACAAAUAAAACUGAGUGGGUCAGGCUUGGGAGCCUGGUGAGCAUAUAGGGUUUUCAACCCACAAUAAAUAAUUAUAUUUAAUUUCACCAACCAACAAUAACCCGAUUACCCAUUCCCGUUAUCCUCACUUUAUGUCCCUAAAACAACAUCUAUCUCAAGGGACCUAAUCUAGGAUUUUCAUCGGGACGGACAUUACUGCUAAGGGGUUUCCUCAACAAUAGAUAUCCUAAAGGCAACCAUGAGGGGGAUAGAGUACACCGGUGAACACAUCGUUCACAACACCUACAGGUUAUGAACCUGCUAGCGUUCCACAGGACUGUCUAGAAAGAGUCUGUGGUCAUUAUCCAUACUCCGCUGAAUAACUAGAUCAACAACAACAACAUCGAGGCCUCUCAUCUGUUUAUCACACACCAACUAUCUACCAUGUUCUACCCAACAUAUUAGUAGAUAAAAAAAAUAUAUUUAUAUACAUAGUUUAAAACAUGUAUAGCAUUCUCAUUCAAUACAUAUUCCACAUAACAGAUGAGGUACACCCACAUAACACGUAUUUCAUAGAGAAUAAAUCGGAUCUAUGAGAUAGAAGAAAGUGAAUAUACAUUCACACACAUAACAACAUAAUUAUACACAUAACACGUAUUUCGUAUAAAAUACUUCAUAAUUAUGCGUUAGAAGAAAGUAACUACACACUCACUUGAUCAGAAGAUGAUCGGACAGCACUACGACUUGCAGAAGUAGUAUUCUUCAGUAGAUCUGGAAGAUCUUUACAAAAAUCGGGCUUCUCGCGAGCAGGGCUUCGGCUUGGGAAUUGCACUUCUCGGGAUCUUCGGGGCUUCGGGACUUACUUCGGGGCUCGAGAUUGAUACCGGGGCUUCGGGGUAUAAAUGACACGCAAAUCAAGGCAAAAACUAGAGAGAAAGGAAGAAGACAAAAUUGCAAAAAUGGUCCCUGUGGUAUGCAUUUUUUGGGGUUUCAGUCCAAACCUUGGUUUUUUUGGAUUGAUGGUCCUUUUGGCCUAGUUUGUACGUAAAAUUGGUCCCCCGACUUAACUUCCGUUAAGUAGUUUUUGUUAACUCCCUCAUGUGCCUCUCACAUGAGGGUAUAUUUGUCUUUUCACUUUUAAAGGGUCAUUUUUGCAACUAAAAAAUAUAUAUCCUCUUUUUUAAAAAAAAUAAUAAUAAUUCCUAUUUAUUUAUUCUAAUAAUUAAAAAAAUAAAUAGGUCUCUCUCUCUCUCUCUCUCUCUCUCUCUCUCUCGAUUUUCUAAAGUCAAAAUCAAUCUGAUACCGAAUCUCCAUUUAGAACAAAUAGGAAAACCCAUACAAAGAAAAAACCCAUAAGAAACUCUUAGCCCCCACUUCCAACGUGGUCCUCCUGCUCCGCCACCCCUUUUCUUGUUGAAACCACCUCCAACGCCACUAUCAUUUUAGUAGCGACAUCAAUCUUCACCGUCAUCUCCCUUGUUCUUCAACUUAUCUCCUCACUAGUGCUUGUUAGAAAGAAGCGUGCUCCAAUCUAAUUGUAUUGACUGGAUUAUGUUUGUAAUUAACAGGAAAGCGGAGUAAGAAAGGAAAUCGAUUUCAAGUAGCAAGGGCUCGACAACAUCGUGUCAAAUUAUCUCAAAUCUAAGGUUCUACAGCACCCAGCUCUCGACGGAGGCGGAGAUGGGUGGUGGUGUUGGUUGGAAUAUGAAGAUUGGAAGAAGAUGAUGAUGUUCGUGAGGAAGAAGACGGGUGCACUCUAGGUGCUCGACGUUAUGUCUAGCUUACUCUUCGGUCCAAUUCCUCCGUUAAUUGGCUCUCUAAAUCAACUCAAUCUUCUAGGGGUGGCUUACGUCGGUGAUGGGUAGCAGCGUGAACGACAUCGGAGGUCGCAAGAGAAGAGAUAUGAUCAAAAGAUUCAUCUUUUGGUUUUGGGUCUCUCUCGUGCUUCUUCUUACCCCAUGUUUCUCGCUUAGUAAAUCAUCAAAAGAUUCAUCUUUUGGUUUUGGGUUAUCGAGAAACAUAAGUGCUUUCAAAUAGUCAUGAGAAGAGAUAUGAGUUUCAAUGUUAACAGAAGGAAAUCUAAAGAUUCCCUAGAAAAAUCUUGGGAUUAUGUGUUUCAUCUCGCUUCUAUAUGAGGUAACCUAACAAAAGUCAUCGGAACUUUUUAGAGUGUCGGCCUCGAUGGAUCAUCAAAAAAAAUCAAGAAGGGGAAACUCAUCUUUAUGUUGCUACAGGAAAUGGACACCCAUAUGUCAUAACAAAGUUUUUAAAACACCUUGAUUUUCAAACUGCAUGGUGUGUAUCCAUUAAGUACAUAAGUCUUAAGUCUCGAUAAACCAUGAUUUUAGAUGGCUUACCAUGUCUUAAAUUCAAAUCCCAAACCUAUAAUCUUUGAGGACCAUCGUGCUCUUUUGCACAUCUCUAUUUGUUUUGUAUAUAAUGGAACUUAUUAUACCUAGAACAAAAACCCCAUUUCAAAAUCAAACCAAGAAAUGGAAUCAUGGAAAAAUCUAAAAAUUACCGAUAACAAUAGAUUUUGAAGGACAAGGAUAAAAAGGAAUGGUAGAGCAAGACAUUGUAAGGAGGAGUGGAGAUGCAUCCAUAGCAAGAGGAAAUGAUAUGGAUGGUGGUGAUGGAAGGAUGACGUCUAUGAGAGAGAGAGAGAGAGAGAGAGAGACAUAUUUAUUUUUUUAAUUAUUAGAAUAAAUAAAUAGGAAUUAUUUUUUUUUUAAAAAGAGGAUAUAUUUUUUUAGUUGCAAAAAUGGCCCCUUAGAAGUGAAAAGACAAAUAUACCCUCAUGUGAGAGGCACAUGAGGGAGUUAACAGCAACUACUUAACGAAAGUUAAGUCGGGGGGACCAAUUUUACGUACAAACUAGGCCAAAAGGACCAUGAAUCCAAAAAAGUCAAGGUUUGGACUGAAACCCCCAAAAAAUGCAUACCACAGGGACCAUUUUUGCAAUUUUGUCAAGGAAGAAUUUGGCAAAAGAAUAAGGCUGCCCUCGCAUGCCCUUUUAUAGGAGGAUGAGGCAUCGCAUUACGCUGGGCGUAAUGCUCUACGCGGGGUGUACUCCUCCGAAAUCGUCACUGCUUAUGUAUCCGAAGAACUCGAAUGCGAGUCGCGUCAUGCUUCGCUGUACGCUGGGUGUACAGCCCUACGCUUGGCGUAACCCGGAUAAGUCUGGUGACUCCCCUUCGGAUAAUAUCGGAUUAAUAAUUAAAUUUAUAUAUUAAUUAUUUAAUAAACUUCAAAAAUUCGUAUCUUCUUCAUACGAAUUCCGUUUUCGACGUUCUUUAUAUCUACGCGUAGGUGAGACUACGUCUACAACUUUCGUUUAGACUCCGUCGGCUAAUUUUGAGUUUAUUUUUAUUAUUUAUUUUUAGUAGGCCGGGACAUGAAAACUCCGUUAUAAAUUCAUAACUUCUUCAUCGGAUGUCCGUUUUCGCCUAUCUUUUUAUCGUUUCACUAAAAUUAACGAGAUCUUCGAUUUUCGUUUAGAUUGUUUCGGCUAAAAACCGUUCGGUCUAAAAUCGAGUAUUCGGGCUGCAUACUGCUAAGUCGAAACUUAGAAAAAUCAUAACUUCCUCAUACGAAGUCAGAUUUGGACGUUCUCUUUAUGCACGCUCUCGGUUUAACAAACUCUACAUCAUUCGUUUAGAUCACUAGGGCUAAAUAUCGCUCUAACGUAAAUUUCACUUUUUACGUCAUUUAGCGUUGCCGGUUCUGUCGCGAAACUUCGACAGAUCAUAACUUCUUCGUUAUAACUCGGAUUUCGACAUUCUUUAUAUCUCCGGAAUCCUUGAUUCAACCACUACAACAUUAUCCAUAGAUAUCGAGCUUAUAUAACAUUUCAUUUUGACGCUUAUUUUUAUUCUUAAUUCAAUUAAGUCACACAGUUAAACACAAAACACAUAAUACCCAAAUAAUAUACUUCUAUUAUUUCAAAACGGGUUACAAAGGUUAACCUAGACUAUUAUAUCAAUCAUUAAUGGCAAGCCCAGAAACACAGACGUUACAAUCAGGUUAUAUUAAUCCCAGAUAUGAUUACAUAACUGCCCAAGUUUGACUGCAGUGUCCAACAUCCAAAUACUUUUAAGUUCUUAUGAUUGUGAUACUGUACUUGUAGGUAUGAGUGUUAGUAUACUUCUUGUAAAAUUACUUAAAUUUUUAAAAAGUAUACUUGUAGUCAGAGCUCUUAGCCCCAAUGCAUUUAUAGUUUGUAUAUAUUUUAUGGAUUAAUAUACUGAGUUCACUAUAAACAAUGCUCUGAUACCAAUCUGUCACAACCCGAAACCAGACGGCGGAAACAUCUGGGGGUGGAUGACUUCAUUGUAGUAUCACAACACAUGCAUCAUAGUAAUCAAAGUACAAACAACCAUUGUGUUUAAAAAGUAUAAAUAUUUACAUGUUUUCAAUCAUUGUAUAUUAAAACCAAAAUAGUUAUACAAAAGAAGAAGACAUGACUCAAAAUAGCUCCAUCUUCUCAAAAGCUUGGAGAGUACCUGUCUAUUGAUUCCUUGAGAAUACAAGUAAUUUGAAAAGAGAGUAUCAACAUAAAGUUGAGUGAGUGCAUAAGUAUUUAUGUUUGAAUGUAUGUUUUCUGUUUCUUGAAUAUGUGAACUUUUCCAGAAAAUCCUAUAUUUUCUGCUGUAUAUGAAGAGUAGUUUUAAUCUCAUAUAACCGUUCUGUUUGUAAACCAAUGUUCUGUAUUUGUAUUCCUUUAUGUAAAACUUGUAACUGUGAGUGUGCCUGGAUCCACCAGCUAUUAUUGUAAACUGUAAUGUAAUAUUGUAAAUUUGUAUCUUGUAAACUAGUACUUUGAAACUGUACUUAUAUUUAGUUAAUUAUACACUAACGUAUUGUUAAUAUCUUUUUCAUGAGUUAUUAUAACCAUACUGAGACUAGAUGUCCUGACCCAACGCUUUGGUGACUUGAUGUCAUUUUAACACAAUCUUUGAAAACAUUUGAUUUGAGGAUAUCUGAAAUCCAUUUUGAUAAGAUAUUUUGAAACUAUUUGUUUCUAACACAAAAACUUUGUGUUAGACUUGUAUCCCCCCCCUUAAAACAGUAAAUACUAUGAAAAUAUGGGGGUAUGAACUCACCUGUAGUGAUUGAUUUAAAUGAAAGAUCGGUAUAGGAUGCUAAGAAUGCCAAGUGACGUCUUGAACACAAAUGAAUCCUAUUAAGCUUAUAAUGACACAUAUAUGUGUAUAAUUAGUGUAUAACAACUAAUUGUGUAAGGUAAACAACCUUAGGUGUUAGGAAACACUUGAAAUGAAGUUGUAACACCCAAAAAUUUACGCCAAAUUUAAACUUUUAAUACUAACAAAAGAGUCAAAUAGUAAUUGUUUUUACAAAACAUUUCUAAUCCGUUUAUCAUCAGAGUGUCCUAAAAUAGAUCAUGAGGAUGAGGAGCGGUACGGUCACGCCUUCACCUUCCCUCGCUCUCCUGAAGUACCUGAAACAAUAAACGGACAACUGUAAGCCCGAGGGCUUAGUGAGCUACCCCCAAAAUACCAAUACCAUACUGACUAAAACCACAGCCAAAACGAUCAAUCAAACAACGUACAUAUUGGGCCAUUGGCCGGACUGGUACGCCCUACUGGGCCACAGUCUAUCUGAAUCUAUCCCGAGCCUUCGGCAUGACUGGUCCGCCGCGUGGGCCUACAGUCUUCCCGGGCCGCUCAGAGGGUGUGUUAGCCUUCAGCACAAAGCAGGAACGCCUCAACCCAAACAACAAGCAACUAACCAUGUACGCAUACAAUCAUAUACUGUCAUAUACACAUAGCAACAUAUCUAUCUUAUUAACCAUCAAUCAUAGAGUUUCACUCGUAACUUGAGUAUCGACCUAUCAUGUCACUAACAUACCGAUCCUUACGGAUCAUAAAGCAUACCCUACUAUCUAUCUAUCCUGAUUCCGAUCUAACAUAUCCGAAUCAUAUGUAGCGUACCAUAAUAAUCGAUCUAACCGAUCUCUAGUAUAGCAACCAUCCUAAACAGGAUGAAUUCUAACAAAGCAAUAACAUAACACCCAUCCGAAACCAGGAUGAAAUCUAGCAUGGCAAUAACAAGCAACCAUCCUAAACCAGGAUGUAAAUCAUAAAGGGCCGGCCUUGGUACCGUAGACCCUAUCAAUAUAGUGAGGAUAACUCACCUCGCAGAUGUCGAUUGAAAUGCAAACUCCAACUAUCAGAUCACUUAACACCGGUACCACCACCUAUAACCAUGGCACAAUAUACUCAUAAGUUCUUAUUAUUAUGAGACACCCCAAAACCUCUUAGUAAUUCCUGAACAAGGUCAGAGUCCUCAGUCAAGUUCAACAGUCCAUGUUGACCUCAACUCGCCGAGUCCGUGGAGCACAUUCCAACUCGCCGAGUCAUCGAAGAGACUCGUCAAGUUCCUUCGAAUCCUGAUAAAUCCUUAAGGGCCACCCGUCGAGUUUCCUCCUUGCAACUCGACGGAUACACACGCAUGCCUAUCUAAGGGAAAAGCCAUCCGACUCACCGAUCCAAAUCACAGAUCCAAGCUUCUAGAGCAUACUUACCACGUAAAGUUGCAAACUUUACGUGCAUGCAUGGUUAUAAAGGCUCCAAAUGUCUGUUUUAAGUUCUUAAUGGAGCUUCUAGUCCAAGGGGGACUNUGGACCCCACCCCCAACCAAUACAACAACUUUAUGACUCUAGCAUCCAAUGGGGGUCCAGAUCCGAAGUUACAACUUCAGAUCUAGCCCAUAGCUCAACAUCCCAACUUGAAAAUCCAUAAAAAUCCCUAGAAUCAACAAAAGGGAAGAAAAGGGAAGUAAGAAUGGUACUUUGAUACCUUCGAACGUUGCUAGCUGAGGCAAAACUCGCUUCCCACUCCUUUCUUGCUUCAAUUUCCUUUGCACUCUUAGCUUCCUUCCUCCAAGAUCCUCUUUUCCAAGCUUUAAACCCACACCAAGGCACACACACACGAAUUAGGGUUUCAAGGGUUCUCAAAGACUGUAAGGAGUCCCAAAGGAGGCUGAGGCUCCUUUAAAUACAGGUGCAAACCCCAGGAUUUAGGGUUUCCACUGCCAGCUCCUACUCGCCGAGUCCCAAUAGUGGACUCGCCGAGUAGGUCACUAACCACGCGUUCUCACCCCGCUGCUACUCGACGAGUAGGUCGACCAACUCGUCGAGUAGAGCUUUAUCCAGAAAUUCUUAAUUAAUUAAUACCUGAGGAUCGGGGCAUUACAAUUCUCCCCUACUUGAACUAGACUUCGUCCUCGAAGUCCGCUGAAGGAAACAAUGACGGGUAAUGCUCGCGCAUUUCUGCUUCCAGCUCCCACAUCCACUCAGAUCCCCUCCGAUGUUCCCACUACACCUUUACUAAAGGUAUUUCCUUAUUCCACAAAAUCUUCUUCUUCUUUUCCAAAAUAGCUACAGGUCUCUCCACAUUGUUCAGGCGCUCAUCGACCUGAAUGUCAUCCAGCGAUAUCACUGCCUCCUGGUCCAUGAAGCACUUUCGCAAUUGCGAAACAUGAAAUGUGCUGUGGAUCCGGCUAAGUUCCUCCGGAAGCUCUAGCCUAUAAGCCACCUUGCCAACCCUGGCAACAAUCCUGAACGAUCCAAUGAAUUGGGGACCCAAUUUUCCCCUCUUCAUGAGACGGAUCACACCCUUCCAGGGUGAGACCUUCAGGAGAACCAUGUCACCCACCUGAAAUUCCAACUAAGAUUGGCGUCGAUCGGCAUAACUCUUCUGUCGACUCUGAGCGGUCUGCAGCCGCUGUCUAAUCUACUAUAUCAUCUCGGUAGUUUGCAGAACUACCUCUGUCCGACCCAUCACCCUGUGCCCAACCUCGCCCCAACAGACUGGGGUCCUACACUUCUGCCCAUACAACAGCUAGAAAGGUGGGGCGCCAAUACUGGAAUGAUAGUUGUUGUUGUAGGCGAACUCUGCAAGUGGUAGGUGGGAAUCCCAACUUCAACUGAAAUCAAUGACGCAUGCCCUCAACAUAUCUUCGAGGGUCUGAAUGGUCCGCUCACUCUGCCCAUCCGUCUGCGGAUGGAACGUUGUACUGAAAUGCAGCCUCGUACCUAGUUCCUCAGGGAACUUCUUCCAAAAACGGGAAGUAAAUCGGACAUCCCGAUCGGAAACUAUGGAAACUGGAACCCCAUGGCGAGAGACAAACUCGCGGACGUAUAGGUCGGCCAACUUCUCCGCCGACGAACUCUCCCGUAUAGCUAGGAAAUGGUCACUCUUGGUCAAUCGAUCCACGAUGAUCCAUAUAGUAUCGAACACCUUUUCCGUUCUCGGCAAGUUGGUGAUGAAGUCCAUCGCGAUCUGCUCCCAUUUCCACAUGGGAAUCUCUAGAGGCUACAGCUUGCCAUGUGGCCUCUGGUGCUCGGACUUGACCAUCCUACAGGUCAAGCACCUCUCCACGUACCAAGCGAUUUCUCGCUUCAUGCACGGCCACGAGUAACUCAAUCGCAAAUCCCAGUACAUAUCGGUGUCCCCCAAGUGAAUAGAGAAGUGAGACUUACGAGCCUCCUCCAGAACAAUCUGUCUGACCCCACCAGACAUCAAAACCCAGACCCGACUGCAACGGGUCAACAAUCCCCGACUAUCCAGCACAAACUAGGUGUUCUCACACUUAAUCCUCUCAAGUUUCCAAUUCUCUUGUUGCAUACCCUCAGCCUGAGCUUCCCUGAUCAAACUCACCAGUGGAGAAUGCACUGAUGUCCUCAUACAUGUCGCUGGAGUAGAAGAUCCAGUUGACUUGCGGCUCAGAGCGUCCGCAACCACAUUCGCUUUACCAGGAUGGUAAAGGAUCUCGCAAUCAUAGUCCUUGACUACAUCCAACCACCUGCGCUGCCUCAUAUUCAAGUUCGGCUGAUCCAUAAUGAGCCUCAAGCUUUUGUGAUCCGUGUAUAUGGUACAACGGACCCAUUACAAAUAGUGCCUCCAAACCUUGAGAGUGAAGACCACCGUUCCCAGCUCAAGAUCGUGUGUGGGGUAUCUCGUCUCAUGCAGCUUCAACUACCGCGAUGCAUAAGCUAUCACUCGCCCCCUCUACAUGAGGACUUCCCCUAGGCCUGUGAUGGACGCAUCACAAUAUACCACAAAAUCCUCCACUCCCUCGAGGAGUGUCAACACUGGCGCCUCGCAUAAACGCUGCCGGAGGGUCCCAAAUGCCUUCUGCUGCUCCGGUCCCCACCGGAAAUCCACUCCCUUCCUCGUUAGACGAGUGAGGGUACAGAAACCUUGGAGAAAUCACGAAUGAAUCUCCGAUAAUACCCUACUAAACCCAGAAAACUCCUGAUGUAUGAGGGAGAUCUCAGAGUCUCCCACUGCAUAACCGCCUCCACCUUGGCCGGAUCGACCAAAAUCCGAUCCUGGUUAAUGAGAUGUCCAAGGAACUGAACCUCUCGCAACCAGAACUCACACUUCGAGAACUUGGCAUAAAGUCGUUCUCGUCGCAGCACCUCCAACAGCUCCCUGAGGUGCUCCUCAUGCUGCUCUCGGGUCUUGGAAUACACUCAAGAUGUCAUCUAUAAACACAAUGACAGAUCGAUCGUGCAUCGGUUUGCAGACUCGGUUCAUCAGAUCCAUGAAUAUUGCUGGCGCGUUGGUGAGUCCAAACGGCAUCACCGCGAACUCGUAAUGACCAUAACGAGUCCAGAACGCAGUCUUCUCUAUGUCUUCCUCCCUCACCCUGACCUGGUGGUAUCCUGAUCUCAAACCGAUCUUGGAAAACCAAGAUGCACCUUGCAACUGGUCGAAAAGAUCAUCUAUCCUCGGGAGCGGAUAAGCGGUUCUUCACCGUUAACUUAUUCAGCUCCCUAUAUUCAAUGCACAUCCUGUGUGAACCAUCCUUCUUCCUGACGAAGAGGAUCGGUGCUCCCCAAGGUGAGCUACUCGGUCAAAGGAACUGCUUACCCAACAGUUCCUACAGCUGAGAUGAUAGCUCCUGCAUCUUUGGCGAUGCCAGAUGGUACGGCGCCUUGGCAAUUGGGGCCGCACCUGGCACUAGAUCAAUCCUAAACUCGACCUGCCUCACCGGAGGCACUCCGGGUAACUCCUCCGGAAACACAUCAGCAAACUCUCUAACCACAGGGACCUCUGAAACUGAGAGCUGCUCCCUAACCCGCGUAUCUACCACAUACGCCAAAUAACCGGCACAACCGUGCUGAAUAUACUUUAAAUCCCUGGCCGCCGAACAAAACCCUGAUCCCGGCCUGUUGCCUUCACCAUAUACUACAACUUCUCCCCCACUUGGGGUUCGAACCACUACCCGCUGUCCCUCACAGUCGAUCAUGGCGCCAAAACGGCUAAGCCAAUCCAUUCCUACAAUCACGCAUACAUCCCCCAUAGGGAUAAGAAUCAGAACUAUCGGGAAAGACACCCCGAAAAUCUCCAAUUCGCAUCCUUGGUAGACCGAAGAAGUAGAAACCCCAUGCUCGUUGGCGAUCGAAACUCACAACGGACACUCAAGAUCAUCUAUCAGCACACUGAACCCUGUAGAGAAGGUCUGAGAUAUGAACGACCGACUUGCUCCCGAGUCAAAUAAAACCCAAGCAGGCAAAGAAUUUACUAAAAACGUACCUAAUCAUAGGCACAACUAAUAAGCAUAGUACAAAUACAAUAACUGAGAUAGAGAAUAGGAACAUACUUUAACCACAUCUGGUGCUGCCUUGGCCUCCUCGGUCGUGAGCUGGAAGGCGCGACCCUGAGCCUUCGGAGGCUCCAUAUUGACUGGCCUUCCAUCUCCAAUCCUCACAGUAGUUGGCGCGGAACCCUGCGCCGGCUUGGCGGCGAGCUGCGGACAGUUGGUCUUCAUAUGACCAACCUGAUGACAAUGGUAACAAAUCAUCAUAUCUGCUGGAGGGGCGGACUGACGGCAGUCACUGGCAUAGUGCCCCUCCUUGCCACAUUUGUGGCACCCCCUCCUGCUCGACAAACCCCUGAAUGAGCCUUGCCACACUUUCCACAAGUGCGGAUCUGAUGACCCCCGGACCGUGUAUCAGCUGUUUUAGACCGCUUAGGCGCUGGCUGAGACUGUGCCGGUGCCUGACGCCGCUCCUUCAGCUGCAGCUCUAUCUCCGAAUCACACCGCCGCACAACUUCCUGUAGGUCCAGGAGGGUAUCACAUCGCUGAGUAGACACAAACUGUCGAAUAUCCGUCUUGAUCAUACUCAGGUAACGGGUCAUCUGAGACUGAUCUGAAGCAAACUUCGGGCAAAACAUAGCCCUCUUCGUGAACAUACGGGUAAUCUCCAUCACAGACUCCCCAUCAUGUCUCAAGGUCAAAAACUCCUGAGCAAGCUGCUCCCAUUCCACGCGCAAAACGUAACGGGUACGAAACGUAUCCCGGAACUCCUCCCAGGUAAUAGCAGCCCUCUGAUCAUCAGUAUACAAACCCGUCGUCAGUCUCCACCAGUCCUUCGCCCCAAGCCUCAGCAGGUUCAGGGCAUACCUGACCUUCUGGUCAGCANAGGGCAUACCUGACCUUCUGUUCAGCAGGGCAUGAACACGUGAAGAAACAUCCCUCCACGUCAGAUAGCCACCUCAUAGCCCGAAUGGCGUCCUGUGUACCAUCAAAUGUCUGGGGCUUCGUAUUGUCGAAGUCCUGGUACUGGAAAGCCCUGCCGGCUCCUCCUCCUCCAACCCCUGCAACAGUUACAGGCGAAGUGGCUGCAGCGGCAGCAGUCUCUGCUAGAGCGACAUACCGCUCAUCAAAAUACUCAACCAUCGCGGUCUUAAUCGACCCAAACAUCUAUGGCAGGUGCGCUCGGAAUGCAGCAGCAAUCUCAUCGUGCAUGAUCUCCGAAAUUCGGGCAUCCAGCUCCUCAGUCCCUAUCUGAACCACAGGCUCAGGUGCUAUCGGCACCUCCAAUCCUCCGUCUCCUGACCCUGAUCUUGAUUCUGAUCUGGAUCCGGACCCCAAAGCAACACGUCUCGUCACCACCAUACUGCAAACACACUCAAUGUAUCAGACAGAUCAUAUAACGACGGAAACCAAUUACUCUCAAUUCCUAGGGGUUGUGACGUCCUUGAUACGCGUAUGGGUCCUGUGCUUUUAGUAGUAUGGGCCCCUACUACCUUCCACACCUACCCAUAUUUGUCUCAAGUAUCACCACAACGCCCUAAACUGUAUUUAACGUAAUAUGCGCUCAACCCUCACUAACAGAGGACAUCGCCUAACUAGUAACUGAUCCUGUAGUUCCGCACCACUCACACAUCCAUGAAACUUCCAUCAUCCCCUGCAGCGCUAGUGUACACUGGCUGCACAUAGCGCUGGACCCGAUAGACUUUCGAAUAUCCAAUCCCACACUAAGGUCGAAUCGGACAUUCUCAGGCUAUAAGAUCUUGACUAUCCACAGCCGUGGUGCAUACACUAAUCAUCUACAGUUAUGAUGUCAAUCCCAUUUACAAGAAAACCUAGGCUAAUAGGUAUCAUACAAUCAGGCCAAUCUAUCGUGCGAUUCCUGAAAAUACCUAGCCUAGCACUAGCAUGUUGUUCUAACAUAUCAGAAUAUCAAAUACCUGUAUGGUAUUUUGGGCCUUACUUACAGGCUCCGACUGAUCGUACCCUCUGCAUCCUCCAUCCUUUAUUUUGAAAACCAUUUUAAAAACUUAUUUUCCGAAAACCUCCUUAGUUUGAGACUGGUUUCACACAAGUGUUCCUCCAAUUCACUCAAACCAAGGCUCUGAUACCAAGUUGUAACACCCAAAAAUUUACGCCAAAUUUAAACUUUUAAUACUAAAAAAAGAGUCAACUAGUAAUUGUUUUUACAAAACAUUUCCAAUCCGUUUAUCAUCAAAGUGUCCCAAAAUAGAUCAUGAGGAUGAGGAUCGGUACGGUCACGCCUUCGCCUUCCCUCGCUCUCCUGAAGUACCUGAAACAAUAAACUGAAAACUGUAAGUCCGAGGGCUUAGUGAGCUACCCCCAAAAUACCAAUACCAUCCUGACUAAAACCACAACCAAAACGAUCAAUCAAACAACGUACAUACUCGGCCAUUGGUCGGACUAGUCCGCCCUACUGGGCCUACAGUCUAUUUGAAUCUAUCCCGAUCCUUCGGCAUGACUGGUCCGCCGUGUGGGCCUACAGUCUCCCCGAGCCGCUCAGAGGGUGUUUUGGCCUUCAACACAAAGCAGGACCGCCUCAACCUAAACAACAAGCAACUAACCAUGUACGCAUACAAUCAUAUACUGGCAUAUACACAUAGCAACAUAUCUAUCUCAUUAACCAUCAAUCAUAGAGUUUCACUCGUAACUUGAGUAUCGACCUAACAUGUCACUAACAUAUCGAUCCUUACAGAUCAUAAAGCAUACCCUACUAUCUAUCUAUCCUGAUUAUGAUCUAACAGAUCUGAAUCAUAUGUAGCAUACCAUAACAAUCAAUCUAACCGAUCUCUAGUAUAGCAACCAUCCUAAACAGGAUGAAUUCUAACAAAGCAAUAACAUAACACCCAUCUGAAACCAUGAUGAAAUCUAGCAUGGCAAUAACAAGCAACCAUCCUAAACCAGGAUGUAAAUCAUAAAGGGCCGGCCUUGGUGCCGUGACCCUAUCAAUAUAGUGAGGAUAACUCACCUCGCAGAUGUCGAUUGAAAUGCAAACUCCAACUAUCAGAUCACUUAACACCGGCACCACAACCUAUAACCAUGGCAUAAUAUACUCAUAAGUUCUUAUUCUUAUGAGACACCCCAAAACAGUCCAUGUUGACCUCAACUCGCCGAGUGCACUUGGCCACUCGCCGAGUCCGUGGAGCACAUUCCAACUCGCCGAGUUCCUUCGAAUCCCGAUAAAUCCUUAAGGGCCACCCGUCGAGUUUCCUCCUUGCAACUAGACGGGUACACACGCAUGCCUAUCCAAAGGAAAAGCCAUCUGACUCGCCGAGUUGUUCUUCAACUCGUCGAGUUUUAUGGUGAUCUUCAUUAGACUCGCCGAGUUGUUUAUCCAACUCGCCGAGUUCAAUGACCAUAUUCAUGUGACUCGCCGAGUCAUCCUUGAGACUCGCCGAGUCUAUCCAGUCCUUUAUCCAUACAGACCUAUUUUGAGCCAUGCAGCGGCUCCAAAUCACAGAUCCAAGCUUCUAGAUCAUACUUACCACGUAAAGUUGCAAACUUUACGUGCAUGCAUGGUUAUAAAGGCUCCAAAUGUCUGUUUUAAGUUCUUAAUGGAGCUUCUAGUCCAAGAGGGACUCCAACCACAACCAAUACAACAACUUUAUGACUCUAGCAUCCAAGGAGGGUCCAGAUCUAAAGUUACAACUUCAAAUCUAGCCCAUAGCUCAACAUCCCAACUUGAAAAUCCAUAAAAAGCCCUAGAAUCAACCAAAGGGAAGAAAAGGGAAGUAAGAAUGGUACUUUGAUACCUUCAAAUGUUGCUAGCUGAGGCAAAACCCGCUUCCCACUCCUUUCUUGCUUGAAUUUCCUUUGUACUCUUAGCUUCCUUCCUCCAAGAUCCUCUUUUCCAAGCUUCAAACCCACACCAAGGCACACACACACGAAUUAGGGUUUAAAGGGUUCUCAAAGACUAUAAGGAGUCCCAAAGGAGGCUGAGGCUCCUUUAAAUAGGGGUGCAAACCCCAGGAUUUAGGGUUUCCACUGCUAGCUCCUACUCGCCGAGUCCCAAUAAUGGACUUGCCGAGUAAGUCACUAACCACGCAUUCUCACCCCGCUGCUACUCGACGAGUAGGUCAACCAACUCGCCGAGUAGAGCUUUAUCCAGAAAUUCUUAAUUAAUUAAUACCUGAGGAUCGGGGCAUUACAGAAGUGUUACAAUCACAUGUGAUUGAAAGAAAGGAGUUCAUAGCCACACGAUAAGUGUUUACGGCCACACUCAUGAAGUGUUUACGACCAAGACUUGUUCUUAUGAAGGGUUUAUGGCCACAUGAUGAUCUUAUGAAGGGUUUACGACCCUUAUGAAGGGUUUACAGCCGUAAACCAUUGACGAUAUUGAAGAUGAUGAUGAAAGGUGCUGAAUCAAGGCUAGAACAAAGGGGUUUCUAAGUAUGAACAAGAAUAGGGAUGAGAUGCUUACGUUUUGGAGUGAAAAGUGAGCCUUCACUUGAUGAUACUUGAGAGAGAAUGGAUAGUUCACGGCUGGAGUUUGGAGAAAUGAACAAAAAAAUGAAGUAAUCUCUUAUAUAUGGAGGGUGGUUUACGGGCUAGAAGAGUGUUCACGGCCGUGAACAGGGUUUGCGGUCGUGAACCUCAUAUGAUGGGUUUUCUGGUUCGGGUGCAGCCUUCUGAUCUCGAGCUAAGACUUCAUAACACUAAUUUCUUAAGUGUACAAGGCUUAAAAGUAUAUGUAUGGCCCUUAACACAAUUAGAAGAUAAUAGAAACAACUCUAACUUUUUAUUGAUUUGUUUGACUUACAAGAUAGAAAAAUAACGGGAUGUUACAGAAUGUUCGCGGACUUCGGUCCGAUGUCGGGGAAAGCCCGUGGAAUGUUUAUAUGUAUGCUACAUGUUCAUGUUUAUAUGUAAUUGUUGAUAUGCUUAUGUAUACCAAGCUUUGUUUGAUGCCGAGCGGGGCCCGGUGCCGGAUUUCGGUCCGAUGUUGGGCGGGGCCCAAUGUCGGACUAUGGUUCGAUGCCAGACGGGGCCCAAUGUAGUGGGAUAGGCCUAAGAUAUUUUGUUAUGUGAUUAUGUGAUAUGUGCAUCGUAUGUGGUAUUUUGGGGAGACUCACUAAGCUUCGUGCUUAUAGUUUUCAGUUUUGGUUUCAGGUACUUCCGCUAGUAAGGGGAAGAGCUCGGGAUGACUACAUUGCACACACCACAACGUUUAGCCUGAGAUGAUUUACUCUGAUAUUUGGACGUGUAAGUUUGAUACAGUGCUUUGAUAUGAUGUUUUGACAUACUAUCACUUAUGUUUUUAUGAGACGAUUUUGGUUACUAUGAGAUUAUUUAUAAAUAAACAAUGAAAUUUUGGACUGUAUUUUUGGGAUGUUUCAUUAAUAUUUGUUAAAGAGUUUAUGUGUGAGUGCAUAGUCCCUUUCAUGAACAUGAUUUUAAUACAAGUAUUAAUUAAAGUAUUAAAUAAAUGUUAAAGAGUUAAAUAUAUGUUAAAAAGUUUAUGUUAGUGCAUAGUCCCUUUCAUGAACAUGAUUUUAAUACAAGUAUUAAUUAAAGUAUUAAAUAAAUGUUAAAGAGUUAAAUAUAUGUUAAAAAGUUUAUGUUAGUGCAUAGUCCCUUUCAUGAACAUGAUUUUAAUACAAGUAUUAAUUAAAGUAUUAAAUAAAUGUUAAAGAGUUUAUGUGUGAGUGCAUAGUCCCUUUCAUGAACAUGAUUUUAAUACAAGUAUUGAUUAAAGUAUUAAAUAUAUAUAUAUAUAUAUAUAUAUAUAUUUGUGUGUGAAAUAUUUGAUUUUUACUGAAAUACAUGUUAAGAGCAUAUCUGAUAAUAUAUGAUGAUUUAGGAUACAGAUUAAACCUAAAUUAAUUAAGAAGAAUAUUGGGUAGUAUCUCCUUAUGAGUACGAGCGAGAUAUACAUGGAGGGUAUAACUUUAAAACUUGUCAUUGAUCCGAGAGCAUGGAUUAGACUUAGUCAUUUGUCCUUAGCCCGAGAGUAUGGAGAGGAUAGAGUUAUUUUUCAUUAAUCCGGGAGCAUGGAUUAGACAUAGUCAAUUGUCCCUAGUCCGAUAGUACGGAAUGGGAAUAGUGAUCUCUCCUGGAGAAUGGAUUAGACAUACCUGAUCCGGGAGUAUGGAUUAGGUAAAUAGGUUAAUUUUAGAUCCGGGAGUAUGGAUUAGGUAAAGAGGUUAACUUUAGAUCCGGGGGUAUGGAAUAAGUAAAGAGGUUAAUUUUAGAUUCGAGAGUAUAGAUCGUGUCGUUGUUUGGAUCGACGGGGUGGGGUAUAAAUUGCUUAUAUGAGGUGAAAUUAUAUAUGUUGUGAGUUUUAAAACACACACACAGACACAGACACAGACACACACACACACACACACACAUAUAUAUAUAUAUAUACACGAUAUAACAUUGUGGGAUUGAAAUCCCUAUGUACUCACCAAGUUUCUCAACCUAACCCAUUCAGUUUAUUUGUAUCACAAGUGUCAAUACGAAGCUACAUUACACUGAGAGAUUAAAGGAGAUGUAGAUCACUAGUGUAAAUGAAUGUAAUGUCUGUUUAUGCUUAUGUUUUUGUAUUGAUGAUGACAUCCCAAAGUUUUAAUAUAAACAAAAUACAUUUCUUCGGAAAUGUGUUGAUGAUAUAUUUAUCCUAAAAAGGAUACUCUGAUUUUCUAAUAAGCAUAAAUAAAAUUUUUAAAAUGACCGUGGAUUUGGGGAUGUCACAACUUAGACUGCUAAACUUUGUUUAAAAUGCAUAUCUUUUUCAUACGACAUCUAUUCUUGAUUGUGUUUAUAUCGACAGACUCCUAUUUAUGAGAUCUUCAACUCUCAUUUAGAUUGUUUCGGCUAAAAAUCGAUCGAUUCAAAUUUCAAUUUCUAUGCUAACAUAACUGCAUUGAAACUUUGAAAAAUCAUAACUUCCUCAUAUGAAGUCAGAGUUAGGCAUUUUCUAUAUGCACGCUCUCGGUUUUACGAUUACUACGAAUUUCAUUUGGAUUGAUUAGGCUAAUAAGCAACCUAUCUAAAAUUCACUUUUUACAAUGCAUAUAGCCGUGUCAUUUUAAUCACGAGACUUCGAAGAAGCAUAACUACUUCAUACGAAGUUGCAGGUGGAUGCAUUGCAAUCAGUCCGUACCCUUCCCUUUUGAACUGAAGGUACCUAAAACAUGAACUUAAAUCGUAAUCACAAAGCUUAGUGAGUUCCUCAAAAUACCAUAUACCAUACAUACACAUCAAACAUGCAAAUCAUACAUACAUACAAGUCUAAAGUUGUAACGGGUCUGUUUCACCUCUAAGUCCCUUCCGACUCGUGACUCCCUUCCAAAUUGCGACUCCCUUCCGACUCGUGACUCCCUUCUGAAUCGCGACUCCAUUCUGACUCUUUGAGUCCCUUCCGACUCCUUUGAUAUCUUUCAACCGGUACGGGUCUAUUCCACCCCUACAACUAAGCAUACAUUCAUACUAGUAAGAGUCACAAAGACAUCAAGCACAUACAUACAUAUCAAAAAGUGUCACAAGGACCACUACUAUCAUAAAACAUAACCCAGUGGGCCGACAUUGGUGCCUUCGACCCACAAGUAAAGUGAGGAGACUCACCUCAAUCUGAAGAUAACCGAUUCACACAAGUGUUGCUGCUAUAAGGAUCCUCACACUGAACAUAUCCAAAAAUCACCCCUAAUCAAUAGUUAGGGUAAUAACUCAUAAUCAAAGGUCCAUAUUCUAUCAUGUUAAGGGGUAAAAGACUAUUUUACCCUUCAUGUACUUGACCCAUCUAACCAUGGCCUAAACCCAACAGGACCCAAGGCCCAAAUGGCCCUCAAGUGAGUAUGUCAUGCGUACCACCCAAUAACGCAGCGCAUACUCGGUAAUCACAGAAAAGGAAAAACGGGACCAGGAAGUUAUACGCGUUGCGUACUCCAAUUUAUGUAGGGGGUAAUCACAGGGAUCUCAAAACUCAUUUUAAGCACUUAAUACUUUAAGAUACAACAUCCAAUACUGAGAUCUAAGUCUUGGGAAGGUCUUAACUGGUAAAGUCAACAACUUUAAGCUUUUGCAUGGCUUAAUGAAACCCAAAACCAAACCCUAGCUUCUUAUUAACACUUAAUGGCCAAUAGCUCAUGCAUUUUUGUACCACAACCAUCAAGAUUCGAUUUUGAUGAAUUAAUGACCUAAAAAAUGACUAGAAAUGACGCCCAAAGGUUCUGGAGUAACUUCUACUCACAAGAUUCAAGCCAUGGGACCAAAACAUGCUCAUAACAUAUCCUAAAACUAGAUCUGUAUAAAAGAACCAUCAAGAUUCAAGCUUCAUACCUCCAGAAGAAAGAUCAAGGUGAACAAGGUUUGGAUCUACAAGCUCCAAGAUAACCAAAACUUCUCAUGUAAGCUCUUUCUUCUCCAAGAUGCACCAAGAACACUCCACAUCACUCAAAGGGCUCAAGAAUCUCAUAAAUGUGGAUAGGUUUCGAGGGAACUGCUUUAGAGGAUGGAGGCUAAAGAUAAGAAGGGUUUCCAAUAAGUUAAGGUCUUUAAAUAGGGUCCAAGACCCAAAAAUUUGGGUUUGACGCUGCCUCGCAUAUGCCCAACGUACUAGGGAGAAACACUGCGAUCAAUUAAGCCAAGUAUGCCCAGUGUACAUACCUUCCACGUCCAACGUAUAUGCCAAACCUUCUUUCCUAAUCUAAAUUUCGAAGGCCAUAACUUCUGCGUCCUAACUCCGAUUUCGACGAUCUUUAUAUGCUCAAAAAGUUGGACUAUACCAUGUGUCUGAGCUCCCAUAAGGUCAUAGUGAAGACAUUGAGUCAAAGUACAAAAAUUGAGAAAAAGUUAAGGCCAAGAUUUUCAAGGUCAACAAAUAAAAACAUAAAUAUUAUAUUUCAAAUGAAUUGUCAAAUAUACCCUUGGCUUGUCAGUUUACAUAUUUCUGUCUUAAAUUCAUAAUCAGGUUGAUGAAGAGAGACAAAGAAUCUCUUUAGGAAUGAAGGGAUCAUAUUUCGAUAUUGAAACACAACAAAUUCAUGAUUUUGAUGCACCUGAAGAUUCUGAUUCCGAAUCUGAUGAUCCUAUCACAUCCGAGACCUCAGAAUCACUGAUUCCACUCUCUAAACAUCCAACUUUAGCUUAAGUGGAAUCCAGGGCUUCUUUUCUUCCUCUUGAAGUUACAUUAUAUAAAAAAGCAGAUGAGUCACCUAUAGAGGAAGAACAAGCUCAAAGUCUAGAGCCUCUUGAUAACAAAAAAACUUGAAAAGAAUGAGAACAAAAGUAAGCGAACCAAAAAGAAAGAAACAGAUGAAAGGUAUGUACAUAAGUGUGACAACCCAAGUUGUCCCGUUACAUUUCCCCGUUACCGUUAACGGAAUAUUCCACUGUAUAAAAGUCCCGUUAGAUAGAGGGCAUCAAUUUAAUAAACAUUCCAUUUGGUUACCUUUAACAUGCCGUUAAGUCGUGAUAAAAGGGAAUAAAAACACAAGACACACAUUUUCAUUCAUUUAGAAAAUGUCAAGUUUUAUUAUUAUGACCACUAAAUCGGGUGCGACCAAAAGCCCCGUUUAGCGGCAGUAUCGGGUAAAAUUCCACUGAGCCCCGACUGUGAAACCCAUAUAUGGGUGAGUGGAGUCCAUUGGAGACUUUUUACACUCUCUCUCUAUACUCUCUCUCUAGACCCGUUUUCGCCCCGAAUUCGCAACCAAACGCUUCCAAAUUGUAAGUCCGCUUACCCUAACUUAUUCUAAGCGUAUUGAUUUAUGUUUAUAGCCCAAAAAUCAUCCAAGAAGGCAUAGGAUAAGGAGUUUACGGCCCAGGAACAUUCUAGGGCCGUAAACCCCUAAAAAGGUACUAAAUAUGCCUUUAAACUUGACCAUAAGCUUAGAAACUAAUAGGGGUUACAGCCUAGGGGUGUUUAAACACUAAAAUGCAUGGAUUUAGGACUCAAAGAAGAGUUUACGGCCCAAGCACAUGCUUAGGCCGUAAACUCCACAAGUUAGGGUCCCAAAUGUGCACCAAACUCAUCCUAGGGCUUAUUACAUAUUUUAGGGACUUAUUCCUUUGAGUUUAGGACACUAGAACACUCCAAAAUGAAUUAAAGAAAGGAGUUUACGGCCCAUGAAUAGUCAAGGCCGUAAACUCCCUAAAUCAUGCCCAAAAGUGUGAUUUUUGCCCCCCUAAUGGCCUUAGACAUUUACCAUAAAAUGCUAGAAUGGAAUUAAAGGCUUAAACACAAGAAAAAUGAGACAUUUCUUGGAGUUUACGGCCCAAACAUUAUCUAGGCCGUAAACUCCCCAAAACCCCCUCAAAUGUUAGUUUUAAUCCUCCAAAAUAGCAUCACACUUCAUUAGAAAUCACUAGAAAGGCAUUAGAGGCUUGAAACUUCACUAAACUCAAAGAUUGAGAGUUUACGGCCGUAAACUCCCUUGGGAGAGUUCUUAGGCCGUAAACUCCUAUAAAAUACCUUUAGAAGCCUCAAAUCCAAUCAUGCCUUUGAUGAAAAGUGCUUAGAAUAAAUCAAGGAACAAGCUAGAAGCAUCAAAACCCCAAGAAAUUGACCUUGGGAGUUUACGGCCGUAAACUCCCUUAGGUUGGGCCGUAAACUCCUUGUUUGGUCCAUAUUGAUGCUUUAAACCCCUUUACACCCUUGAUACUUGAGCAUAGCAAAGUCCCACAGCUGAUAGGAGACCCUUAGCACCCUUAAACGCUACCCGGGACCCCAAACACUCAACCAAAAGUGUUUUCCACUCCUUUGAGUGUGUAUAAUUGUUUAAUUAGUAUAUUAUAUGCUAAUUGUAUGUGAACAUAUGUUAUCAUAUGUUAAAAUAGGUCCUUGUGUGUGUUCAAGUCCUUGCGUGACCCCGAACGCCCAAACGGCACUUCCGUCGGACCUACUUAUACCAGGUGAGUUCAUACCCCUGAAUGAACCUUUUUAAUGCUUUUAAAUGUUUUCAUAGGGGGGGAUUACAAGUUAAACAUGCCAGUUAUCAUAUCAAUCACAUGUGAUUGAUAACCCGCAUGCACAAGAUUUUACCACUGUACACUGUUUUACCGAGUAGGACACUAUAAAUGGCUUUCAAAAAGGGUUUUUAAAUUGUUCAAGUUCUUACUUUCAUAGCUUAUCAAAGACUCAUUUCAACUGAUUUAUAAAAGAUUCUCAAAGAUUUCUAAAGAUUUUCACACCUAUUUUAUCAAAGAAUACAAAUGCGAUUUUCCUGAGUAACAAAAUCUUUAAGGGUUUUUCAUGAAUACUUUUAAUUGUUAGAUACCACUGCUUCGCUAAUACUUUUUUAAUGCUCCAACUCUGUAAUGUUUUGCUUAUACCUGAAGUCACUUAUACUUGAUAACGCUUAUACUUAUUUACCCUCUUACUUAGUGAUACGAUUCUACUUCGCUUGUAUUUGAGAUCGACUUUACUUCACUUAUACUUGAUACGCUCUUACUUCACUUGUGGUCAUAUCUACUUCGCGAUGCGCCUAUACUUAUUCGACACUUAUACUUCACUUGCGACCACUCUUGCUUCACUUAUUAGACACUCCCACUUCACGAGAAUCACUUUUACUUGAUACCCACUUAUUCAUAGUUAGAUGUAUGUCCGUACUUAUAUAGGUAUAUAUAAGUAAUGACUGAAAGACUUAGGAAGGCUCAUCGGCCCUAUUUCCUUUUCUUCGUUGAGAUGUGGUCUGGUGGGAUCAGGUAGCCGUCCGAAGGUCGUUUGGUCCAUUAGUUAAAUACUAUGUAUAUGAGUAUGGACAUAUAGGGAAUUCUCUAGUCAAGUCAAUUAAGAGUCUCUUCAUCUAUUCUACACUUACUUUAGAAACACACUACCCACUGUUUGGAAGUCUCUACCUCUAGUAUAUCACUUGUAUUAGAAACCCACUCCCCUCAAGAAACACACUAUUCUCUAUUUGGGAUGCAUCUUCGGGACGCGGCCUUCUCCGUCGUCUAGUUGGUAACCAGAGUCUCCUGUAGGGAGAGCGGACAUUGUGUGUAUAGGCCUAUACGGGAUUGACAACCCCGCACCCUGACUGCUAGCUACAGUCCACGGCCCACCAAGCCAAGGGGUGACAAAUGUCAUAUUAUAUAGAUGCUUGUAGGGCGUCUGGAACUCUAGUCAGUAUGGUUACGAGUAUCCUGGGUUGCCUUAUAAUUCAUGGCUUUAAGGUAACGGUAUUUUCGUCAGCAAUUUACACUGUAUGCUGAUGUCACUUUUCAGAGUCACUCUGUUUCGACCUUGCUAGCUGUAUCUUUCAUUUGAUACUGUCUGGGGUCUAUAGUCUCUGUUUCGACCUUGCUAGCUGUAUCUUUCAUUUGAUACUGUCUGGGGUCUAUAAUCUCUGUUUCGACCUUGCUAGCUGUAUCUUUCAUUUGAUACUGUCUGGGGUCUAUAGUCUCUGUUUCGACCUUGCUAGCUGUAUCUUUCAAUUGAUACUGUCUGGGGUCCGUAGUCUUUGUUCUGACCUUGUGAGAGAUACCUUUCAUUUGGUAUCGUCUUCGGUCUAUAUUUACUGUUUUAGACCUUACCAGCUGUACCUUUCGUUUGGUACCUUCUGGGGUCUAUGUCUCCCCUUUGUUAGACUGAACCAGGCGUGUCGUCAGUUCGAUACCCUCCUGGAGUCUAUGAUUCUUUACCUUAGUCAGCAGUCCUCACUGCUGAGGCAUAUGUUAUUCCCUGAUGUCUCCUGCUUUCUUAAAUAAUCAAAUUCAGUAUUUUGAUAACAAUGUCAAUUAAGGGAAAACUACCUCUUACCACAAUGCACUGAAACAGUCUUGGUAGAAGGCUGCUUAUUUAAAGAAAAUAUAGGAUUUUCUGGAAAGGACACUGAAGCACUGAAAGCACUUAAACUACUACUUAUUAAAGUUAUUUGACUAAAUGACACUAAAUGCUUAUGAACUCACCAGCAUUUGUAAAAAUGCUGAUACUCGCUUUUCAAAUAACUUGUAAUCUCAGGUAAGCAAUUAGACAGGUACAUCCCCGUAGCUGCUGAUGAAGAUGGCCUAAGUACCUUGCUGCACUUUAUAUAUGUUGCUUGUAUUACUUUGACACUAUGUAAUGUAACCAUGUAAAAUUAUUACUAUUAAUGCAAUGUUUUGUUGUACUUUGAUUACUAUAUGCAUGUGUUGUGAUACUUGACAUGACGUCAUCCACCCCAGAACGUUUCCGCCGUUCCGGUUUUGGGGUGUGACAAUAAGCUAAUAAUCUCUCCAUUCUCUUUCUGAAGGGCAAUAUCGUAAUUUUUAAUUUUUUGUAAACAAGGAACUAGAAAUUAGGGUUGUAGGGGAGAGACUAUUGCAGAAAAAUGUUCCAAGAACGGUUGAUGAUUAUGAGAAGAUGAUAAGAAGCUCUCCAAAUAGCAGCUUUAUCUGGAUAAAAUACAUGACAUUUUUCUCUCGUUGAAUGAAGUUGAAAAGGGUCGAUUAAUGGCUGAAAGGUAUAAAUGUUCUUCAUAGUUCAUAUCAAAUAUUAUUUAAAUUAUGUAAAUUUACAUUGUUGCUACUUGAUUGUGUUGUUUAGGGCUUUGAGGACAAUUAAAAUAAGAGAAGAGCCAGAGAAGCUAAAUGUUUGGGUUGCUUACUUUAAUUUAGAAAAUGAAUAUGUAUAUGUAUAUUAAUAAGUAUAUGUAUAUAUACAUAUGCAUAUGCAUAUACUUAUUUUUAUUCAUACGCAAAUACUUAUUUAUAUGCAUAUCUAUAUAUUUAUUCAUAUUUGUAUGCAUAUACUUAUUCUUAUGCAUAUGCAUAUCCAUAUGCAUCUACUUAUUUAUAUGCAUAUACUUGUUCUUAUGCAUAUAUUUAUUCUUAUGCAUAUACUUAUGUAUAUGUAUAUGUAUAUGUAUAUGUAUAUGUAUAUGUAUACGCAGAAACAUAAUCAUAUGUAUUUAAUUAUCAUAUGCGUAUAUAUUUAUUCUUACGCAUAUCCAUAUGUAUAUGUAUAUGCAUAUGCAUAUUCAUAUGCAUAUAUUUAUUCAUAUGUAUAUGUAUAUGCUUACUCUUAUGUAUACAUAUAGAAGUAAUAAAUAUGUUUUUUUUAAAUAAGCAUAUACACAAAAAAAAUUAUGAAUAUGCUUUAAAAUGCAUUUUUUUUUGAAUUUUUUUAGUUACUAAUUUCGAAAUGUAAGGAACAUCUUUACUGAUUUAAAAUUUAAAAAAAAAAUAAAAAAAGUAAAAAUAAAUAAAUAAAAUAUUUUUUUUUCCAAAUAAGUAAAAAUAUACCUUAUCUUUCAAAAUUAAGAUUUAAAAAAAGAUUUUUUUCAAAAAAAUGCAUUUUAAUGCAUAUUCAUAUUUUUUGUGCAAAUAUACAUUUUCAAAAAAAAAUGUCCAUAAAUACAUGCAUGUAAUUUUUUUUUUGCAAUUAUCUUAAGAUAUAUGUAUCUAUAUAUGUAUGAAAUUUGAUACCUAAAUNNNNNNNNNNNNNNNNNNNNNNNNNNNNNNNNNNNNNNNNNNNNNNNNNNNNNNNNNNNNNNNNNNNNNNNNNNNNNNNNNNNNNNNNNNNNNNNNNNNNNNNNNNNNNNNNNNNNNNNNNNNNNNNNNNNNNNNNNNNNNNNNNNNNNNNNNNNNNNNNNNNNNNNNNNNAUAUUAAAAAUCCUGAUUAAUAUUAUAUGUCUCAUAUAAUGUCAUUUGUCAACAUAUUAAUUAUUAAUUUUAAAUUUUAAAUUUUCCAUCCUAAUUACAUUAAAUUUUAAUUUUAAUUUUUUUUUUACUUUAAUUGUAUUAAAUUAAUAACAUUAGAUUAACAAAUAAAAUAAAAUUAAAACAAAUUAUACGGUAGUAUAACUUCAUGUAUUUAUUUAAAUCAAUUAUUAUAAUUAUAUAUAACUAUAAAAAUAUCUCUUAAAUAAUAAUUUAUUUAAAGUAAUUGAUUAAUAGUUUUGAUUUUUUAAUAUGAAAGUUUAAAUAAUUUUAUAAUUGUGGUUCUUACGGGUUAUUCAUUAAAAACCCAAUAAACUUUUUUUCAUAGCACAUCCAAAAAAACCAUGCAAAUGUACAUAUGAUGUAUAUAUGGUAGGUGCCAAAGAAAAUUAUAAAACCUACUAGAAGUCUAAUAUAAACAAAACAUUUGAAAUACAUAAAUGUUGAGGAUAAAUUAUUAAAUCGGACAUAAUAUGAACUCAAAAGCAAUAGGAAGAAGCUAACAAUAAAAAAAUUUAUGUAUUUAAUCAAAAAUAAAUCAUUUNUAACUCUCUCUCUCUCUCUCUCUCUCUCUAUAUAUAUAUAUAUAUAUAUAUAUAUAUAUAUAUGUUCGUGUUUAUUCAAGUACACCAUCCAUCCUUCACGUUCACAUCUCUAUCUCUCUAUCUUCUCUAUCUAGGAAAUGUCAACAUUAAGCCAUCUCUUUGACCUUCAGCAAGAACAAAUUUGCUAUGUUCAAUGUGGGUUCUGCACCACUGUUUUGCUGGUAAACCCCUAUGCAUGUUAACUAAACCAAAUUAGUGUUUACUAGCUGUGGCAUUUCUAUUCCGUUUGAGUUUUUAUUUAUUCUCAUUCCCCACAUGACAAUUUAUAUUGUAUCUAUAUGUCUACAGGUUAGUGUACCAUGUAGCUGCUUAUCCAUGGUGGUUACAGUCAAGUGUGGCCAUUGCGCAGGUCUCCUUUCAGUGAACAUGAUGAGAUCCUCUUUUCUUCCUCUUCAUCUGCUUCCUUCUAUUAAUAACCAAGAAGAGGUGUGUGUUUUUUUUUUCAUUUUCUUUCAGUAUAUUAUACUAUCUUUAUCAUAUGUAUGCUGCAUAGUAUCGGUUUUAUGAAAUCUGCUUCUCUCAAAUGAAGCCAACGGUGGAAGUUUGUAAAGAAGACGAAGAAGUAGCUAAACCACCAGUGAGCAAGCGUAGCUCUUCCCCUCUCAUCUCAACAUCCUCAUCAGAUGAAGACAACGAAGAUGAUCUUGUUUUAGUUAACCAUGUUGUCAACAAGCGUAAAAUUUACUUAAAUCUUAUUUAUAUACAUUAAGAACUAGUCUUUAAUUACCUUUCCGACAUGAUAAAACAAUGUGUCUUUCCACACACAAGCCCCAUAUACCCAUAUCCUGAUAAAGGAAAACACUGUCAUCAUUUAAAUUACUUCAAAUAUUACUGUAUCUUCCUGAUGAGCUCAAUUAUGAUUUUGUUUGCAGCCCCGGAAAAGAGGCAACGUGCUCCAUCCGCAUAUAACAAAUUCAUCAAGUAUAGUAGUACUCAUUUAAGUUUAUAAUUUUUGGGUAGAUACAUGUAACUAUGCUUCAACUCAUGACUAUGUGCAUUAUCAGAGAAGAGAUCAUAAGGCUGAAGACACAGCAUCCCAACAUUUCUCAUAAGCUAGCCUUUAGUACAGCAGCCAAAAAUGUAUGCGUUCUAUGAGUGUACAUAUAUUUAAGGAAACAACCUAGUUAAUAACAAACACACACACACACACAUAUACAUACAUACAUAUGAUGAUUAUCAUGAACUUAGUACGUGAAUUUGAUUCUUGUUUCAGUGGGCUCAUUCACCACCAAGUCAACAGAACCAAGGAGAGAAAUCAAAGGCUUCGGGUAAUGAACCCACAGUGAUGAUUCAGGAGCUUGGUUCGGAGAAGCCUUCUUAAGUUAACACACUCAUACAAUGCAAGCCGAAGAACAUGUUGCGGAUUAGAGGCUAGCUAGUGACUAAGUAGUUAUAAGUUUCGUUCUAAUUAUGGCCGGUGAUAAUUUCAUUUGAUUUGAAGCCUUAAUUAAUCUAUAGCCAAUUAACGUAACACCACCUUUAAUUUAGAUACCUCGAAAAAUCAAUAUAUGUUCUUUUUUCUUUUGCCUUUUGCUCAUAAUAUAUACGAGGUUUCAAGAACGUAGCCGAUUCCUAGCCAAAACCACCCAUGGACCUCGAGUGUGUGAGCAAGCUGUUCUUGUGUAUAUGACAACCAUUUUUUAUUUUGAGUUUAUUGAAUUAUUCUAUUGCUUUGGGCUUAAAAAAUUUCUUGUGCUGUUUUGCACGAUCAUAUUUCUUUUAAAGAAUCUGAUCGUGGUGAAAAACAGUUAAACUUUAUAAGUUUACAGGAAAGAAAAAAAAAAAAAAAAAAAAAAAAAAAAAAAAGGUAAGCCUCAGUUUUUGCUCAUUAAACUAUAGAUACCUAGUCACUUUCAUGCCACUAAAUGAGAAGUUAGUGACAUAUUCCUACUAGCUAGCGUGGUAUGAAAAGACGAAGAUGAUCGAUUAAAGCUUAGUAUAAGAGGAGUACUUUACCACAGAGAUAGGAGCAUGGCUUUCUGUUGCAAGAACUUGCAGGUUCCUUCACAAGGUAAUGGUGUCUUAUAAUGGAAAGUAUUGAAGGCAUCCUCUUUAAGAAAAAAAAAGCCCUUUAAAUGACAUUUGUGUAACUGACCCCAUUGAAUUAAGAACCAUUAGUUGUUCUUUCCAUUUUAAGAAGAUGUUUGGGGUUCAAUAAUGUGCAUAUUAUUGAUCUUCUUAGGCACGUAGUAGCUGGCUAGAUGCUCUUGGGGUUUGGAGUACUUUGUGAUUUAAGAGCUUCAGUUCUCGAUUUAAGAGUGACAACUGCCUGACAAAACCUUCUUGUGCCAUUUUUAAGUUGAACCAAAGUUGUUUCUUAUUAUUUUGUUUUAGAAAUGGUUAGACAAUCAAAUAUAUCUAAUUUUUGUAUUUAUUAAUGUUGAGCAUGUAUAUUUUUCUAUAAACAUACGCGGCCAUUAUUGGUUGUUAGACGAGCUAUGGUUCGACAAUAUCAGUGUCAAUAUAUACAAUAGUCUUUGUGUCGAGGAAGUUUUGAGUUCGUUGAGAGUGAAUAAAUUCGAAAACUCUCAAAAUCAAGUCUCCAUACUUCGACAUCACAUCGACUAGUCGAGGAAUGUUGGCAUUAAAAGCACAACAGAAAACAGUAAAGUAUGAUGUUUAACUCGCAUGUAAUUUUAUUGAAGUAAAAUUGUAAUCAAUUACAUGAUCUUGUCAAUUAUAUAUGUUAAACAGAAAACAAAUCAGAAUAUAACUAGGAUUCCUAAAUGUAAUCAAACAAAAUUUUCCAUGUAAAUAAUUCCUUGUGGCUUAAGGAAAACUCUAGAACCUUGGACAACACU